rnacentral:lncRNA from 1 species
CAUAAGUCAUUGUUAUCCAAAGACAAAGAGGAUAACCGUGUCAAGUUAGAUUUUGUGGGAAGAGUGUCAUGUAAACUGUUGUUGGAUAACUUUAAAACCUCCAAUGAGAUGCAACCCAUCAUCAUGUGCUCAGGUAGUUGUCCCGAGAGAUUAUUGUUUGACAAAUCUAAGGAUCGCAAUUGUUCCAUGUCACUCAUCGAGGAAGGAAUAUUACCUUGUAAUGCAUUUCCAGACAAGUUUAAGACCUCCAACCUUGGAAAAAUAGAGCCUAUGAAAGGUGGAAGCUCUCCGUGAAUGCAAUUCGAGGAGAAAUCAAGCAAAAGCAUGUGGGAAUGUUUUGAACUUGAGCCCAAAUCAAGAACACCUGUCAAGCUGUUACUUUCAAAGCUUAGGUAUUCUAGUUUCGUAUUAUUGUCUAAUAACCAGGUUGGGACAUCUCCUGUCAUAUGGUUGUAGCUAAGGUCGACCACUCUCAAAUCAUGUUGACUCAAAAGAAAGCUGGGUACAACCCGGCUUGGCCAAUUGAGAGUGAAGUUGGAUAACCGGAGGAUUUUCAAUUGAAAUAGAGGAACUGACCAUGUUGGAUUUUCAAUCUCAACCUUCAAAUACUUGUUAUUGCUAGAAAGUUCGAAAACCUCGAGUCUGGAGUGGUUGAAGAGUGAACCAAAAUAGAUUGAGCCCUCGAAAUGAUUAUAAGAAAGAGAAAUGUACUCGAGUGACUUCAUAUUGGAGAAGAGAGAUGAAGGAAUAGUUCCAUGGAAAUCAUUUCUGGAUAGGUCAAGCAAACGUAGGGAUGUCAAAUUGUUGAGACACAUAGGAAGACUACCCUCAAAUCCAUUAUAACUAAGAUCCAACUCUUCAAGGUUGAGUUUGCACAAGCCUGCGAAAGUGAAACAUGUAAUUUAUAAUUACAAUUAAAAGUAGUGGCAACAACUAAGGGAAAAAUAUAUUUUGGAUUAUCUUGGUUGAUAAAUGUCACCACAAUUCCUAAGGUAACUUGUUGAUAAUUUUAAAUAUUUUUGUACUUAUAUUUUUAUUUUUAUUAAUAAUAAAUAUGUUUACCCUCCCAAUCUUUUUAUUUCUUGUUUUAGAAAAUAAAAUUCCCUAGCAUUUUUAAGAAGCCAAACAUGUACCUGUUAAGAAGAUAAAAUCUUUACUAGGAUUAGAUUUUAUGAAAAUAUUGGAUGAAAGUUCAAGAAAAGAAUUUUGAUGGGAUGAAAAAUGAUUAAAACUCGUGAAAAUAUGAAAAAUUUUGUAAGAAAUUAUAUAAAAAUAAUAAUAUAUGAAUUGGAAUUGUGUUUUAUUAAUAAUAAAUGUAAUCGUUAAUUUUUGUUAUGUAAAUACUAAAGCUAAGUAUAUGGUAAUCCUAGUAAAGAAAAAUCAAAGAUAAGGUCAGAAUAACUUAUAGUAUCGGGAUUGUCAUCCUCUGUGACCAAUACUAAUAUGUUUAGCUAUUAAAUUAGAAAAAUUAAAUAUUGGAUGAAACUAAAUUAAACCCUAAUCUAAAUAAAUAGAAAUAAAAAUUCGAAUGACAUUUUUUUAGAAUAUCUAAUAAAAGCUAAAUAAUGCAAAAGAAAAUAUUCAAGAAGAACACAAGUUUGAUUUCAAAUUCAUCAAAAGAAAGUGGAAUUUUUUAUUUAUUUUGAUGGUUGAAGAGUCAAUCCAAAAUCAAAUGAGAUCUUAAGAUUAGUUUAAAUUUGAAACCCUAAUUUGACGAAAAAGCCUAGAUCACAAAAGUAUUUUAAAUUAACCAUAAUCCUUGUUUCUCAUUUCGACAAUAAAUCCUAGAUUCAUCAAUGAAACUCAUCUCAAUCUCAUGUACCAUUAAUCAAAAUAAGUUGUUCGAUGAUUAAAAGGCAAUAUAGUAUUAUUAGAAUCAAAGUAAGCAUUGAUUGUCCUUAAAUUGAGAGAAACUAGUUAGAGAAAUAAUCAAUCAUAAUUUAAAUACAAAAAGAAAGAUUUUAGGUAUGAAUGUUACCACUCUUCUUUUCUUGAGAUUAAAAAUUUUGAUUUCAUAAAGGUGAAAUCACAAUUUUGAUUUGGGCAACGAUGAAAGUCAACAUCAAGAACUUCAUCUUUGCCAAAAUUGAUUUCUUAAGCAGAAUUCAGAAUUUUAGAUUAUAACAUAAUUGAAUCCAUUUCACUUCUCAAAAGUAGUUUUGUCAAGAUUGUUUUUAUUCACUUCUUUUAUUCUUGCCAGGAUGUCCUAAUUAUUCCCUAAAUUGCUUUCAUGCAUGUUUUCAACUUAACAAACAUUUUUUUUUUUUUUUGCUACUAAGUGGGUAGUAUUUUUUUUUAGGAAUAUUUUAUUAAAAGACUUCAAAUACUAUAAUUUUGAUUGAUUCUAUAUUGAUUAUUCAUGAAUUGCUUCUAAGAUGUUUUUUUUUUCUUUGAUUGAUUAUUGAUUAUCCUUAAGUUGACAUGUUUCCAAGUUGCUCUUUUUGAAAAUCAUACGAUGAUGUUAGUUAUUUGAAAACUUUUUUAUGAUGAUAAUUUGAUUAUUCAUGAGUUGAUUACAAGUUGUUGUUUUUUGAUAAUUCCAUUAUGAUUAAUAUUUAUGAGUUGUUAAGAUUUUUGAGUGUAGAGUAUUUUGAUUUUUUAGUUUAAGUAUUUUGAUAAUUGCAUGAUGAUUAAUAUUUAUGAUUUGUUAAAAAUUGUAAGUUCCUAAAUAUUUUUUAUUUUUUAAAGCGCAUGAUUGUUAGUUUAAGCAUUAUGAUAAUAACAUGUUUUGACAUUCGUUUGUAAAUUAUUGAUAAUUGCAUGAAGUUGAUUAAUUUUAUGUGUUGAUUGAUGCCUAUUAGGAUUAGGGUUAGGUUUGUUGUCUUUGUGUAGUUCUCACUCAAUUUAGGCUUUAUGAUUAUAAAUGAUAGGUAGUAUGGGGCUAUUCCAUUUGGUUUUGCAUUGUUAUUGGAUCUUUUCGUGGUUAUUUGUUAGUAAUGAUCAUAGAUGUUAAAUUUCAAUCCACUUAAUAUCAUACACUUUCAUGGGGUUGUUGAGUUUAGUAUUUUGUAUGCUUUAAUAUCCAUAAAGUCAAAAUUUCAAAAUAUAUAUUUUCUAAGAAACCAAAAGUCAAAUAGGGAACACUCCAAUAGGAAGAGUGGAUAGGUGAUUUAAAAAAAAAAAAAAAAUAUUUAUAUGUUAUACUCAAUUCUUUUACCCUGCGAGAUGUUAGAGAUAAACUUUUCUAUCAAUUAUAGGCAAUUCAAAUCGAAUAUAAAAUAUAUAGAUGAUAAGACAUAAGAUUUUUACGUAGAAAACCCCACACUAAUUGUGGAGAUGAAAAACCACUGGGUUUAAGAUAUAUUAAUCUAAAUCCAUUAUACGAAAUCAAGUUACACAUUUAUUUAUUCGUUUUACCAUAAAGACUUUUACUUUCCAAUACCUACAACUUGAUUCACGUUGGUGAUACAACAACCCUCGAUUGCUCUAGUGGAUCACUUUAGCCUUGUUGAAGGGAUGAAGGACUUCAAACCAAGAUUCAAAGGUCUAAUCAUUGAGUAAGAGAUUGGGAAUUGUAUGAUACUUUAGACUUUCUCUUUAGGAGACCCUCUUUAAGGAAUAUAAAGUCUCUCAAUGAUCCAUCUCUAAUCUCUAACCCUUAAAGGGGUUAAUAGGGAGGUAUUUUUAUGCAAAAACUUGAAGAGUUUCGGUUUUCGAAAAGUUUUAAACCAUAUUUGCAUGAGAAAUCUAGGUGAAAUUUGCAUUAUCACUCGAGCCAACUCACCCACUGCUUGAGUGCCUCAGGCUUGAGCGGUCCUAAGUACUUAAGUGCUCUAGGCCGCUUGAGCGCUCCUGCCAUGUUUCAAAAAUCAAUUUUAAAACCUUUUAAGUUCAAAACAAAAUUGAUCCCCUUAAUACCUCAAUGUAGCUUAAUUUGUCACAAGUCAAACCUUUUUAGAUGUACUUGUGAUUUCUCGGUUGGAUGAAUAACAACUCUUAAUCUUCAUUAAUGGAGAACAAGUCACUAUUUAAAAAGAAUUCUAUGACCAAACAUAAAAAGAAACAAAAUUAUCAAUAUAAAAACAAAACUCAAUGUCCUAAAUUUUUUCAAAGAAAAUUAAUCCAUAAGGUUUUCUUAAAAAAAUCAUCUUAGGUCAUUAGGGUUUAAAAAAGUCUUUUUUAAAAAAAAAAAAAAAAAUACAACCAAUUUCAAUUGGUAUACAUCUUUCCAUUGUUUUUUUAAAUAAAUUUUUAUUUCUGACACAUGAAUCAAAGUUCAUGAUUCCAAAUAAAAAUGAAUGAUUGUUGGCCUUGAUAAACUCAUUAAUGAUCAUACAAGGAUAGGGAUAUGCGAAUUAAACUUGUGUAUAGUAAAUGGGGACUUGGUGAGGCCCCACCCACAUACAUUCAUUUUUUAAAAAAUGUUAAUGCUAUUGUUUGAUGUAUUUCUAACCACUAAAUUAAAAAAUUAGAAGUGAAUGGCUUAGGGUUUUUCUAAAUUUUUUCUAUGCUUAGAGCAUAUUCUUAAAUUUGUCAAUUAAAUUUUUCUUGGGCUUAAAAAUCAUUUUCAAUUGGAAGAAUUAAGUUGGUAUAGGUCUUGUUUUGGCCCUAUUCCGCUUGAGAUGGUUUUGAAAAAAUAAAUUAAUUUUAAUUUUAUUCAAUAUUUUUUACUUAAUCUAGACUUCUUGAAAUUAACUUUAGAUCGCUAUUUUGUUGAAAAUUUAUUUCCUAGGUGGGAGAAAAAAUUCUUCUUUCUGCACCUACUACAUUGGCCCUAUUCUUAGUCAAGGGCUAUUUGUCUUGAUGCAAAAAUUCUUCUCGUGUGAUUUAAUCAUGUUGUUAUUUUUCCUAUGAAGUAGAUGUAUUGAAUAAAUUGCAUGAAUUUUGGUGUGAUUUUAUCAUACAUUUAAAUAAUUUAAUUAAAUUAGUCUUUACAUGCUAUUGAUAUCUACUCUAUUUAUAAUUGAUAUGCUUGUGAUUUAAUGUGGUAUUAAUUGAGACAUAGUUUAGUUAUCUAACAUUUUGGAUUGUAAUCUAGACACAUAAGGGAUGUUAAUCAUUUUGUUUCAUGAUAAAAUUCUAUAUUUAAGUUUUUUUUUUUGGAUUUAUUUUGUAUGUUCACCUAUUAUGCCAUGUUGCUAAAUGUUCUAAAAAGUGAUGAUGAAUUUGUUUUAAUAUGGUAUAAUUGGUGGUGAAUUAAAUUGAUUUGACACUUGGGUUGUAUUGUAGAUACAUUGAGGAUGAUGUAUAAUUUUUAUUUUGAUAGAAUACCACUUAGGUUUUUAUUUCUUAUUUUAUUUUCUAUUUAAAAAUAAAUAAAAAUAAGUGACGACUCAAAUUUUUUUGAAAAAAUCAGUUUUUUCACAAAAGAAAAAAGAAAAAAAGAGUUUCAUUGAGUGGGGACGCAUGUGAAAAAUGCGGGUCCAUAGAGAUACUGUCUCAAUAUCAUAAGAUAUCAUAACGUCUCUAUUUGAGAAUACCUAUUUGCCAUGAACCUUUAUUAUAAUUGACCCAAUUCGUAAAGAAAUAUUAUUACAUUAAGGUCUCACUCAUAGGUCGAAGUCUGUUGACUUCAAUAUAGGCUCAAUAUCUUCAGUAUAGAUUCACUGUAGGUCUUGUAUAAUGUAUAACCAUACACAUUAAUACACUCACUAUGGGAACUCUAUCUCAACGACCAAGACAAGUCAUCUUUUCAAUUAGAAGGUAAUACACUAUAGUCUUUGUUGAGUUGCCCAAAUGCAUGAAUUGAAUAUAAACUUUUCAUCAUCUUGCAAGGAAUUUAUGACUUGAAUAUUUUGUGCAACUCUUAGUCAAGUACAAUGCAAGUGAUAUGAACAUAAGUACUCAGAUAACCAAUUGAUGCAUAAGGGAUAAUAAAGGUAACUAGAAACAUAAAUAAAUUAAUUAAUUUAUUAAUAAAUCUAAAUUUUGUUAUAGCAUGUCAUGCUUUCUUAGACUUUAUAUCAACAAUUAAGACAUCCAAAUCUCAAAUUUCUUCAAGAAUUAGAAAAAAAUAAAAUAAAAUUUAGUGUGUCUAGUGAGCGAAGUAAAUAUGGCACCUAUGGUAAUUAUCAACUUUGAAAAUGUGUAAACUUCCUUUUAACAAGUCUCAUUCAACUAAUAAAUUUCCUCUUGAAAAAAUUACAAUGAUUUAUGGCAGUUUGCCUUAACUUUAUCAUCUAAAAAUUUCCAAUAUUUUGUGGUCUUUAUUGUUGAUUAUAAUUGCUACACGUGGCUAUAUCCUUUAUGAUCCAAAUUUUAUUUAUUUUUAGUUUCUUUCUCAAAUUUCAUUUUGAUAGGAAAAUAAAGACAUUUCAAAGUGAUGGUGAUGGUGAAGGUGAAUUCAUCUCUAUUGCUUUAAUUCACUUUUCAUUUGGCUUAGUGUGGCAUUGCACAACAACUUUCAUUCCUUAUACACAUGAACCAAAUGACCUAGUCGAAAUAAAACAUAGGCAUAUUGUGGAAACGAAGGCUCAUAAUGCUUCUUCAUGCUAACUUACCCAUGAAAUCUUGGGUUGAUGCAUUUCUGACAACAACCUACCUUAUAAUCAGGUUACCAUCUUUUUCCCUUGAUAUGAAUACUUUGUAUUUCAAACUCUAGUUUAUACACCUUUGGAUGUCAGUGAUUUCCAUCCUUAAAACAUCAAGGUAUCAAUAAAAUUUCUCAGAGAAUAAAGUUAUUGUUGGGUUGAUGAAAUGAAAAUUACAUAUAUGGCUACGAAUAAAGUAAAUAAUGCAAACUAUUUCUGAAAAUCUAACAAGAUCUUGUUAAUGCAUAAUCAAAUUUUAAUUCUUCCACCAGGUCACUUCACACUACAAGUAUAACACGAAUCAAGAAGUCGAAGCCUAAAGCACAAGGCGAUGAGGACCGGUCAAGACCGCAGCCUAACAUUAAGGCGCCUUAGCCACACCGAAUGAAGAAUCAUAUGAAGCAUAUCGUAGGGCUGCGCCGGCCGGUUUAUCACGAAAUGCCUCUGCACUUGCUUCACCCUCUUUUGCAUCCUCAAAUACCUCUCAUUCGGAACCGCUUUCAAUAUCUUCUUAAUUUCCGGUAUCUUGUCCGAAGUGAUAUUUAUGGAAAACUUGCUCCAAUCAAGAACUUCACUAAACGGCAGCACAUAGUAAUCGCAGAUGAUUACAGGCACACACCCAGCAGCGAUUGCUUCCACUACUCUGGGGCUGGCAACUUCCCAUCCACUUGGACACAGGCAAAACUUGCUGUCAACCAUUGAUUUAGCGUAGUCUCGAUUGCUGGGAAGGUGCUCGUACACCUGGACUUCGUCAUCAUUUUCUUUCCAGGACCUGAACAGGAGGGUUCGCAUGUAGCCGGAUUCACGGCCGGAGAAGAAGGCGAGGAUGUGACGCUGGUUAGGGGGUUUGUCGAGGUGAGGUGGGCCGAGCUUGCCUUUGGGUAUGUUGACUUCUGGCAAAGAGAUGUCUCUGAUGGGCUGGAACCUUUCGGAGGUGUUGGCAUUGCAAAGGACUCUGAUGAAAUGCUUGUAGAGGUCAGGGGUUACAAUCGAAAUCUCUGGUGCCUGAGAUUUCAAGAUAUAUGAUUGAUUAGUAAAACAACAUUGAUUAUAGAAACAAGUAAUGACUGGAUUUUGAGUUUCAGAGGGAGGGGGCCGUCAAAUCGUAAAUGUUUCUCACUACUUUUAUUAAAUUUUACAGACAUGGCAGCUAAUGUUUGAGAGUUGGGAAUUUUUAGGUUUAGGAAAACUUUAAGAUUUGCAGGAGAAUUCAUUUCUAAAUAGAUUAAGUAGUUUACAUUUUUACCAUAAUUUCUUCAGACAAUUCUACGGAACUACCCUAAUAUAUACAUUGGAGGUCUCUUCCAUCCAAUCCCCUUUUUCCAACUUUCAUCUAGACCUCAUCUUUUCUUCUCUAGAAUCUCUCCAAGCCAGAUUCCUCUUCUCUCAUAUCUCUUCUACUGUCCCGUUUUCUCUCAAGUAUCUCCCAUUUUCCCCCACACCUGUCCAUUUUCCUCAAAUCUUGAAAUCUCACAUCUUGAAAUUUUAAAAUUAAUUUGAUAUUUUUUCUAAUGUUUUCUAAUACAAAAUCGAAGUUCCAACAUAUAUUAGCAAAAGAAAAUGCAAGUACGUACGUACCCAAUCAUGGCAAGAGACUAGGAAAUGGUCAGCUCCAUUACUUCUAUUCCAAUAUGGAUAUUUAUUUGAAACAACGUAGAUGUAGUCUGUGACCAAUCGUUGAAGCAUGUGACCAGAGUAGUCAACAGGAGGAGAGUAGAUAUAGUGAGCAAUGCGAGUUACACUUAUUGGGAUGUAAAAGACAUGAGCCACAUCAGGAUGACCCGCCAUGAAGUGGCUGUCUCCACUUUCCAUCUCAUCCAUAAAUUGCCCUUCAAUGCCAUAGAUGCUAUUUUUUGGCCCACCAUGCACUAGGGGUUGGUCUCCCUCCUUGUAGGUCCAUAUCUUGAAUCUCUUCUCCAUUUCUAUGUGACUCCUAUUAUGCAAUCAAAGGAAUUACUUGCAUGAAAGUUAAUUUUGAUUGAAAAACUAAAUGAAAAAAAAAAAAAGAAGUUGAGUAAAAAAUACACAAUUCAUACAUUGAUAAAUAUAUAUAUAUAUAUAUAAAAGAUAUUUAGGUUAAGUAGAUUAUAUGUAUAUAAUAUAAGAAUGUAAUUAACAACAAUAUCUUAGUGCUGAGUGGAGCUCAAUCUGAACGUGAGAGUUCGACACCUAUACAAGCCACCAACGUGGCUGGGCUGCAUCCUUAACUAAAUUUGGGCACGUGGCUCAUGAUAUCAAACUUUUAUAAAAGCCAAAAACACGAGGAAAAAAAAAAAAGGCCUAACAUUUCGGUGAGGUUUUGAUAAACUUAUGGUUGGGAGAUCAAUGAAAUCGACUUCACAUCUUCUACAAAUGAAUAAAAUGUCACUAAUCAUUCGCCUUUCCGGAAACUUUGAGACAAUUUUUAAAAAUGAAAUAUGGAUUUUCACUAGUAAAAUAGUGUAGUGUGAGCUUAACUGAUGAAAUGCGUAUGGAUUUCUGUAAACAGCUCCUCUAGGGAUGAAAUUUUCUUUCUUUUGUGAAGUAUAAUUGCUUGAACGAACUGCUUCACGUAUUGCCGCUCGUGCACUUGCCAGACCACGUUCAAUUCUCUCCAAAGGACUCAUCUUUUCCUACAAGACACACAAAAAAAGAACAAUAAAAUCAAUCUAAGAAGAACAGCAGCAGUACUGGGUGCAAUUAAAGUUAUGGUAAGUCCACCCACCACAGUGGUAGUGGAAGUUGAGGGAACCCCAUGCGUGGAAACAUUUCCCAGAAACGAAGACGCUUCUGGGGUCUGGUGUUUGGUCUGUGAAUGAUUGGGAGUUGAAGAAGAAGAUGGAUGGAAGCGGAGAUCAGGGUUUUGAUUUAUGGGUGACAGAAAAAAGAUGGAAAGAAGAAGAAGAAAGAGAAGAACAGGAAAUACUAUAUAUGGUGUUGAACUCAAUGUUGCCAUAUAUAUUUCAAUUUUCUCUCUGUUCUGUCACUCCUCUUUGAAGGGUUGAAGGAGGUGGAGACACGUUCAGACAUGGAGUAAAACAAAAUUUAUGAAUGGUUUUUCCUUUGUUCGGUCCGUUACGCAUCCAGUGACGUACUCAUUUGGGCGGUCCAAUCUAAUGUCUGGAAUCAUUCCACCUUAUGUGAGUAUAACAUUAAGAAGCGUCACGGUCCCUUUUUUAGUUCUAUGACUCACCCAUAUACCACUCACUUGAUUAUGAAGAAGAAAUUAAAGAGUGUUCACCGUUUAGCAAGGCCAUUGCAAAAAUUAGGAUUUGUUUUGAUACAUUUUGGAAAAUUGUUUUCAAAAAAUAGUUUUGAAAUCGAUUUUUAAAAUAUUUCAUAUUUUUUUAAAAACACUUUAUUUUUUAAACUAGUUUUCAAAAAAUUGUUUUCUAUUUAAAAAAUUUGUGAAAAACAUAGAAUCUCUUCUUAUUAUAAUUAAAAUAAGAUUUUCCAUUAUCAUUGACUUCUGUAGAGCCUCCUUGACAAUUGUAUUGUGUAACUAAUUUGUAAUGAAAUCUUCCAUCUCAUAAUAAGUAAUAAUCACUAAACAUUACAAAUCCUAAAAAAUCCAAAGCAAUCCCAAAGUCUUAAAAUUAUAUUCUAAUUGUAAAUAUGUCUAAAAAUACAUGCAUUUACACACUAAAUAUACACUGAAAUGCUUGACAUUAAUUAGAGGGUACUUUUGUUGCAAGGCACUACUCGAAGGAUAUGUAAGUUUAAAUGAUAACUUUGGUAGUACAAGAUUGUUGUAAUUAAGUUACUUUCAAUCAUCGUUAAUUGGCCACUUUAUUCAAACAACAACAACAAUAGGUAUAUGAAACAAAUUCUAAUAAUUAGUGUGAAUUGAGUGUAUACCAGUUAGUGUUAGCAAUUAGAGAAAAGUGCUCUUUGUAGCCUGCAUCAAUAUUUUUGAGACCAAUACUUAAGAUUGAUUUGAUGUACUUAUAGAAUUUAUUAAUGUAAAAGAAAUACUCAAAUAGGGAAAUGAAGAGAGUUAGGAGAUAAUGUUGGAAUGGAAGAGAAUGAGAGAGGGAAAGUAUAUAAAAAAAAAAUUGUGAGAGGAAAUUAAUAUAAAAUUUUAAAUAAAAAACCUUGAUUAUUCUAAAGUUAAUACUUUUGAAAAGUUACUUUUUUUUUAAUGUGUUUUUUAAACUAUUAUCAAAGUUAUUUAUAUUCUUUUGAAAAUCACUUCUGACUACUCUCAAAUAUGUAUGUCAAAGUACGAUUUUGUAAGUAUAAGGAGUCGUUUGUAAUUUUAAAAUUAUGAUAAGUCAUGGUUAAACUACAAAGAUGUGAUCUUAGUUGUAUAAAGGAAAUGAAGAGGUUUAGAAGUUAAAUAAAAACUUUUUAGGCAAACCCUUUCACUCGAUAAAUGCUUGAAAAAAGAGGUUGAUGAUUUUUAUUUUUAUUUUUUCCGAAAACUAGAAGGGAGUACUAGGUGAACUUAAAUUGAAAUUUGAUUUAAUAAGAUAUGCAAAAAGUGUUGGAAUAAGGAGAGUCCCUUAGGCUCUCUUGUUUUUAUAAAAAGACCCUUAAUUAAGUUAACACCACCAAGAUUAUCUAUAAGUGUUUUCAACCAAAGAAUUUUCAAUACAAACACAUUUUGAUUAAACCUAAUGCUUCAAACUUAUGAGUUAACCAUGUGAAAUCUUUAAAAUCUUCUAGCAACCUAUUUGUUUGUCCUAUUGCAGCAUUAAAAGCUCAAUAAUAAACGUCUCAAGUCAAAAUGGCUUUCACCAUCAAGUGUUCGAGAUACCCUCAAAAGAGCUUGUAAACUUCAAUUUCCAAGCAUUUAGGCAUGAUAUAUAAAUCACUUGUGAUAUCCUUAAAACCUUUAUUACUUAUUAACUUGCUAAACUCAUAACAUUAAGGAUUCAAUAGUGACCAUCUCUAGUUAAAUAAUUCUCAAUUAUUAAGCACUUGAGAUACCCUCAAGGGGGCCUUUAAGCUCUAAUUUCUAAGUAUCAAAUAAUGGUUUUCUAAUUAAAAACAAAUGAUCCAACUCAUAAAAUGAAUAUAUCAUUAAAUGUCCAAGAUUUAGAGUCAUUUCAUGGGCACAAGGGAGGUCCUAAGGACUCCCAUCUCCUAAGCUUAAAUCACUACUCACAAAAUAUAAAAAUAGAAUGAAAAAUGAAGAACAUAAGUCAAGUAUAAGGAAAUCAUCAUUAAAAACUUGAGCUUCAACUUCAAUAUUGUACCAAACCAAAGCUUAAAAGUAAGUACAUCUAAAUAUACUCAAAGGAAAGAAGUUUGAGAGAUUACAAGCAACUAAAAGGCGCAAAACAAUAUAAAAAAUUGAAAUUUUAAUAGCAUGUCCCAAAGUUGGAGGUUGAUGAAGAAGUGCUCCCCACUAAAGGGCUUCCUCUAAAAUCCUCCUUCUCCAAUUGCAAAAUCUAUUUAGAGAUGAUCCCAUGUUGCCCUAAGUGGUAUACCACAUAGAGUCAUAAAAAAUAAAGUGUGAGAUCCAAUGGUGGCUUCAGAUAAGCCCAAAAAUGUAGGUCUCCCAUGUUCUUCGAGUUCUAGAACAAAAUGAUGACAGUUACAGAGAAAAUGGCACUAGGUUGUAAGGUGGACAUCUUCUACUCAAAUUGGCAGCGCCAUUAUGAAAAAAGACACCAAACUACAAGGUGGUUCCAUUUUUCUUCGAAUGCUCCUUAGCUCCUUCAACGUUUUUCUUAUUUUUCAUCAAUCUUUUAUAAUUUUUUUUUGUAUAUAUAGAUAGAAGACGUUGAAAUAUUCUUAAAAUUGGUAAGAUUGAUCUUCAAAGAGUAGAAAUUAGAAAAAAUUACUUGAAUUCAUUUGGGCAUUUUUAACCUCCUCAACUGUCCUCAAACUUUUGAUUGGUUGAAGGAGGAUGACACCAUUGAAUUUCAUGCAACUUUGAUCCUUUGACUCCACUCAUACUCCAGUAAUGCUCUUGCAUUCCAAAUAUUCCAAGAAGUUUCCAACAUCAUCAUUAUUCAUGAAAAUAUAUGUAAACAUAUCAAGAAGUAAUGAAAAAUAUGAUAAAACUAAGCAUAUGCAAGGUUUCUAUCAUAUUCAAAUAUAAAAAAAUUAUUCUCCUUUCCAUUUUUUUCUUGCUUAACUUUCUUCGUCUCUCCUUUACUUUUGGCCAACAAAAAUUGACAAAAAUAAAAAUUGAUAAUAGAAUCAUUAUCGGUUAAUUUAUAUAUAUAUAUAUAUAUAUGUAUAUAUAUACAUUCAUAAACUCAUGCUAAUAGUUAAUUUCAAGAAAUAGAAUUGUUCAUAGAAAACAAUAACUUGGGUGACAUUUGGAUACAAUUCCUUUUCCUUUUUUUUUUUUUUUUGUAACUUUUAGAAAUAGAAAAUACUCCUAUUAAAAGUAUAGGAACUUAUGUACAAAAAGUAAAAAAAAUUAUCUUAUAUUCUUAACAACUAUUUAACAGAAGUAAAAAUAUUUUACUUAAUUUCUUCAAUUUAAAAAAAUUUAUGAAGUGUUUUCAACAAUCCUUGUUUUUGUAUAAGGAUUCCUAUAGACUUUAAUAUGAUACUUUCUAUUCUUAAAUAAAAAAAUAAAAUAAUGUAUCCAAACAUCACCUUAUCAAACAAAAAAUAUGGAGCUAUCUUAGGAGGUAAUUGUGAGGAAAACUAUUAUCUAAAAUAUAUAUAUAUAUAUAUACAUUAUGACUACUGGGCUCCACUCAAGCACACCAGUUCCACACUCAAUACACUCAGAAUUUGGAAGAGAGCUACAAUAAAUUGCAAUGAAGAACAUUUCAAAACUAAUGAUAACUCCUCAGAACAAUUAUUCUCAAAUUAUAAAUUCAAAAUUUCACAAUUCAAUUAAGCCACUCCAGGAUACAUCAUGUAACAACAAAUUGAAGACAGAAGAAAAACAAUAUCAAGAUGGCAACCUAACAUUAAGGCGCCUCAGCCACACCGAAUGAAGAAUCAUAUGAAGCAUAUCGUAGGGCCUCGCCGGCCGGUUUAUCGCGAAAUGCCGCUGCACUUGCUUCACCCUCUUUUGCAUUUCCAAAUACGUCUCAGUCGGAACCGCUUUCAAAAUCUUCUUGAUUUCCGGUAUCUUAUCGGAAGUAAUAUAUAUGGAGAACUUGCUCCAAUCAAGAACAUCGCUGAACGGCAAGGAGUAGUGAUCGCAAAUUAUCAUAGGCACACAGCCGGCAGCGAUGGCUUCUACUAUUCUGGGGCUGGCGACUUCGUAUCCACUGGGACACAGGCAAAACUUGCUGUCCCCCAUUGAUUUACUAUAGUUUCGAUUACGGGGAAGGCGCUCAAAAACCUGGACUUCGUCAUCUUUCUCUUUCCAGUACUUGAACAAGACACUCCGUACGUAACCAUGAGCGCCCCCGGCGAAGAAGGCAAGGAUGGGACGCUUGUUGGGGGGCUGGUCGAGGUGGGGCGGACCGAGCUUGCCGCGGGGUAUGUUGAUUUCUGGGAUUGAGAUGUCUCUGAUGGGGUGGAACCUUUCGGAGGUGUUGGCAUUGCAGAGGGCUCUAAUGAAAUGCUUGUAGAGAUCAGGCUUUAGAGCUGAAACGUCUGGUGCCUGAGAUUUCAACAUAUAUGAUCUUAAGUCAAUUUAAAAUUUUUCUUUUCUUUUUCAUAUAAAUCUUAAUUAAAUUCGAAAGAAUUGCAAGGGAUCCCAAAAUAUUCAUCAUACGUAAUGGGGAAAAUGUAUAUACCCAAUCAUGACAAGAAACCAAGAAAUGGUCAGCCCCCUUGCUUCUAUUCCAAUAUGGAUAUUUAUCUGCUACAAAGUUGAUAUAGUCUGUGACCAAUCGUGGAAUCCAUUUACCAUGGUAAUGUGGAGGCUCGUAGAUAAAAUGAACUACUCUAGUUAAACUCAUGGGGAUGUAGAACGCAUUCGCCUCGUCGGGAUGACGAGCCAAAAAUUGGCUCUUUCCACUUUCUAUCUCAUCCAUGAAUUGCCCUUCGAUUGCAUAGAUGUCAUUUGAUGGUCCGUCAUGCAUUAGGGGUUGAUCUCCUUCUCGGUAUGCCCAUAUCUUGAAUCUUUUCUCCAUCUCUAUAUGACUCCUAUUAUAAAAUUGAAAAAAUUAAUUGUGAAAAUUGAUUUAAUUGAAUAAUAAUAAUAAUAAUAAUAAUAAUAAUAAUAGAUUGUUUUUGUUAAUAACAAUCUAUAGUAGCACUUUUUUUUAAAAAAAAAUUUAUUAGGGAGAACAUGUUGGUCUUUAGAUAUAAUAAUAAAAAAGUGUUUUUUAGUCUUACUUUACAUAAUAAAAUUAUAAUUUUUAGAAAAAAAAUACUUAUUAAGAACACGCGCAUGUUUUUUUUAUUUUUAUUUUGGAGAGAUAUAAACUAAGAAAGUAUAAUUUUUGGGAAAAAAAAAAUCUUACUAAAAGCCCAUUUGAAAAUGAUUUUAAAAGAGAUUCAAAGCAUUUUCUAAUAAUGGAAAGUGUUUUCUUACAAAAAUGUGGUGUUUAAUAAAUUUUUGAACACACUAAAAAUUUAAAGAAUCAGUUGAAGUGAUUACUUGACAAUUAAUACUACGAUUUUCUUUGAAAAUUCAUUCGAUCUUAUUCUAAUAAAAAACAUUAGAAAAUUAUUUGUUUUUAAGUUUAUACUCAAACACCAAGUAAGAAUGUGUUUGAUAGUAAUUUUAUGAAAUAUUUCUUAUAUUUCUAAUAUUUCAAAAGAUAAAAAUUUUCAAAUGUUAGAAAAGGUAAAAACACUUCCUAAAAUUACUAUAAAAUGCAUUCUAGAAGUGUGUUUGAUAAUAAUUUUAAAAAACAUUUUUAGUAUUUCUAACACUUAAAUAAUAAAAAUUUUUAAUUAUUAAAAAUGUUAGAAACACUUUCUAAAAUUAAAAAUACUUUCUAAAAUUAUUGUCAAAUAAUACUAAUUUAUUUUUAAAAGUGUUUAUAAUAAAAAUAUAAUUAAUAAGAACACUACACAUAAAAUCAUUUAUUUAUUGUUAAAAGCGAGCCUCAAUAAGUAGAAAGUAGUUAUAACUUUUCACUCGUCAUUUCACCCUAUAAAAAGGAGUUAUUUAAGUUGAUAAAUGAGAUUUAAAAAAAAAAAAAAAAAAGCAGAGAAAAAAAAGAGAUGGAUUUUAGUAAAUGUAAUUUUCAUUCAAUAAAAAGAACAUGCAUGUAAAGUAGGUGUAUUAUGAGACUAAGAGAAGUAUAUAAUUUCAUGAUGGCAAAAAUUGAUAAAGAAAAUAUGAUAUUUAAUUAACUAAUAGAAUGUAAUUAUUAUUUUGUCGUACUGUUUUAUUUAUUUUUAUUUUAAAAAAAUAUUACUAGCUAUUAUUAAAAUGUAAAAAUCUUGUAGAAAAAUAGAAUUUACUUUCUUUUCUUGCACAUUAGUAAAAUUUUAAAAAUUUGAGAUAAUAAAAAAAUUUUAGUGCUUAUAUUUUUUAAACUGUUUUAAAAAUUAUUAUUUUUUAAAGUAAAUGUCUAUUAUUUUGUAAAUGUUUUUUAUAAAAACAAAAACUAGUAUAGGUUGUUAAUUAACCUAAAUCAUUUUGACAUAAGCAAAGGUGAUAUGUGACUUCUUAAUAAUAGUACUAAUAAUAAUAAAUAAAUAAAUAAAAAUAUGAUUACCUACAAUAAAUACCUAAUAUGCAAAAAAAAAAAAAAAACAAAAUGUCACUAAAACUAAUCAAGUUGUUGGAAUGGACUGAAAAUUACAUAGAUAUUAACACAAAAAAAAAUGGAAAAGAAAAGAACAUGAAAUACAGAUUCCAUAGUGCAUUAAGUGAUUAGCCAACAAACAAUCCAAUAUUAUGAAUAAACUGAAUCACCUUCUUGACCUUUGAAAGCCUCAUGUCUUCCUAUGAGAUUUUUCAAUACCAUUACUUGAUUAGGACAAUCUUCUUAAGUCUUUUUGCAAGCAUUCUCCCACCAUUAACAUCAAAAAAUUAUCAGUCUAUGCUAUAAGAAAUAACUUAUUUGAAAUUCUAAAAAGUAAAAAUAAGAAAAAUAAUACUUUCUCUUAAAGUUACUUGUAUUCAAAUGGUAAAAUAUAACCAAAAAUAUGUUAUUUCACACACAUGAAAUGUUACCUGCACUCUAGGGAUCGACCAUGAACUGCAACUAUCAGCAAAGUUUAAUUCUUCAUAAUUACAUUAAGAAUGAAAACGAUAUGAAUUUGUUCCUACUUAGUUUCAAUCAUAUUCAAUGGACCAAUUUAAUCCAAAUCCAAAAUUAAACUUACUAUAAAUUCAAUACAUGGAAGUGUGUCCUAGAAAUCAUAUAUAGAAAAGACGUGGAAUUGUACUCUACACCAAUUUAUCAUAGCACCAUCAAUGAGGCGUGUGGAAAAAAAAAAUGAAAAUGAAGAGGAUCCUUAUUAUUGUUACUGAUAUAAAUGGUAGGCCACGUCACAAUUAUUAAGAAUAUUCAUAAAUUAUUUUAAGAUUUCUUCCAAUGUUGCCAAGGUUUUGGCUUUUCUCAAUUUGCAUGCACACAAUUGACUCAACAUAUAUAAGUAACAGCUGUAUAUACCCUCUACGAAUUAUACAAGACUUUUUAGUUUAAAUAUUUUUAUUGGUUUUUUUUAAUUAAAUUUGGUAAAUAAAUAAUUUAAAUUUUGAUAAAAAAAAAUUACAUUACAAGCCAUCAGAAAGAAACACCCUUUUAUGGGUUAAUGAAACAAAGAUUGAACUGUUCUUAGACUAGGUAGGUAGGAUCAUCAAUUUGAGACUUUCUAGAUGUCUCCUUUUGUCAAAAUAAUGUUUCAAAAUUUUAAAUAAAUAAAGUGGAGGUUAAUAUUUUAUCAUCGAUUUUUUUUUUAUUUCUUAUUUGAUAGAAGAAAAUGAAAGGCAUUCCAAAUUGAUAAUUGUAAAAGUGUUAUUAGAAAUGUUUUCAUGGACAAUUUAAUGAGUAUUUAAAUAUAAAUUCAAUUGGUGUACUUUUUUUUGUGAAAAGAAAAAAAAAAUUGGAAGAAACAUUUAAUGAAUACCAAUAAAAAAAGAUACUUUAAAAGAUUUAUUUAUUUAAAUUUUUUCAAAUACUCAAUUUUUAUUAGGAAAAUAUAUUUAAAUAUUAAUUAACAGGGCAGAUCUAAUGCAUGCCAAAAGAAGCAUAUGCCCCUUUAAUUAUUAUUUUUUUAAAUUAUCAUUAGAUUAUAAAUGCUUUUUGUUCAUUUUUGCCCCGCCAAAAUCAAGAGUUAGAUGUUGCCCACUGUUAAGUCAUUUGCUGGUUUGGUCACUGGUAGCUAAGGUUUCUAAAUCUUCAAGAUGGCUCCUAAAAUGUACUUUUUACUUCAAUUGUCCUUUUUAUUGUUAUGUUUAAUUUUAAAAUCAUAAUAUCAUAUGAAACUACAAUCAAACUAAGAUAAGUUUCUAAAUCAUAUAAUAGAAGCAUUUUUUAUUUAUUUAAUUAUUUCUUAAUAAAUUUUGAAUUAUGAGCCGAAUCUAAGAAUAUAAGUUAGGGAUAGUUUCUUCUUCAAACAUGCAUUACGAAAUGCCACAUUGCUUUGUCAACAAAAUCAUGGUUUUUCAACAUCAUAUUCUACUUACAAAAAUCUUUCAAGAUGUAAGGUUCCUAUUUAAUCAAAUUUUCCUGCAUAAUGAAGCCACCAAAGAGAUUAAUCCAAAGAUUAAUAACUAAAUAAAGAUGAUGCAUGUCUCUAGUUUAGAAAUUAAAUUGUUCUUCCUCGAUAGAAUGAAUUAGCUUUGAACUUAACUGAUGAAAUGCAUACGGAUUUCUGUAGACGUCUCCUCUUGGGAUGAAGGUUUCUUCCUUUUCUGAAGAAUAAUUCCUCCUCUGAAUCGCCCUGCGUAUUGCCUCUCGGGCUCUCGCCAGACCUUCUUCAAUCCUCUCCACAUGACUCAUUUUCUCCUAUAAAAUUGCACCCAAAAAAGAAAAGAAAAGAAAAGGAAAAACAAACGGUUAAUGAACGAAAUUGUUAUUAAGCUUCAAACCAAACAGAAAUCAUUGCUGAAGUGGUAGAUUAUCACGCACUCUGAAACGCUUCCUAAUCUCGUUAGUUGCACUGGCUCCAUCAGUGGAAGUUGAGGGAACCCCAUCUGCAGAAUCAUUUUUCGGCAACAGAGAUGGGGACGAUGAGGUUUGAAGGGUUUGGUGAGUUGUCUCUGAAAGGUUUGAAUCCGUAGGGAGCAAAUGGCGGAGGAUGUUUUGGUUUCGAUUUAUGGGUGACAGGUACAAAGGGAUGAGAACAAUGAGGAAGAGAAUAGCUGGAAAUAUUACGAACCGUGUGGGACUCGAUGUUGCCAUGGCUUCUUCACUUUUUCUGUCUUCUUCUCCACUCACUUUCGUGAAAGGGUAUGAGCGAUAGAUAUGGUUAUGAUACAGACAUAGAGCAUAGAAUGGAACCAAAUAUCUGUAGGUUUUUUUAUUCUGGUUCAUCACGCACUCUUGCUGCUAUUGUCCAAAUUCUAUAUGCGGGACUUACCUUUAGAGUAAUGCUGUCCAAAUUAUAUGAGUGGGAACCACCUUUUGAUGACUUGUCAAAUGGCAGACCAUCUGGUAAACAACAAAAGAAAAUCAUGAUUCUUAAUUAAAAAUAGAAAGACUGUAGGAAGGCUGACCAAGGCCAACAUGAAGGCAGCCUAAGAUUAAAUACAAGGGCUCUUUUCAAAUUAGGUUUGCUUGUAAGAGUUUUGUAAGGGUCUAACAUAAGACUCAAAAUAUUAGUAUCUUUGUUUUGGUUAAUUAUCUUGUAGAAUUUAAUUCCUUUUUUGUACUUUUCAUAACUUGUAGAGAAAUUUCUUCUUGUGUUUAAUUCAAAUUUAUUACAUUCAAAUUGUGGUUUGAAAUUGUCUUUGAACACAUUUUUAGUUAAAAGCAAAAUAUUGUCUCAAAGAAUGAUGACGAAGAUGGAAAGCUUAAUGGGUAUAGUAGAGAGAUAUGUAAAGCUUUCCAAAUUUGAGAUUGAUCAUAUGAAUGGUUGAAAGUGCCUUCUUUAUCAAUAGAAUUAGCUAGAGGUUGAAUGAUAAUACAAUACUUCAAUAUCAAAAUUUAAAUUUAUUCCUAUGCUCCUUCUAUUUUAACAAUAAUUGGGAAUAUGGCAAUAAUCAAUUCACAUGAGGUAUACAUGAUGAAAAAAUUACCUAUAUAUUUGAAUUUUCAAGAAAUUUUGUAGAUAUAAAAUCAUAGGUCAAUUAAUCAUCGGAGAUAAAAUUUACUAAAUAUUAGCAUAAUGUAAAUACUCUUAUAUGAUUUGCAUGCACCUACACUUAAAAGGGCUUUUACAAAUCAAUAUUUAUACUCUUUUUUCACAUUUCUAAUGUAACAUCUCCUACUUCUUAAUGGAUCACGUCAUUUUCGUGUUAAGGUUGUGAAUCAAUAUAGCACAUGUAUUUCCACUUAAAGGACUUUCAUGACAAAUACUUGAAAACUUUCAAAGUUUAGUGUUUAAAAGUAGAACAGUAGUUAUAUCCUCAAUUUGUGCAUCUCAUAGUUAAGACCACGGAAUAUUAUUUAUAGAAAAAUCCUAAAUGAUUUAUUCAAAGUAUAUAUAGAAGGUACGAUAUUAUUAAGAAGGACCAUUUAAACUAUUAAAAAAAAAAUUAACUUCUAUACAAGUUUGCCAAGCACUCAAACCACUCAUAGAGAGACUUUUAAAUGCCUUUUAAGGUAGUGUUAAAUGCCUUUUUACUUAGAGUUUUAAUUACUUUCCAGUUUUAAUAGCCCUUGCAAUGUAAUAAUACUCCAAACAUGCACUUACCCCAAUUGAAAUCAAUGUCUGAAUAACUUGAUCAUGAUCAUAAAGACCUAAGAAACUAAUUAGCGCUAGAAUCAAUAUUUAAAUAUAAUAAAAUUGUCAACCUAGUUUGAAGCACUAAUAGUUCAUCUAUUUGAUAAUUUUAUAACAAAAUAUAGAUUGUAAUGAACCCUCUCAAACUCUUAAAAUAAUGUUUACUACUGCCACAUGGAAUAGAAUCUUAAUCAUAAUAUGCAUUCCCUUCCCUCCUCGCUUAUUUUCAUAAAAACGAAAAAUUAUUCCAUUUUUGUGAAUCUUUCUUAGCACACUACCUAUGACCUAAACACACUCAAACAAAGCUAGGAAAAUUAGUGUAUGAAAAGCAUGUAAAAAAAAUGACUAGUGAACUUUUUUAUUUUUUAUUUUUUGUCACAAAACUAUUAAAGUAGAAAAUGUAGCUAAAAAAUAAUAAGCAUCGAGAAGCAGGAAGACAAAUAUAACCAAUAAUGAGACACAAGCAUCAUCAAAUAAACAUCAUUGAUCAUAUCUAGAAUUGUAAAGGCAUAACUAUGUCAUCCAAUAUAUAAUUAAAAGAGUAUUUGAACACAAUCCGUGAUAUCUAAAAGGAAUAGUCAAAUACAUCCAAAAAGAAGACAACUCAAUCCUAACCAAAUAUACUAAGGCUAUAUUUGGUUCCCGGAAAAUGCGAGAGAAAGAAAAUUGGAAGGAAAAAUGGAAGGAAAGAAAAAGGUAAGGAAAGUAAUAUAAAUUUUUUCACUUGUUUGGUUAUCCAUGAAAAAUUCAAGGGAAAAAAAUUUAUUUUCUUUUGUUUGGUUAACUAUGAAAAAUAAGUCAAGAAAAAAUGAAAGGAAAAUAAAUUCAAUAAUUUGUUUAAGAUGAUUAUCAAUUUAUAGAAUAAUAAAAUAAAUUUCAUAUUCGUAUUUUCUAAAAAUCAGAGGAAGACCCAAUUUUCCAAUCUUCCAAGAUGGAUUCUAGAUGGACCAAAUCGAAGAUCCUUCACAAUUGAAGGGUCUCAAAUAAAGCAAAGCACCAAGCCUGGGAGAGCUGGACGCCGCGGACGACGGGGAGGGGGAUGAAGCGGUAGAGGAGGGACAUGAGGCUGGUGGCGCCGAAGAUGAAGAGGGUGGCGGCAGUGGAGAGACUCGCGACAGCGAUUUGGGGGAGGGAGAGGAGGGGGUCAGAGAUGGCGACGACAGCGAUGGACUUCAUGGGUUGGAUAGGCAUUGGGAUGCUGAAGAGAAAGCCGGUGGAGAUGUUGUAGAGAGCCGUGAAGAUGAGGGUUGUGGAGAGGUCCAGAUGGUUGACCAGUGUGAGAGUUAGGACGAUGGGUAUGUAGGUGCCCAGGUCGCCCACAGAGCCCCCGAGCUCGACGGAGAGAGUGGUUUUGAGACGGAAGGAGCUGAACCACCACCGGCUGGGGCGGAUGAGAGUGGUGGUGGAAGGUGUGUCGUCGGCCAUGAAGGCAGCACAGUCAAAGGACUGAGUUUGUGAAUUCAGUUUUGCGGUGAGAGAGACAGACGAGGGCCGGAGGGGGCAUAGCAACCGGUGAAGAGCCCGAUAAAUUUUCCUUCCUCUUUUUCUCUUAUUUUCCUCGUUAUCUUUUAAGGAAAAUAGUAAGAAAAAUAUUAUGAUAUUUUCCAUCAUAUUUUCCUUUAUAUUUUUUUUCCAUCAUAUUUUCCAUGUAAUCCAAACUAAAGAAAAUGAUUUUCCACAUGAUUUUUUUUCCUUUCCUUAGCAUUUUCCAGGAACCAAACAUAGCCUAAUAGUCCAUAUUCAAGAGUGGGAAAUAUAUGCAAGCUUAGACCAAAUUGAGAAGUAGCCUAAAUUUAGGGAAAAAUUAAAAUUUCGUACUACAAGAAAACAUGCUUUUCCUAGUGAAAAUUUAGGAACAAAAUAAAUUUUUGUCACUAAAAAUAAUUUUUCUAAUAAAAUUCCAAAUAUUGUCACUAACACCAAAUUUUUGACAAAUUUUCAUGAUGAAAUUGAAAUUUCUCCUGCCAAAAUAAGUGGCAGAAAAUUUAGAUUUUUUUUCUCUUUUGUAUAAACAGAGUUAUGAUGAUUUAAUAAACUUAAUCCUACCACAAGUAAGAAUCAAUCUAAAGAAAAUAGUUAGGAUGUUAUCAAAGAGUUGGGUGCACUAAAGGAUUUGUAAGUGAAAGAAUUAAUGCACUUGAGUAGAGAGCUUUGCAUGAGAGAAAAUAAAUGGUAACAAAUAAACGCAAGUGUUCUCUUGGUCAAUAAAUGUAUAAGAACUCUCUAAUUUAUAGAAAAACUUCUCAGGCACCCAAAAUUUAGCAAAAAGUGCUAAAUUGGUUGAGCUUCAAUUCAAUCGAUUGGAUAGUAAUUGGGGCAUUUAAUGCUCUAUAGGCAACCAUUGGUGAGAUUUAGCUUUGAUCGAUUAAACACUAGAUAUUGGAAAAGAAAAGAUUUUUUAACAACUUUGCUUAGUCUGAUUCAUGCCUAAUUGGUGUCUCAGCUGAUUCGUGUCCAGCUGGUGCUCCUUGAUUGAGGGAGUAAUCAACAAAAUUUAUAACCUAUAACACCAUAUACUAGGGUAGCAAAGAAAAAGCUACUAUAGUAUAGUGGCUCUAGGAUCGUUCACUGGGAAGGAUUAGCAAGCUAUCAAUGAUACCAAUUCAAAGUGAAUUGAGCUUGUUUCAUUUCAAGGUUAGCUUAAGAAAUAAAACAUAAACUUUGAUUGGUAAAGAUUUAGACUUAAACUAGCUAACACAAUAAGUAAUGGGAAAAACUUAGGAAGACAAACAUUCCUUGGAGAGUUAGGUUUACUGGGGUGGUUCCUCGUGCAAAAGACAUAGUUCCGGUCAGAUGGUUCAUUUCCUCGCGUUAGAGAUUCAACAUAUAGUCAAUUCUUUAACCGGUGUUGUACAGAUACAUCCUUCAAUUAGAUUUCACUUUAAUUCUCUCAUUGAUGCAACUUGCAAUGGUUUAAGCCUCUCACUAAGCCUUAACCAUUCAAGGUGAUCUUUAACCUUGGAUUACCCGUCAAAAGCUCGCAAGAGAUAACUAAUGGAUGUCUCCUUGGAGUCUAAAAGCUUAGCAAGUGUUGGCUAUUCUAGAAAAUCCUACCCUAAAGUCACCUCCUAGAGGCUCGCAAGGGGUAAACUAGUGCAUUUCCACGGUUGGAAAUCACUUGCCUUACCAAGUGUUGGCCCAGGUGACUCUAAGGUGUUUUAAGUUAACUAAAAACAUAGAAAUCACUAAAGGAUUUCACUUCCUCUUCAUUACUUGCUAAAACCACAAAGCUUUGCAUUCUUGCACUUGGAACCUUCCCCAGCAACCUUAGCUCCAAGGAACUAGAGGUUUAGUUACUCAUCCUCUGGGGAAAACUCCUCAGAGAGUUCAUAACUUAGUAAGAAAUAAAUAAUACAAAGUGAGAAGGUAAGGCAAAACAAAGGCCUGAACUUUACUUGCUUUCCCAAAACUUUACAAAGGAUCCCCCCUUGAGAACAGGCUCCCGAGAGGUAUUUAUAUGAACAUAAUAUAAAACUAAUUAUUACAUAGAUAUUUUCUCUUUUUACUAACUUAAAAGCUAAGGAAACUUGUAAUUGGUGGCUUACAAGGAGUAUUUUGGGAUUUUGACAACAAAAAUCUGAUGUAAAAUAUCUCCCAAUGUCGGUAGCAAAUAUCGGGAUGCUCCAGGAACCAUUUCGCAAGAGAAAAUGGUGUCUGCGAGAUUUCGCAGACACUCAAGAAGGGCUGCGAAAUCACUUCGCAGCAAAAGGCCAUUCUCGCAGGGCUGCGAAGUUGGCUUCCACCUUGAGGUUCCCAGCUUCCUCCUUGCGGCAUAUAUCGGGCAACUUCAGAAGGAAAUACACCCUAUUGUACAAAAAGGCUGCGAAAUCACUUCGCAACAAAAGGGUGAUUUCGCAACACUUUGCAAAAUGCUUCCUUCAGCUUGGAGUGAUUGGCUUGCAAUGACUACAACUUCUUCGUUUCAACUCCGAAUUGCACACCGUUUGAAGCAUUGGAUUGUUGACUUCCUGAGCUUCGAAACGACAUAUAGCAUGCAUAAAUUGGACUUCAAGAAGUGCUCCAAAAGUGGCUGCCAUGACUGUCAUCAAGAAUAUGCUUCAUGGCAGAUUCUCUUUACUUUUUCUCAUUGCAUUCCGGAUUUACUCUUGGCAAAUGACUUCCAAGCUUUUCCCAAGAUUCCUCAUAACUCUCCUCAAUCUUGAAUUGCUUUGGUGAUCAAAUUACUAACAAAAACAUCAAAACUUACACAAAGUGAUUAAAAUUGCUUUCAAGGGUCCUUAACAUGCCAAUUGAGUUAAAAGGCCAAAACUACUACUCAAAAGUGUUUAAAAGGAUUAAUUAUAAGCUAUCAAAUAGCACUUUUUGAGUAGUAAUCAUAGUCCUCAUCAAUUGAGAAAGCUUAGGCGAUUGAACCGGUUCCUUAAUUGAUUCUAUCAGUUCAAGCCACCCUUGAUUGGUUAAGCAAAAACUAGCUCAAAAAGCUUCUCAUUUUAGCUCUAAUAUUCCAAUAACUUGAACAUUUCAUUUAAAAACCUUUAUAGGAAAUUUUUAAAAGAAUUUAGCCUAAGGUUUUGAGGUAAAAUGCGUAUUCAUCCAUUUUUAAGAAAUUAAGAUCAUUCUUAAACUAUCAAGGUAUGAAUGAAUGCAUUCGAAAGUGCAUGAGAAAUCAAUUUUAUACUAAGCGUACCUAUGAGACUCAUUUUACAUUGGUUCCUAGACAUCUUGAGUCUUCAAGGAUCCAUCUCUUUAUAAUGUUUAAAUUUCUUAUGAACAAUCUUAAGCUUUCUUCUGAAUUUAUCAAUAAAACCUAAAAUUUUAUUUGAUUUAAACAAGUUAGUACACUUAUCCUUGUUUUCUUAUCAUCAAAAUGUAUUUUGGAGAAUCCUUAGGCUAACAUCAAUUUUGAUUUUAAUGUUAAUUUUAGUAAUUUUAAUUAUAGUUUUAGUUGUUAACUUGAAUGUUAGUCUUAGUUUUGACUUUAAUUUUAAUUUUAUUUUUGAACUAAAUUCCAAUCCUCAUCUUAGUCUUAAUUUUAAUUUCAAUUUUGAAAUCAAUUUUAGUUUUGAAUUUAAUUUUUAUUUUUAUUUUAAUCUUCAUUUUAAUUUUAAUCUUAAUUUUAAUUUAAUCUUAAUUUUAAUUUUAAUCUUAUAAUUUUGAUCUUGAUUUUGAUUUUAAUUUUAAUCUUAGAAAUGAAAAGAAAAUUUGUUUUUUAUGAUUAAAAUUCAAAUUGGAGAACAAAAGUUUGAAGAAAACCAACAAAGGAAAAAUUUAGUUUAAUCUUAAUUUUAUUUUUAAUGUUCAUUUUAGUAAUUUUAAUAUGGUUUUAAUCUUUAACUUUAAUUUUUGUCUUAAUUUGGGUGACAUCACAUAUCGGAUAUGGGAGAAAGUUCCUGACGCUAUAUAUGUAGAGGCUCCUCUUAACCUUAUAGAUUUGUUUUAAAGUCGUGAAAGUUCAUUUGGGUCCAGAGUGAACAAUAUCUACAUGGUUGGGUGCGGGUCAUUACAAAUGGUAUCAAAACCGAUCCCUAACCCCGAUGUGGGAGUUUGUUUGGUACCAUAGGGGGUGUUUGUUUGUUUCACCCCAUAAUCUUGUAUGACACAACAAGGAUGUUAUGUUUGCAUAGGGGAGAAAGUUUCUGAUGCUAUAUAUAUAGAAACUCAUCUUAACUUUGUAGAUGCGUUUUAAAGUCGUGAGGGCCCCCUUGGGUUUAAAACGGACAAUAUCUACAUGGUUGGGUGUGGGUCAUUACAAAUCGUAUCAAAGUCAAUCCCCAACUCUAAUGUGGGGGUUUGUUUGGCCCCAUAUGAGGUGUUUGUCUGUUUGACUUCACAAUCCUAUGGAACACAACGAGGACGUUGUGUCUACAUAGAGGGUGGUUUGUGACAUCCCACAUUGGAUAGGGGGGAAAGUUUUUGGCGCUAUAUAUGUAUGGACUCUUUUAACACUGUAAACGUGUUUUAAAACCGUAAGGGCCCCUUUGGGUCUAAAGUGGACAAUAUUUACAUGGUUUGGUGCGGGUCAUUAUAAAUCGUAUCAGAGCCGAUUUCCAACCCUAAUGUGAGAGUUUGUUUGGUCCUAUAGGAGGUGUUUGUUUGUUUGUUUGGCCCCAUAAUCCUGUAAGACACAACGAGGACGUUAUGUCUGCAUGAGGGGUGUUUAUGACAUCUCACAUCGAAUAGGGGAGAAAGUUCCUAGUGCUAUAUAUGUAGAGACUCAUUUUAACUCUAUAGACACAUUUUAAAGCCAUGAGAACCCCCUUGGGUCCAGAGCAGACAAUAUCUACAUGAUUAGGUUGUUACAAAUAGUAUUAGAGUCGAUCUCUGACCCCACUGUGGGGGUUUGUUUAGCCCGUAAGGGGUGUUUGUCUGUUUGGCCCAGCAAUCCUAUGGGACACAACAAGGAUGUUGUGUUUGUAUGAGGAAAUGUUUGUGACAUCCCACAUCGGAUAGAGGAGAAAGUUCUUGACGCUAUAUAUAUUCCUCUUAACCUUGUAGAUGUAUUUUAAAGUUGUGAGGGUCAUUUGGGUCUAGAGUAGACAAUAACUACAUGGUUGGGUGCGGGUCGUUACAAAUGAUAUCAGAGCCGAUCCUCAACCUCAAUGUGGGAGUUUGUUUGGUCCCGUAGGGGGUGUUUGUUUGUUUGGUCUAAUAAUCACAUGGAACACAACGAGGAAAUUAUGUCUUUAUGGGAGGGAGUGUUUAUGGCAUCCCACACUGGAUAUGGGAGAAAGUUCUUAGCGCUAUAUAUAUAGAGGUUUUUCUUAACUCUGCAGACGCAUUUUAAAGCUGUGAAAGCCCUAUUGGGUUAAGAACGGACAAUAUCUACAUGGUUAGGUGUGGGUUGUUACAAAUAGUAUCAAAGUCAAUCUCUGACUAUGAUGUGGGGGUUUGUUUCACUCCUUAUGAGGUGUUUGUCUGUUUAACUCCGCAAUCCCAUGGAAUACAAUGAGGACAUUAUGCAUACAUGGUGGUGGUUUGUGACAUCCCACAUCAAAUAGGGGAGAAAGUUUUUGGCACUACAUAUGUAUGGACUCUCCUCUUAAGUAAGUAGACGUAUUUUAAAGUUGUGAGGGCUCAUUUGGGUCCAGAGCGAACAAUAUCUAUACGGUUGGGUGCGAGUUGUUACAAAUGGUAUCAGUGCCAAUCCUUGACCACGGUGUAGGGGUUUGUUUGGUUCUGUAAUCUUAUGGGACACAACAAAGACGUUGUGAUUGCAUGAGAGAGAGAGAGAGAGAGAGAGAGAGGUUUGUGACAUCCCACAUUGAUUACUACUCAAAAAGUACUCUUUUAUAGCUUGAAACUAAUUGUUUUAAACACUUUUGAGUAGUAGUUAAUACAUUUUAACUCAAUUGGCACAUUAUGGAACCUAGCAAGGGUUACUAAUCAGUUUUUAGCAAGUUUUGGUGUUUUUGGUAGCUAUUUGAUCAUUGAAACAAGCCAAGAAUGAGGGAGAAUUUUGUGAAAUCCAUGGCAAUGCAAGUUGAAGCUCAAAUACAUGAAGAAUCCGAGCUUUGGAGCACUUCAUAGCCCUUUGCCAAGACAAUCAGAGAUGCAAGAAAGAAAACCAGAUGAAGUAAUCCAACAACCGGCAUUUUCGCAUGGCUAUGCGAAAAUUUCGCAUAGCAUGCGAAAAUUUAGAGGAGGAGCAGUUGCAGGACUGAGUGAAGGACAAAUUUUGCAUACCCUGUGAAACCAUAAGAGGCAGCCAAAGAAUUUCGUACACUAUGCGAAAUUUCGCAUGGUAUGCGAAAUCUUCUUGUGCACCAACUCCGUUAGAUUUUUAUUUCUAAAUAUUUGGUGUAAUUUCCUAUUUUCUCCUUAUAAUCAACCUAGAUAUUUUCUUUUAUAUCUUUUUAUAUUUUUUUGGUAACAUCUUAGAUAGACACAGAGGGAGACACACAGAUGGAUGGAGAUUCAUUGAACACUUGUAAAUUCCCGUAGUAAGAAAUAUACAGAACUUUUGCUCUGUCUUUCCUUCUCAUUUUAUUUUCACUUUUCUUUUUAGCCAAACAACCUCUGAGGAUGAUUUCUCAAGGGAUGAGUGGCUAGGUUUUAUGUUUCUUGGAGUGAUAGAAGCUAGGUGAAGGACCCGAAUGCAAAGGUGAGAGUUGUCCUUGCUUUAAAUGAAAGUAGUUGUUAACCAUUAGUGGUUUUUAUUUCAAGGUUUAGCUUUAAAUCCCUUAAAAUCACCUUGAAUGACCAAUACUUGGUAAGCUUUUCGGAUUCUAUGGAUGCUUAUUGCUAGAUCCAUGGAUGUCCAUUAGUUAUCAUUUACGAGACAUUGGAAGGUGGUUCAAGGUGAGAAUCACCUUGAAUGGCCAAUACUUGGUAAGCUUUUCGGAUUCUAUAGAUGUUUAUUGCUAGAUCCAUGGAUGUCCAUUAGUUAUCAUUUACAAGCCAUUGGAAGGUGGUUUAAGGUGAGGGUCUUUAGUGUUUAAAGCCAUUAAUGGGAAACAAUUACCAUUUUUCAUGAACCUUUUGGAUCAAAUCUUAAUUGCUAAAUACAAAACCGGUUCGGGAAAUAACCAUCUUUUAUGUUAUUGUCCCCAACGCAAGGAGAAGAUCCGGAAUCUCCCCCUUUGCCUAAAGAACCCGAUCCUAGUGACCUAAAGCUCCAAGAGACUUUUUCUUUGUAGUUAACUUCACUUAUUAUUUUUGCUUAACUUAAAAUCAAUCUUUGCAACCACAAUUCCAUUUUCUUUAAAAGCUAAUUUUCAUAAGGAAAAACACCAUUUUAUUUCCUUCACUAGAGUCAACUGUACGAUGAAAACCCAUCCCUGUGGACGAUCCUAGAGCCACUAUACUAUGUUAGCUAUGCUACCUUAGUGUAAGGUGAUUUAGGCUUUAUAAAUUUUGUUGAUAACACCCAUCUAGGCCAAAAUCAAAUGGCACGACUGUAAUGGGGACGAAUCACACAUUGACAAAUUUUAACGACAAAUUGGUCAUGUAAUGGUUUGAAAAAUGUCUAUGAAAUAUAUGAGAUCAUGCUAAAAUUUUGAUAUGAAAUUUAGUUUACUAAAUUAUUAUGUUUGAAUUUUUUUUAUUUCUUGUUUUGUUUUAUUUUUUUAUUUUCUCAUUUUUGGCAUUUCCCUUAUGGGGCUAUGGAUUUGCUAGAUCCUAAGACUAGUAAAGUCUUUAAGGUUAAUGGCGAUAGGGUUAAGCCAUUUGUGGAGGGAAUCAAUGAAGUUGGGGAUCAAAUCCCCUUUCAAAUUAAUGUUGCUCACUAGCCCAAAUGAGUUCUUCUUCAUUUUGUACAUAGUUGGAGCUUUCAGGGAGUGUGUGCGUUCAUUUCUUUUGGUGUUAUUAUUUAUUUUUCUUUAUUUAGGUGGGUUGCUUCAUAAUUUUAAUCUCAAAUGGUGCAAAACAUAUGUUCUUCUGAUGGAAAGAAUGGGAGAUGGCAGGUGCUAGUUUGCUGUGGAUUCGAAGUCUUUCGAGAUUUUGAUCAACAUUGUUGGAGGGGGAGCUUCGUGGUAUCAUCUUGGAGAAAAGUAGAGGCUUCUCCACUUGGAUAAGGUUUGACGAUUCUAGUUUGAGGUGUUUUCUGGAGGGAGUGGAAGUUUGCUGUAGGGAGGAGAGGCUUGGGAAAGUUGUAAAAAAUUGGGAAAAUGAGAGAAAGAGAUUUAGAUUGAAAAAAUGUGCUAACGAGGUGGGGAGGUACAUUCUUUGCUAUGGUCGUAAUUUGGAAGCAAAGAGGUUCUGUUUGGUAUUUCUGGAUGGUAGAAGGAUUCUAGAAGGGUGGGUUUUGCUAGUUGACAAGCUNNNNNNNNNNNNNNNNNNNNNNNNNNNNNNNNNNNNNNNNNNNNNNNNNNNNNNNNNNNNNNNNNNNNNNNNNNNNNNNNNNNNNNNNNNNNNNNNNNNNGGGGGGGGGGGGUGAGUUUUUGGAAUUUGGGAGGUGACUUCUUUCUUACAGAAUUUGAGGUUGUAGAGGAAGCUGAAAGAGUGCUACGAAGAGGGAUUCGACAUUUUAAGGAUAAGACGUUUCAUCUAGAGAGGUAGGGACCCGAGGUAGGUUGUUUUUGCCCGGAGUUCAUGCAAAUCACUAUUGGGUGAGGGCGGUGGGGCUUCCUCUAAAUUUAUAAAACUAGAAGGUGUUCAGGAAAUUGGAGGAUAGUCGCGAAGGGUUGAUUGCUGUGGAUGAUGACACGUCUAAAUUUGUGCAGCUUCAGUGAGCUAGGCAUUUGUGAGGACGUAAGGGAAGAUUUACUUGGGUCGUUACAUUUGGUGGUGGGUUCCUUAUGUUUUGCAAUCUAGCUAUUGUGGGAAGUGCCACCUUGGGUGUCAGUGGUGGUGCCGACGCAAGGGAAGGAGUGGUCGAAUGUUAGAAAUGAAAGAGGUUUGGAUUCACACGUUUGGAGCAGCGUGGGGCCAUCGUGGGUGCAAGGGCAGACUCUAAGGGAUGGAGUAGUAGGGCCAGUUGGUGAAGGUAGAGCUUAGCAGAUGGGAGUUAUUUCUAAUCAGUAUGGCAUGAGUAUGGUCGAGGGUGCCGAGGUAGGUGUAGGAAAUGAUGGGAAUGGGAAGGGGAAGGGGAAUGAGAAAAGAGUAGUUGAGGUUACUAGUGUUAGUUCAUAUGAUGGAGUGAGAUUAAAGGGGAAAGGAAGUUGGCCUAGAGUGCUUUGGGUCGAGUCGGACAAGGUGAGAAACAACGAGCUUUUGAGAGCCCAGGAUUCCUGUCAGCGGGUUGUUGUUAAGUUUGGGCCUGUAGUCCAUGAGGUUCUUAGGAUGGACUUUUCUUUGGGGAUAUUAGGAGCCGUUGGGCUUGGGGACUCAAGCCAGUCCAACUUUCCAACUAUUAGUCAAGAGGGUCUAGCCUAGAUGACUGUUACUGGAAGAUUAAAUAGGGUUAGGGCUCCUAUUGUUGAGUCUUCGUGUUUGGAAAGGAGGCUCAUUGAAGCAAUUCUCAGUGUUGUGUUGUUGGCUAAAGAAAGAGGAAAGUUUAGAGCAUAUGAGUCCCUAUUGGAGGAAGCUUCUAGGUACUCCCAUUUUGAGACUUGCUCUUUUCUUAGCCUUGAGGGUCAAGGUUCUUCUUCUUCUUUCUGUGGAGGGAAAAAAGAGGUGGUGGUUACUAACCAAGACCUUGUGGCAUUCAAGGGCCAUCCUAUGUGAACGGAAAGGGGUUGGUUGACCCAUUGAGAGUAAUCCGGGUAGAUGGGAGGGAGAGGGGAGUUUCGAUCGAUUUGGAAGAGGGAACCAAAAAAUAUGAUGGGAGAGCGUUGCUAGCAAAAGAUGUGGAAAGAGUUUUGGAGGAGGAAAAAAUGAGUGUUUUGGGUUUGUGGAUAAAUGGUAGUUUCGUGAAACUUUGUCAUUGUCUGGGUAUGCCUACUGAGGGGUUUGAGGGGGAAUUUCGUUGCUUUUGAGAAAAAUGGAAGAGAGGAAAAAUCUUAAGGGUGUUUCGACCGAAAAAAGAAGGAAAAUACAAAAGGUUUCUAGAUCAGAGAAGGAAUUGAAAAAACUUAAGUGCUCAGUGAAUUACAGUGGUGCUAGGAGAAAUGCGGGGAUACUUCAGUUUGCUAACUAAAGUUGGUGUCUUUUUGGUGCUGAGAGGUAAGUGAGGUUUUUCUAGGUUUGUGUAAUGAAGUUAAGAAUAUUAUCGUGGAACGUAAGAGAGGCUAAUGAUUAUGAGAAAAGAAAGGUGAUCAAGGCAUUGAUUAAAGAUCAAAAUGUGGAUUUGGUGUGCUUGCAGGAGACUAAGAUGCAGGAGAUGUCAGAAAGGAUAGUGUGGACCCGCAUUUUUCACGUGCGUCCCCACUCGAUCGACGAGACUCGCUUUUUAUUUGUGAAAAAUUGAUUUUUGAAAAAAAAGUUGGAGUCGCCACUUAUUUUAUUUUUAUUUUUGAAGGGAAAAUAAAACAAGAAAUAAAACCCUAAAAAAAUUGACUCCAUAAUUUUUGGAAAAGCGUGUCUUUGAAAAACCCGAGUCUAAGUCCGGGGAUCAGGUUACUUAUUGGGAAGGUACCUCUAGGAGGUAGCACCCCUCUAAGCCCUAAAGAGGUCUCUACUGACUAAGUUAAGGGAAGCGUGGCAAUUAAAUGGUUGAUCUUGGAUACCUAAGUAGGCUAGGUGAUUCCAAAAAAAAACAUAACAUAUCAAACAAGAUCAAAUCACAAUUAAGGAGAGUUAAAAAUGCGUACCUGGACGGCUUCCCAAGCGCUAUCAUAAAACAUAAGAGAUUAGUUUGGAGAUACAUCACACAACAUUUGUUUUAUCAAAGAUAAUCAAACAAUCAUCAAAUGUAUAUCAAGGCAAUUAAAGAGGAUAGCAAGCAUGGACAUACAUAUUCAUAGGGUUUAGAAAGUGGGUAUUAUGGAACGUACCUGGAUAGCAUAUUUAACUCCUAAUGCGCUUCCACAAAACAUGAGAGGUUAGAUAACAAACAAUAAAAUAAGAAGUCCUAGCAUGCUCGUUAUCUAAUUAUCAUAGCAGAAAUUGUCAAAAUAUAUGAAAACAAUAAUUAUCACACUCAUCCUGUAUACCAUUUCUAAAAAAAAGAUAGACAUAAUUUCAACAAGUGACAAAAAUGGCAAUAAAAAUAAUUUUUGAAAAGAUUUUCUUAUGUAGGGGUUUCACCAAUUCCCCAAAUUAAUAUACACAAAUUUAGCCCAGAAUUAUCCCAUUAUUUGGGACCACAAGCUUUGAUUCGUGUUUUUGUUCAAAACCAAACUUUUUGUUAGAAACCGAGAAGGAUGCAAACCGAACAAAAUAUGGUUGCAUAUUAUUUUUUAAAAUAAAAAAAAAGAUUUUGAUCCUGAGGACUCUAAAUGAGUUUUUGAAAUAAAUUUUUAAAAUGAUUUUUUGAGAAAAGUAUUUUAUUUUAAAAUAAAAGGAAUUAAUUUGGAAAAAAUAAAAUAUAAGAAAUAAAAUACCAAACAAAACAAAAAUGAAACCUCAAAGUAAAAUUUUUUAGUAAUUAACAAAAAUGAUAAUGGUGAUGGUAGAGACCAAUCUUCAUGAUUUUCCAAUGGCCUCUAAAAAUCAAAUUUAAUAAAUAUUCAUCAAAGCAACAAACCAAACGACUUUAGAUCAAAUAAAACUAAUGAAAUAUUAAUCGGGAAUUUAUAAGGAUCAAUCAAACACAUAAAUUGAGAUAAACAAUCUAGAACUAAUUUAAAAUCAACCAAACACCUAAACAUGUAAUUAUAAUAAUGUGAAUAUAGUAACACAAGCACAUAGAAUUCUAAAACAUAUUAACUAAUCAAAAACUAGAAUCAUCAAUUUUAGAACGUGAGCAAAAUAACAUAAGAUUAGUUAAACUAAUUAACCUAUUAGAAAAAAAAAAAAAGCAUGAACUAAAUAUUGAUAAACCAAGAAUGAAGAUUAGUAUACUCAAAACAUGAAUAAUACGACUUAGGGUUAAUUAAAUUAGUUAUCUAAAACUUUGGAAAACAUACAAACUAAAAGUGGAUCAACCAAGAAUUAACCAAAUAUUUCUUAAACUAAUCAACUUAAAUCCUAAAAAGGAUGAAUCAGAAAAAUGAUUUACAAUUUUUUUUUUUAAAAAACAUAAAUUUAAUUAGAUGGGAUCAAAUAGACUAAUGAGCUAAAAUUCUAAAAUAUCUAAACUAAAUAAGAUGAACCAAAACAAGAUCAAAAUAAACUUAAAAACAUAAACUUUAUUACAUAGGAUCAAUUAGAAUGAUAGACUAAAAAUUAUAAAACACUUGAACUAAAUAAAAAGCUGACUCAUAAAAAAACUGACUUUUAAAAUUAAAUCUAUUAAAACCGAUCUAAGCAAAAUUCUAACUUUUCGAACUAAGCAAGGAAUCAAAUCCAAACUACACAAAGAUUCUAAUUUUUCAAUGUAAUAUAAUGAAUCAAAAUUAAAAUAAAACAAAAAAUUCUCACCUUUUAAACCAAAGUAAUGAAUCAAAACUAAGCAAAAAAAAAUUUACUUUUCAAUCUAAUAUAAAAAAAAUCAAAACUAGAUUAAACAAAAUUCAAACAUUUCAAAAAUAACGCAAGGAAUAAAAAAUAAAUUAAAUAAAAUUUUAACCUUUCAAUCUAGUUCAAUGAAUAAAAAAUUGAAUCAAACAAAAAUUCUAAUUUUUCGAGACAAACAUAAUGAAUUAAACUUAAACUAAACAAAACCUAACUUUUGAAACCAUGACAAUAAAUCAAAAUCAAACUAACUACAUCCUAACUUUUUCAUCCGAUUAAAAAAAAAAAUCAAAAUUAAUACAUAAAAACUCUAACUUUCAAUCCAAUAAAAAAAUUAAAACUAAAAUCCUUAGAAAUUCUAACUUACCUUCUCUAGAGUUCCUCUAUGGUGGUGCGGCUGCUAGUGCUCAAUGGUGAAUGUGUGGUGGCUGCCUCCUUCCUCUUCCUUCUCACCGGCCUCUCUUUGUUCCCUAAAAAUAAUAUCUCUCCGUGUCAAUCUCUAAAAAAAUAAAUCCUUCCGUUGCUUCCAAAAAAUAAUAUCUCUCCGUGUGGAUCUCCAAAAAAAAAUCCUUCCUCCUAUAUGGCAGCCUCCUCCUUUAUACAUAUAUGAGUUGCCUUCUUUUUAUUUGGAAAGUUCGUCUUCUCCCAAUUGUGCAUGGCUUUUCCUAGUAUGGAAAAUGUGAUUGCCAAUAUACCGAAUGCAUGAUUCUGUCCUCCAAAAAAAUAUCUCAUGCAACCACAAUAUUUUCUUAUUAAAAAUUCAGCUUCCCAUAAAUUCUCUAGUGUCAUUGAACUCCAAUUUCGAAUUGCAUAAAGAUACCUCUUAGACUUUCUAUCACACCCCAUUUCAUCAACCCUCCUCACAGAAUCUUUAAUACUCUCCGGCUUAUGCAGCAAAAAUCUCGGGAAGCUAAAUACAACUUUCUUUAUCUGUGUCGUGCUGAUUCCACAACUCUUCAUGAAUUCAAUAUUAGGUUUCAAGGUCUUCCCUAAAUCAUGUUUCAGAAACCGCGCACAAAUCUUCAAAACCUUAGAGACAUCCGAGUUCGAACCCAUAACACUCUGCAAUGCUACAAUUGAUGGCAGCAAGCCAUUAUUAGCACUCCUAUUUAAGAUCCACGGGUCUUGCGAUAUAAUAUAAGCAAUGUCGGUGGGCGUACAGCCCAAAUCCUGGAAAAUCUUGAUUUUGGGCUUGAUGGUCUUGUCAAGGUUGGCAGAGAGAACACGGGGGACUCGUUUGACUGUUUUCUCGAGAUGGGUCUGGGAAAAGCCGCUUUCCUUGAGGAAUGCUAGUAUGGAAUCAGACUUCUCGGGCUUUUUCAAAUGUUAUCACAGAAGCGGCCGUUAGAGCGGUUUCUUGGGAGAACUGGUGCCGCUUGAUCAAGUAAUCGGCAGUAGAGACGGGGAUAGCUGGUUUUUUUUUUUUUUUUUUUUUUGGGGUCCGGAGGAGGAGAAGAAGAGGAGAGAGAGGGAGCAGGAGAAGUGAGGUUUGUUGGUGGAGGCAGCGCAGAAGCAGUGGUCGCCGGAAGAGGAGCGAGCUUGGGUAGUUAUUGUUCAGCGUGGAGUUCCGGUUCGACGAUUUCUUCUUGGCAACGUUGAGGAGAUACCUGUCCACGCUGGGUUUUAGUCAAGAAGGUGAGCCUUUUCAUGUUGGUCGCGGUGGAGGCGAUGAUGGUGGCGAACUCUGUCGGCAGUUGUGAACUUCCCCUUUUUCAAUGCAAAAUUCCAGAAGCACUAGCAGUCCUGUUGCGGCUUCUUUUUUAUAUCGGCAUCAGAAGUCACUAAAACUCCAGUUGUCAUUCACCCUCAGGCGUGGUAUGCAUGCCCCCAUGUCCACAUGUUCUUCACGCCAGAUCAUCCUCUCCAGAGACUUCCAGAGAAACUCCAAAAAUGCCUGACCUCCUAUGCCUUGCUCACGUGACAGCUGCAUCAACUUCAUCCUUCUUUAAAAUUCCUCUUCCCAUGCAAAAUAUAAUAGAAUAAUAGUAUAAAAAAAAAUUAAAAGGAAACUAAAGAAACUAAUGAAAUUAGUAAUAAAAUAGAAUAUGAUUUCAAAAAAAAAGGCAAAGGAAUAAUGAGAGCUUAGAUAAUAUCAUUUCCUCCUUCAAUAAUAGGGUCACAUGCGUAUUUAAAGUAUAAACAAUUCAAGCAAUUUUUUUUAUUAAGUAAAUAAAUAAAAAUAAAUAAAUAAAUAAAGACAAUUAAAUACAUGAAUAAAUAAAUAAUAAAAAGUAAAAGUAAAAAAUGAAUAGACAAAAUAAAUGUAAUUAUCAAAUACAUGCCAUAAUAAUAAUAAUAUUGUAUAUAUAAGAAAUAAUAACAAUAAAAUGUUGAGCCUCAAUGAAAUGUCUAAAUGGACCUAUUCUGAAAAAGGUGUCUAAGUGACCCAAGUGACGUGUGUAAAUAAGGAGGUGUCUCGGUGCGAGUCAAGGUGAAUCUAGGUGGGCCUAGGGUGCCUAAAUGGACCUAGGGUGCCUAAAUGGGCUUAAGUGCCUAAGUGGGCCCAGGGUGCCUAAGUGGACUUAAGAUGGUGCUUAAUGGGCCAAGUGCAUCUCAAAACUAUCCUAGAAAUGAAUGAAAAGUCUAAUUCUAAAUUAGGGCUGCCAAAGGUCACAAUAAGGGGUCAGAUAAUCCCUCAACCAAAGUCUCUGAGGUGGCUCAAGAAAGAUAAGUAGUAUGAGUAGCUAUGGGCCACCAAGGAACUACUAUAAAGUAUCGAAUAAGUAUCUAAUAGGACAUGUGCUAGGAGGACAAAAUUGAGGGUCUACAGAUAGUCAGGAGCCUUGGUGUGGGAAGAUGUUUAGAUUGGGAGGCCGUCAACUCGAGAGGGGCCUCUGGUGGAGUGUUGGUGUUUUGAGAUAAUAGGGUGUUACAGUUAUUGGAGGCAGAAGUAGGGAUUUUCUCAGUGUUUUAGUGGUUCAAAAUAUGUGAGGAUGACUUUUGUUGGAACUUCACUAGGGUCUAUGGUCCUACGUUGAAAAAAUAGAGGGAAGAUUUUUUGGAUGAAUUAAAUGCUAUGAGAGGGUUAUGGGGUGGCCCUUGGUGCAUGGCAGGUGAUUUUAAUGUGGUUAGGUUCCCUGUGGAAAGCAGUAUGAGAGGCAGACUAACCUACUCAAUGAAGAGAUUCUUGGAGAUUAUUGAGGAUUUAGAGUUAAGGGACCUACCUUUGCAGGGAGGCUCUUUCACUUGGAAUGGUGGGUUGAAUAAUCAAUCUCAUUCUAUGCUUGAUCGGUUUUUGGUCUCAAAUGAGUGGGAAUGUCACUUUUCAGGGGUUGUGCAGUGUGUUCUUCCUAAACCGGUUUCAGAUUAUUUUCCAAUUCUUCUAGAUGGGGGAUGAGUGAGAAGAGACCCGAUGCCUUUUAGAUUUGAAAAUAUGUGGUUGAAGAAGAAAGGUUUCAAGGAAAAAGUGUAGGCUUUGUGGGAAGGUCUCAGUUUUAGUGGGUCUGCUAGCUUUGUGUUGGUAGCUAAGUUGAAAGCUUUGAAGCCAUUAUUGAGAGACUGGAAUAGGUUGGAUUUCGGUAAAAUGGAAGUCAAUAAGACUUUGGCUUUGAAUCAGGUGGAUUUCUGUGACAAGGUAAAGUUAACCUUGCCUCUUACUGUUCAUGAAUUGGAAGCAAGGAGAGAAGCAAAUGAGGACUUUAAAAAGUGGGUUUUUCUGGAAGAAAUUUUGUGGAGACAGAAAUCAAGGAAAGUUUGGCUGAGUGAGGGGGAUAGGAACACUAGUUUCUUCUAGAGGAGAAUGGGGUUAGAAAUGGUGUGGUGAAUGAGUUUAAGUUGUUGAUGUCUGUUGCAAGAUGAUGGAGACCCAAUAUAAGUGGGAUGUCCUUUGAGAAGUUGGAGUCUAUGGAUGCAACUAGACUGGAUGAGCCGUUUUCAGAGCAGGAGGUGCUAGAAGCUCUUAAGGGCUUUUGUGGGGACAAAGCGCUUGAGCCUGAUGGUUUUCCUAUGGCUUUUUGGCAAUUUUCUUAGGAUUUUGUGAAGAAGAAGAUCAUGGAUUUUUUGUAGGGAGUUUCAUAACCAUGGUCGGUUUGUUAAAAGUCUAAAUGCAACGUCCUUUGUUUUGAUCCUAAAAAAAAAAAAAAAAAAACAGAAGACUUAAGGGACUUCAGGCCUAUUAGUUUGGUGGGAGGGUUGUAUAAGUGACUGGUUAAAGCUAGUGGUGGGUAAGGUGGUCUCUAAGGCUCAAAAUGCUUUUGUGGAAGGAAGACAAAUUUUGAAUGUUGUCUUUGUUGUUAAUGAAGUUAUAGACUCGAUAUUGAAGAGCAAUGAAGGGGCGGUGAUGUGUAAGUUGGAUAUAGAAAAUGCGUAUGAUCAUGUGGACUGGUCCAUCUUGUUUUCAGUCAUGAGUAUGAUGGGUUUUGGGGAGAAAUGGAUCCGGUGGAUGCAGUGGUGUAUUUCCACAGCCAACUUUUAUGUUCUGGUUAAUGGGUCUUCUUCAGGUUUCUUCCAAAGUUCUAGGAGUUUAAGGUAGAGGGAUCGCCUCUCUUCGUACCUAUUUGUGAUGAUUAUGGAGGUUCUUAGUUGUCUCUUAAGGUGUGCAGUAAAUGAGGGUUUUUUGUUAGCCUUUAAGGUGAGGAGUAGAGGAAGUGAGGGGGUUCAGGUGUCUCAUUUACUUUUCGCUGAUGAUACUUUGGUUUUCUGUGGAGCUUCUAAGGAUCAAUUGUUGUAUUUAAGUUGGAUUUUAAUGUGGUUUGAGGCCAUGUCGAGGUUGAGAAUUAAUCUGGAUAAAAGUGAGUUAAUAUCAAUGGGUGGUGUGGAAAACACGGAGGCUUUGGCCACAAAUCUUGGGUGUAAGGUUGGAAGUCUUCCGUCCACUUAUUUGGGAUUGCCAUUAGGUACGCCUCAUAGAUCUGUGGCUGUUUAGGAUGGAGUGGAGGAUGCAGAAGAAAUUGGCUAGAUGGAAGAGCUAAUACAUUUCCAAAGGAGGAAGGAUGACCUUGAUUCGGAGCACUUUGGCGAGUAUGCCCAUUUACUUCAUGUUUGUGCUUUUUAUGCUUAGAAAGGUCAGAUUGAGGAUACAGCAGAUUCAGAGGGAUUUUUUGUGGGGAGGUGAGACCCUUGAGUAGAAACCUCAACUUGUUCGGUGGGGUUUGGUUUGCCUAGAUAAGAGCAAAGAGGGGUUGGAGGUAAAAUACCUUUCUACCCUCAAUAAGGCACUUUUGUGUAAAUGGAGCUGGAGAUUUGAAAAAGAGAGAGAGGCCUUUUGGAAUCAAGUGAUCAGGGGAAAGUAUGGGGAGGAGCAAGGGAGUUGGUGUUCUAAGUGAAGAGUGGAUAUGGUGUGGGGUUAUGGAAAACAUUUAGGAAAGAGUGGAGUGUUGUAAGUAGUAGACUCUAUUUUGUAGUGGGAAAUGGGUAAAAGGUGAAAUUCUGGAAAGAUAGAUGGUGUGAGGAUGAACCUCUUUGUGUUUCUUUUCCCUCUUUAUUUGAUUUAAUUGUCUUCAAGGAUGCUUGGGUAAAAGAUGUGUGGUGUUCCAAUGAGGGUGGGGGGAGUUGGAGCCCACACUUCUCCAAACCGUUUAAAGAUUAGGAGAUGGAUGAGGUGUGCAGAUUCUUUUUGGGCCUUAAUGGGAAGAGAGUUCGACAGGCAGUGGAAGAUAGGGUGAUUUGGAGAGAGACUAAAUGUGGGAAUUUUUCUGUUAAGUCUCUCUACAAAUCAUUAGUUUCAGGCCUUCCAGCCUUUUUCCCUUCGUUGGCCAUUUGGAAAGUUUAUGUGCAAUCUAGAGUGAGUUUUUUUUUGGGUAGGAAGCAAUGUGGGGAAAGGCUCUUACCUUGGAUCAACUUCAAAAGAGAGGAUGACCUUUAGCUAACAGAUGUUAUCUUUGUCAAAGGCACGAAGAAUCAAUAGAUCACAUUUUUCUCCACUGUGCCAAGGCAAAGACUCUUUGGGCGUUGCUUUGCUCUCUUUUUAGGGUGCAGUGGGCGCUGUCGGCAAGAAACAAAGUUGUCUUUGAGGAAGAAGAGUUGUCAAUCCAAAGACUUAAGAAUUCUUUUAUAUAUUUCCUUUGGUUAGAGACGAAACUAUUUAUAAAAGAUGGUCCUUGGACUUUAGUUGAUUUUAUUGAUUGGGUGGGAACCUAUUGAGGGUGGGGUUCGGGCUGCACCUCCGUCCUUAGCAUCCAACUAAGGAGUGGGUUCUUCUUUGUAAUCUUUAAGUCGUUGCUUUGACAAUUUUUUAAUACAAUUUUAUCAUUUACUUAUAAAUAAAAAAAAAAUUAAUCUCAAUAGCUCUCUUUGCAUAACUUCUUGUAGACUUGUGGAUUCCAUAGUUGUUUGUGGUUGUUGCCUUUUUUUCUCAAGUACUAAAUUUGUACACCACCACACCCCCCCCACAAAAAAAAAAAAAAAAAAAAAAAAUAGUGCACUAAGGGGCUUGAAUUUGAAAGAGAGGACACUCAAGGUCCAAUUUUAAUAAAUCUUACUUUAUAUAUUUUGUAUAAUAAUUACAUACAAAAUAAAUAUACUUAUAAAUAUAAUUAUAAAUAGUUUUAAAAAUAAUUAUACAUAUCAUCAUUAUCAUUUUUUUUUAUAUCCUUAAACUUAUCCAAACUAAGAAUUAAAUGUGUGUUUUCAAAUUCCUUAAAUUAUUAUCAAAUGUCACAUAUUUUAUAAGUUAAUAUACAUUAUUUUCUUCACUAAGCUAGCUUCAAUAUGUGCAUUAGUAGUUGUUUUAUCAUUUUCUGUAAGUUUCAAUAUUUUUUAGUUUGAUCAAUUUUCGUUUUACUGAUCUUUUUUUAUUUGAAUUUGGGUCCCUUGUUUCCAAUAUUUCUCUUUGUUUCCCUAAAUCCAAGUAUUCAUAUUUUCAUAAAUUCUCAUAUUCAAAAUGGGAUAAAUUAAUGGGAUGAAUUAGAUAAUAACAGCAUUAGUCAAGUCAUCCCUGGAAGUUUUAUUGAAAGAGAAUUUUGAAACAUAAAGUCGUGAAGUAGAAACCACGCUUGGCACUCUAAUGAAACAUAAAAUUAUUCAGUAGCAACUACAUUUUAAUAGUAGAAUCAAACAUACAAAAGUUCAUUUAUUCGGACACUGGACUUAGCUUAUCAACCCCUUAACCGAAGAAAAGGGACAUGCUCUCCAAUGAAAUAAAAGAGCAGUUCUCGGUAAUAGGAGUUCAAGUAGAGAAAAGCAACGAUGCAUAAGAAUGCCACUCCGUAUGAUCCUCCAAAACUCCAUAAGAAUAUGGCUUCCCAAGAGCUAUUUUCUCUGUUGUCUGAAACUGGUGGUUUGACUGCAGGUGGGGCACUAGUGGGAGUGCAACUUUGAUCUAAUGGCAGCCCACAUAGAAGAGGGUUGCCCUCGUAACUGCUUUGUUCAAAUGUUGCAAACUGAAACUUCCUCUCUGGAGUCUUACCUGAUAAAUUGUUGUGAGCGACAGUGAAAAUCGUCAAGAAGUUUAACUCUAUUACCAUCUGUGGUGGAAUUUGACCUGUCAAUCUAUUGUGGGAUAGGUCCAAGCUUUCUAUUUCCUUUAGGUUGGAAAAUGUAUGUGGAAUAGAUCCUGUCAACUGGUUGUACGAUAAGUUUAGAGUAUGAAUCCCACUUAGAUUUCCAAUUUCUGGAGGAAUUGGACCUGCCAAUUUGUUCCCUGAAAGAUCCAAUCCAGACAUGAAGUACAAGAUGUUUCCCAUAUAAGAUUCGGACCUACUCUUUGUUAUGAACUCUAUUUCUUCACUUUCAGCGGAUGUCUCAAAACUGAAAUCCAUAUCCACGUACACAGAAAGUUGAUUUUCAUAUGAAUAUGUUUCUGGGGAAGCACCCCACCACGACUCAAAGCCUUCUAUAAAAAAUGUGUCAUCCAUUAAUGCAACUUCUCUUCCAAAAGUUAUAUUAUCUAGGCAAGGAGGUAUGGAUCCGGAAAGAUGAUUAUGAGAAAGAUCCAGUAUGCUGAUUGAUUUGAGCUGACACAAAUGAAGAGGAAUUGAGUCUUCAAGUUGAUUUCCUUUCAAGAGAAGAACCCUCAAUUUUGAAAGUAAACUAAUCCAAGGGGGAAUUGGGCUUGAUAGUUUGUUAUCCCUCAAAUUCAAUGUCACAAGAGAGGUAGCUUCAGCCAGAACAUGGGGUAUAGGUCCUAUUAGUUCAUUGCUUUCCAAAUGUAAAAACUUCAUGUUUGUUAGAUUGGCACAAAGAGGAAGGGUUGGGCCAAUUUUGUUGUGAGAAAGGUCUAAAAAGCGUAGUUCAUUGAGUUUGCAAAAGCCUGUUGGCACAACACCAUCCAAAUAAUUUCUAGACAAGAUAAGUGUCCUCAAGGCUGAGAAGUCUCCAAUCGAAUCUGGAAUUUGACCCAUCAACGAGUUGGAGCUGACAUCCAACAAUAGUAGGGAAGAGCUAUUCAAAAAUCCACGAGAAAUCUCUCCCCAGAAGUCAUUGUUAUCCAAAGACAAAGAGGAUAACAGUGUCAAGUUCGAUUUUAUGGGAAGAGUGUCAUGUAAACUAUUGUUGGAUAGCUUUAAAACCUCCAAUGAGAUGCAACCCAUCAUCAUGUGCUCAGGUAGUUGUCCCGAGAGAUUAUUGUUUGACAAAUCUAAAGAUCCCAACUGUUCCAUGUCACCCAUUGAGGAAGGAAUAUUACCUUGUAAUGCAUUUCCAGACAAGUUUAAGACCUCCAACCUUGGAAAAAUAGAGCCGAUGAAAGGUGGAAGCUCUCCAUGAAUGCAAUUCAAGGAGAAAUCAAGCACACACAUGUAGUAAUGUAUUGAAUUUGAGCCCAAAUCAAGAACACCUGUCAAGCUGUUACUUUCAAAGCUUAGGUAUUCUAGUUUAGUAUUAUUGGCUAAUAACCAGGUUGGGACUUUUCCUGUCAUAUUGUUGUAGCCAAAGUCGACCACUCUCAAAUCAUAUUGACUCAAAAGAAAGCUUGGUACAACCUGGCUUGGCCAAUUGAGGGUGCAAUUGGAUAACCGGAGGAUUUUCAAUUGAAAUAGAGGAAAUGACCAUGUUGGAUUUUCAGUCUCAACCUUCAAAUACUUGUUAUUGCUAGAAAGUUCGAAGACCUCGAGUCUGGAGUGGUUGAAAAGUGAACCAAAAUAGAUUGAGCCCUCGAAAUGAUUGUAAGAAAGAGAAAUGUACUCGAGUGACUUCAGAUUGGAGAAGAGAGAUGGAGGAAUAGUUCCACGAAAAUCAUUUCUGGAUAGGUCAAGCAAACGUAGGGAUGUCAAAUUGUUGAGGCACGCAGGAAGACUACCCUCAAAUCCAUUAUUACUAAGAUCCAGCUCUUCAAGGUUGAGUUUGCACAAGCCUGUAAAAGUGAAACAUGUAAUUUAUAAUUACAAUUAAAAGUAGUGGCAAUAACUACUAAGGGAAAAAUAUAUUCUGGAUUAUCUUGGCUGAUAAAUGUCACCACAAUUCCUAAGGUAACUUGUUGAUAAUUUUAAAUAUUUUUGUAAUUAUAUUUUUAUUUUUAUUAAUAAUAAAUAUGUUUACCCUCUCAAUCUUUUUAUUUCCUGUUUUAGAAAAUAAAAUUCCCUAGCAUUUUUAAGAAGCCAAACAUGUACCUGUUAAUAUCUAAAAUGGCAAAGAAAAUUUCAUCAUUCAAAUCUACAUUUAUAAUUACUGCACAUAUUAUUCCUCAUACUAUUUUCUCCUUUAAUUCUUAAAAUUUAUUUUAAAAUAAUGUUUGUCAAUUACAUCCACUAGUUGACACUAUUAUUUUGUUUAAAUUUUUUAAACUUGUGUGAUAGAGUUAAGUGGGAAAUUUUAGUGGUAAAAAACAAAUUAAAGAGAUACAAAUGAAAUACUAAAAUAUGAAAAAAAGAAAAAAAGAAAAAAAAAACCAUUAGGAAAUAAACUAGAGAGGAAAAAAGUAUAGAAAAAUAAAAAAUUGAUUUAUGCUAUAUUUGGUUGCUAGAAAGUUUGAUUAAAAAUGUAAAGACAAAAAAAUAGAGAAGGGUAAAAGGAAAGUAAAAAUGAAGCAAAAUAAAAAAUAGCUUUAAAGUUAAUAAAACUUUAAAUUCUUUUCACUUAUUUAACUCUUAUAUAUAAAAAUUAAAUAAUGAAAAUAUAUAUAAUUUUCUUUCAUAGUAAAACUAAAUAUGAAAAAAAUCAUUUUUCUUGACAUUUUAUUUUUAUUUCCUUAAUACUUUCCAGUAACCAAACAUAAUAUUAAAGUUAAUAAAUUAUUUAUAUAUAAUACUUCAAACUCAAUUCACUUAUUAUAACUUUUUAUAUAAAGAUUAAAUGUUUUGAAAAUGUAUAAGUUUUUUACUAAUUUUAAUUAUAUUUUAUUAAUUUUCUUUGAUAUUUUUCACAUUACAAUCAAACAUGACAAAAUUAUUUUCCUUUAUUUUCUUUAGAACUUUCCAAGAACCAAACAUAACCUAAGAUUUACUAUACUACAACCUUGAACAUGAUUAAAUUGACCAUAGAAUGGACUUUACUCAUUGAUUCUAUGUAACUUCAUGUCAGGAGGGACAAGUUUUGAGAGUUAAAAUUGACAUGCAAAUCAAGUAACUACAACCAAUCAAGGGACUCAAAUUUAGUUAAAAGCUUGUUUGACAAUGAUUCUAGAAAACAUUUUAAACAUUUUUACCACUUGAAAACAACUUUUUUUGAUAAAAGAAAAAAAGAAGAAAAUAAGUAUUAAAAAUGUUACAAAUACUUCAUAGAAUUAUUACCAAAUAGAUUUGAAAUGUUCAACAUAGAACUGCAAAUAAGUCACAUUUGUGUUUUUGAGUUCCUUGUAUCAAACUCAAAAUCGCCAAUCAAUCAAACUCAGAAUUUCCAUAAACCAUACUUGUUUGUGAUAUUCAACAUGAUGUCUAUACAUGUGCAUGCAUCAUCAAACUUAAAAUUAUGAAUCAAAUUUAGAAUUGUGAAUAAGUCAUACUUUUGUAUAUAGGUGUUACUCAACAUGAUGUGUGUGGUUAAAAGUUCAAUUUAGAUUUAAAAAAAAAAUUGAUGAAUCAUAAAGGAAGUACAGGGUAAAAAUUAAAUGAUUAAAAAUAUAAUUUUAAAUCAAAAUAUGAUGAAUCAUAAAAAGUGCAAUGUGAAAUGUAAUUAAAGAAAAUUCAAUUGUUUCAAUUUUAUUUUCUAACUCUAAUAAAGCUUGUUUUACAAAUUGGAAUAAGUAUAUUUGCAACUUAGAAUAGCACUCACAUGGGAACUAGUUAACAAAUCUAUGUUUGGAAUCCAUAAUAAAAUUCAAAAUCCUAGCCACUUACCUUCCAUGGAAAAAGAAUCAUUUAAAUUAUUGUAGCCAAGAGAUAAGGCUUUAAGAUAGCCCAAAGUGCCAAUAAUCGGUGGAAUACCACCCAUUAAACCAUUCCCAUAUAGCUUCAACACCUCCAGUCUGCUCAAAUAUUUAUGUCCUAUCAAGCAAUUGGCAAAUAGAUUAGUAUUACCAGCAAACUGAAGAUAAACCACAUGAUAUUAUAUAAGUUUAGAUGCACACACUUUGCAAUUGGGAAGAAUUUAUAUUAUUGGCCUUAACAUUUAGAACCUCGAGUGAAGGUAGGGCACUUAAAAUUGGAAUUGUUCUCAAAUCAUUCCAUCCAACAUCCGUAAUUUCUUCAAUCCUAGUAAGUCUUGAAAGCCUACAUUAUUAAUAAAUAAAUAAUAUUCAUAUGUUUUGCUUAUGGAUUUGAAAGUUAUACUCGUAAUUAAUUUUAGGUUAUUGGGCAUAUAGAAAUAUGGAUAAGAAUAUCCAAGACAAUAAAAUAUUUCAAAAUAGUUUUAAAUAUAACUUAAUUAUCUGAAGCAAAUAUUUGUAAAUGUUAUUGCAGAAUCAAAGCAGGGGUAAUUAAGAUUACCUUAAUUAUAUAUUGUGAAAAAAAAAACUAGUUUAUGUCAAUUUGAUUGUGAAAAAUUACAAUAAAGAAUAAUAAUAGGAAGGAGAAAAUAAGAAAACAAAAAUAUAAAAUGUAGAAUUUACAUAACAAUUUACGUUUUCAACCAAAAGCCUAUAUAAAUUGGUUCUAUUCAAUUUGAUUAGAAAACAAAAUAGUUUAUGUCAAUUGCAAAUAAACUUAAAAUGCCUAAAAUUUGGUAUGCAAGUUAGAAGGCAUUAUAAGCUAUUGUAGCUUACUUAAGCCCAUCAUUCUACUACAACACCUUCCUCUGAUUCUCCGUUCUUAAAUACAUUAUCUGGAAUUUUAUAGAAAACAGGUUGUAGCUGGUGUUAUUGCUUCCCUGGGCAGCCUAUCUUGCUUAUGAUUUUUAUAGUUGGGAGCUGGUGAUAUUAAAUAAGACUUGUCCUGAAAUUUAUUUAUUUUUGAAAUUCUAAUUUAGGUUCCUUGCGUUCCCAUCCAAGCGAAAAAUAUUUGAUGCAGCCCACGCCCAAUCCAUUGUUCCUGGCCCAAGGCCCAGGCUUAGUUAUCAGAGCCGAGGCCUUAUGAUUGCAUGUGGGCCUUUUGCCAACUCUUGGGCCGGCUAUAUAUAAAUGAAAGAUUCAUUUACAUAGCCUAGAGGCCAGGGUAUCAAACCCCUACAUGGUGUGGGUACAGAAACUGCACGGACAGUCUUUGCGAUGGCUUCUUAUUUUUGUUUUAAACCGUCACAAUUUUUAGACAUAAAAACUCUUAUUGAGCAUGAAAAAGAGUUUUUUAACUUUUUAAAAAUCAGACAAACAAGCCCCCUAAGGCACAUAAAAGCACUUUUGUUUCUUACCAGUUACCACAACUCCUACUCAAAUUGCUUACCAAUUGUUCAAAAAAGUAACAAGCUAGUUGAAAAAGUAUAAUAAUACACUAAUUUCCUGGGCAACACACAAUCUAAUCUUACAUUAAAAGUAUUUAAAGAGAGAUGAAAAAAGGAUGGAGAGAAGACCAAGAGAAGAAAUAACAAAUAGUUGUAAGAAUACUAUAAUUGCCACUUAUUAUUACUGUUCCAAGUUAAAAUUGAAAUCGAUUGAAAUUUCGUAUUCUUGGAUUUCACUUAAAUUGAGCUAGCAUAUUCAAAAAAUUAAGGAACCCAUAAAGAAGACAAUAAAAGAUGGACUACUACCCAAUAAACUUAAUAUUCAUUUUUUUAAAAAAGUUAAUAAUUAGAGAAAUUUUAAUGAAAGAUGGAAAAAAAUUAGAAAGGUGGUAAAUGGAGUGUAAAACAUAGAAGAAAGGUGCCUUAGGUAUAAGGAAAGUGAUGUUAUUUAAUGCCACAAAAAUACUAAAGCUUAGUUUACCUUCCCUAAAAUACUAAUUUUAAAUUUAUACAAAAAAAAAAUCAAAUAUAAAAAAUAAACCUUUUUAUACCAUAAAUAAAUAAAACAAAUUUUUGUUAUUUUAUCUUCAAAUUCUAUUAAACUAUUGAUUGGAAACCUAAAAAUUAUAUUGAUAAUAUUUUAAUGAUCUGUUUUUUAUUUUUUUUAAUUCUUUGUAUACUAAUUAAAUACAAAACAAAUAUUUAAAUAAAAUUUUAAAUAUUUUUAAACACUAUCGUAUUAAAAAAAAAAUCAUACAUGUAUAAUUAUUUCAUUUAUAUUCUUAAAUAAAUUGAAAUUAUGUAGAUCAUCAUUUUAUUAUGAAAAAAAAAAAUCAAGAGACUAUUAUAUAUAUAUAUAUAUAUAUUUUAGUCUUUUUUUAAAUCAAAAUUUUGAUUGGAUAUUUCAAUCAUGAAAUACUUGCACCUACAUUUAUUAUACAAGUACUAACUGAACUUGUUCCUCCUUAUCUUUACCAUUUUCCCCAUCUUGUUAAUUAUUUUUUACAAUUUUCAUUGAAAUUUUACUUUCUACAUAUCUAAAUUAUUUUCUCCAUUCCACACGCAAAUAAUUUAUGGUAAAUUGGUAAUCACUUUCUUUUGAAUUUUUUUUUGUAGACUUUUGAGGAGCUGGUGAGCUCUACCCCUCUACCCCUACAGAUAGUUGUGUUCUUUAUAAUGGGUUGGGCAUUGGGUUCCCUUAAAAUCCAUAUGUGUAUCAUUCUAUUUAUAAGGUAGAUGUGUAUCAUUUCUUAUUCUGUGAAAUUUCUUUUUUCACACAUAAUCAAUGGAAUACUACCCAUUAAACUAUUAAACAUUAGAUUCAACACCUCCAACAUGCUCAAAUAUUUUAGUUUUAUCAAACAAUGAUACAAAGGUUAGUGUUAGGAGUGCACGGAAGAUAUACCACAUGCUUUUAUUAGAGUUAAGAUGCACACACCUUGCAAUUGGGAAGAAUUUAUAUGAUUGAAGCUAAGAUCCAAAACCUUGAGUGAAGGUAGGGCACUUAAAUUUGGAAUUGUUGUCAAAUCAUUCACUCCAACAUUCAGAACUCGUAAUUUUUUCAAUCUUAGUAAGCCUUGAAUGCCUGCAAUAUUAAUAAAUAAAUAAUAUUUAUACUUAUUGCUUGUGGAUUUGAAAGUUCCAACUAAUUUUUAGUUAGUGGGUAUAAUAGAAACAUUGAUGAUAAUAUGCAAGACAAUAAAAUAUUUCAAAAUAGUUACUACAAAAUUAAACAAAGAGUAAUUGAGAUUACCUUAAAAUUUUAGCUGAGAAUAUUAAGGACUAAAAUGAAUAAAAACUAGAGUAUGAGGAUGUGGAAAAAAAGAAGAAAAAAAAAAUGAUAAUAUAUAUUGUGAAAAACCAUGACAAAGGAUAAUAACAGUAAUUAUUUAAUUCUUUUAUUAAUAAUGAUGAGAAAGUAAAAUUUUCCUCAUUACUUCUAAUGAAUUAAAGUAAAAGAUUUAAUCCCUAGCUCUCGUAUACAAUAUUAUAAAUAAUUAAUAACAUUAAUAUAUAUAUUUAGAGUAUAGAAAUGAGGUAGUACUGUACAGUGGAAUAAAAAAAAAGGAUUUUAAAUUAAUAAAAAAUUAUUUUUUAUUUUUAACUUCUUUCAUCUUUCGAAUAAAUAAUUUUUUUCUUCAACAUUAGAUUAAACCAGCCUAAAAUAUUUUGUCAAAAAUUAUGAUGAUUUUUCAAUCCAUGUAGUCAAAAGUCAAUCAUAUUAAUUUAUGGAAGAUGGAAUGAUAAUAUAUUAAAAAAACAUAGGCAUGAGAGAGAGCCACCAACCUGUCAAUUCGUUCAAAGACAGAUCUAAAAUUUGAAGCUGUUGGAAGGGAAGAAGUAGGGAGGCAUUCAAGGACCACUUUCCGAACUCAAAGUGUCUGAUAUCAAUGAGAGAAAGUCGGGUCACUCGGUUUGUUUUGUUAUGACAUGUGACAUAUUCCCAUCUGCAACAAUCACCAACCUCUGCUCCCCAAGAAGAAAGGGCUGUGCCAUUUGGGUGAUUGAAGGAAGCUUUAAGUUGCAAAAGACCAACUUUUUCUUCCUCCAUGCACCCUAAACUUCCAUAACCAAGUAGUAGACUUAAGAAAGUCCCAUAAAGUACUGCAAGAUACAAACAGGAAGGGACUUCCAUCUUUCAGCUCCCAGUUUGCUAUUGACUGUCGAAUGUAUAUAUUCUCAUACUUAGGGAUGGGGUUUAAGUACAUGGCAGAUGACGGUCAAUUCAAAGUUAGAAAUUUUGCAGCUGCCGAGUUUGAAAUUUUGAGUGGCUAAGAUACUUCCAUUUAAGAUAUUUGUAUAAGACUUUAACUUAUUAUAAAAUUUUGAUUCUAUCUCUUUUCAAUUUUAAAUUCAAGUUAAAAUUGAGAUCAAUCAAAAUUUCAUAUUUCUAGAUUGCACAUAAAUUGAGCGAGUUAACAAAUUCAAAAAUUUAAGGAACCAAGAAAUUGGAUUUGGAUAAUAAAAGUUGGACUACCUAAUCAACUUAUUUUACAUAAAGAGUAAUAUUCAUUUUAAAAAAAAAUUAAGACGUAGAUAAAUUUUAAUGAAAUAUGAAUUGGUAAAUGGAAGUGUAAAAUAAACAAAAAAAAAGUAAUAGAAAUAAGGGAAAUCAUGUUAUUUAAGUGCAACAAAAAUACAAAAAUCAGGUUAGUUUACCUUUCCUAAAAUACUAAUUUUAUAUUUAUACAAAAAUGAUCAAAGAUCAAAAAAGAACUCUUUAUACUAUAAAGAAAUAAAUAAAACAAAUUAUUGCUAUUUUAUAGUCAAAUUCUAUUAAACUAUUGAUUAGAAAUCUAAAAAUCAUUCUGAUUAUCUAUUAUUCAACUGGUUUUUUUAUUUAUUUAUUUCUUCUUGUAGUGAUUAAAUACAAAACAAAUAUGUAAUUAAGAUUAUAAAUAUUUUUUAACACUACUGUAUUAAAAACGGUUUAUAAUUUUUAUUACUUAUUUUAUAAUUUUAUAAUUUUUUUUUAAUGUUUUUGUGAGCUUUAAUUUUUAUUUCAAAAUUUAGAUUCUAUAUUUCAAUAAAAUUCAAUCAUGAAAUCCUUGCACCUAACUUCAUAGGAGCGAACAUGUUUCUCCUCUUUACUAUUUUCCCUAUCUUAUCAUUGAAGUUCUACUUUCUACACGUCUUACUAGGUUCAUUCCACAUGUAAAUAAUCCAUGGUAAAUUGAUAAUCACUUUCUUUUGCAUUUCUUUUCCAGACUUUUGGGGAGUUGGCGAACUCUAUCCCCAGACAUAGUUAUCAUCUUUAUGUCACUCAUGGCCCAUAUUAUUCAUUCUCUUAUUAUUUAAUUUUUUUUCCACAUCUUUGACUUAAUCAAAUUGAUGUUUAGUUCUAUCUCCAACAAUGGUUACACAAAUUCCACAUCUUUUGAUCUGUCUUCCACACAAAUUUCAUCCUCUUAAAAAUUUCCACAAACCUUUAUAUCCAAUUCUAUCCUCUUAAAAAUUUCCACAAACUUUUAUGUCAAUUUCAUAGUUAACCCAAUUCCACACGGUAGUCUUCUCUUUCCAUCAUCAGUAGGGCACUGGAAAUCCGUUGAGAGAAUUUAGAGUGAUAAUGAAUUUAUGACUCCUUCAAUCUUUUGUCAUUUUCCUCCUUUUAAUUUAUGCGUUUUAAUUUAUAAUAUUAUUUCUAUAAAUAUUAUUAAUUUUUUUAUUAUUAUAGUUGACAAUUAACAAUAAUAAUAACAUUUUAUAAUAUUAUUAUUUUUAAUUUUAUUAUUACUAGUAUUAUUAUUCUUAAAAAUGCUAUUAAUUUUAUUAUUAUUUCAAUUUAUUCUUUUCUUUUAAUGCUUAUAAUUAUUAAUGCUACUACUUAGUAUUAUUUAAAAAAAUUAUAUAAUAUGACUAUUAUUACUAUGGUUCUUAAAAAGAAAUAUUAUUAAUUUUGUUUUAUUCAUUGUGAUUACUUUCCUUUGAUUUAGACUCUCUUUGAAGAUUCAAAGUGACUACAAAAUUAACUUGAGAUAACAUAGGUAAAUAAGGUUGAGAUAAUUGGGAAUAAUGAUGUAGAAGGUAUAAAAUAAAGUUAUAUGGAAAUUUGAGAAAAAAUUAAUUUGAAAAAGAAGUUUAAAUUGAGAAUUUAAAAAGGAAUUUAAAAAAAAAAAAACUCUUUGAAUUUUAAAAAACAUCUUUUCAAAUAUUUCCAAAAUUUGCUAAGUUUCCUAAAUUAUUUUCUUAAUAAAAUAUAUUUACUAAAUCAAGUCUAAAUCCACUAAUAUUUAUUUAAUAUAAAUAUGCCUCUUGGAAGAGUCCUCAUAAGAACUUGCAUGUUUAAGUUUUAAGUAAUUAUUCUUUGCAAGAUUUGAAAUUCUUAAAAAGGUGUUCAUUUUCAUCUUUGGGUUCAUGAAAUAAAUUCAUAUUCCCUCAGGGUGUUGAUGAGUUUAUUAAAGAGCACAGUGGUAUUGCCUCAUGAAAGUGGGAUUAAGUAUAGGUUUUGGGAUGUAAGUCUCAUGAAGUAAUAGUCUUUGACAACAUGGUUUUUAAAUCUACAAAGUCUCUAGAAGAAGGCUUUAUGGAUGGUUUUUCACCUAUAUCCUACGUCAUUGUAUGUGAUUGAAAUUCUUGUAUUGAUUAUUAAUUUUCAAUCUAAUUAAAGAAUUCAUCAUAAAAAAUAAAAAUUGGUAAACUUUAGGCUAAUUGAAUAAAAGACUAUCCAUCCCUUCACACCUGAUCAAGUAAUUUCAUAAAACAAAAUCAUAAACCUUCAAUUAGUAUUAAAGUAGGGGAAAGUUUUAAAAUCAAUUAAUGCAAGCAAAUAUACGUUUUUGUUUUUAGGAAUAAAAAACUAUUUUUCAUAAUUUAGUUUUAAAAUACUAAUUUGUUCUUAAUUAAAACACUAAAAAAACCAUUCUUAAAAGUUAUUUUUUAGAACUACUUUCAAAAACACCUCCUUAAUCAUUUUAGUUGUUUUUUGCUACUUUCUAAUGAUUAUUUUAAAAGAUAAUUAUACAAAUGUAGAAAAUGAUAAAAAUAAAGCACUAUAGAUAAAAAUUAUUUAAAAAUAUAAAAAAGAAGUUCCCAACAGAUUUUUAUUUUAUAAAAUAAUUUUUAAAGGCUUCCAAACUAUUUUUGAAAAUACUUUCCAAAAAAAAUUGAGGAGUAUUUUCUAUAAAUUUUUUUGAAGGAAAUUUCUACCAUUUUGCCCGUUUUAUUAAAUUCUCUCUUACAUUUUUUAGUUACUACUUUCCACGCCUCUAAAUUAGUCAAAGUCAACAGGUAAAUGAUCUUUCUUCUUUUCCCAUUUUGUUUGUGUUCUUUCGUAUUCAUUUUCUUUUGAUUUUUUUUUCCAUUGGCUUUCCAGGAAUUCGUUAUCGUCUUUAUGUCGUUCGUGGCCCACAUUAUACUUGCCCAAAUCCCACGCAUGCUGAUCUGUCUUCAUGGUCAUAUUUAAUUCUAUGGCCCAUAAUAUUCAUUAUUUUAAAAUUGUCCACAAAUUCCACACGUUGUUGUCAGUCUUUGCUGGCUUUGCGUUCUCUUUUGACUCCAAUGCACUUCAUCUUCAUCAUUAAUAGGGUACCCACAGUGAAUGAUAGCUCUAAAGAGAAAAGGUUAAUGGAAUAGGCAGAAAACUUCAAUUUUGUACCGUUGAAUUUUUACACUAUAUACACAUAGAGAAGAGACAAAAGGGAAACAAAGACUAUUCAUUUUAGAUUAAGAGUAAUAUUCAUUUAAAAAAAAUUAAGAAUUAAAGAAAUCUUAAUGAAAGAUGAAAAAAAAAAUUAGAAAGUUGGUAAAUGGAAGUAUAAAAUAGACCAAAAAAAAAAAAAUAGUGCUUUAGAAAUAAGGGAAAUCAUGUUAUUUAAGUGUAACAAAAAUACAUAAGGUUAGUUUACCUUCCCUAAAAUAUUAAUUUAUAUUUAUACAAAAAUAUCAAAUAUUAAAAUAAAACUUUUUAUACUAUAAAUAAAUAAAUAAAUAACCUUUUUUUGUUGUUUUAGGUUUGAAUUCUAUUAAACUAUUGAUAGGAGAUCUAAAGAUAAUUUUGAUAAUAUUUUAUUCAACUGAUUUUUUUUUUCUUUUUAUAGUGAUUAAAUACAAAACAAAUAUAUAAAUAAAAUUAUAAAUAUUUUUAAACACUGCCGUACUAAAAACGGUUUAUAAUUUUUAUUACUUGUUUUAUAAUUUUUAACUUUUUUAAUGUUCUUGUGAACUUUAAUUUUUAUUUCAAAAUUUAGAUUUAAUAUUUCAAUCAAAUUCAAUGAUAAAAUCCUUGCACCUACCUUUAUACAAGUCAGCGUGUUUCUCCUCUUUACCAUUUUCCUCAUCUUAUCAUUGAAGUUCUACUUUUUACGUGUCUAAAUUAAUUGGUACAUUUCACACGUAAAUAAUCCAUGCUAAAUUGAAAAUAAUUUUCUUUUACAUUUCUUUUCCACCACACAUAACUCUAUUGUUUAUCAUGUUUAUGUGGCUGAUCAUGACACAUUAUUUAUUGUCUUAUUAUUGAAUUUUUUUCCACACCUUUGACCUAAUCAAAUUGAUGUUAAUGGUUACACAAAUUCAGCGUCUUCUAUCUUGUCUUCUAUACAAAUUCUAUCAUCUUAAAAAUUUCUACAAACCUUUAUGUCCAUUUCAUGAUUUAACCAAUUCCACACGCUAGUCUUCUCUCUCCAUCAUCAAUCGGGUGCCAAAUAGAGUGACAAUGAAUUAUGACUCAUUCGAUCCUUGCCAUUUUCCUCCUUUUAAUUUAUGCUUUAAAUUAUUAUUAUUAUUAUUAUUUAUAUAAAUAUAAUUAAUUUGUUAUUAUUAUAGUUGACAAUUGACAUUUUAUAAUACUAUUAUUUUUAAUUUUAUUAUUACUAGUACUAUUAUUCUUAAAAAUGCUAUUAAUUUUAUUAUUAUUUCAAUUUGUUCUUUUCUUCUAAUGCUUAUCAUUAUUAAGGCUACUACUUAGUAUUAUUUAAAAAAAUUAUAUAAUAUAACUAUUAUUACUAUGGUUAUUAAAAAGAAAUAUUAUUAAUUUUGUUUUAUUCAUUGUGAUUACUUUCCUUUGAUUUAGACUCUCUUUGAAGAUUCAAAGUGACUACAAAAUUAACUUGAGAUAACAUAGGUAAAUAAGGUUGAGAUAAUGGGGAAUAAUGAUGUAGAAGGUAUAAAAUAAACUUAUAUGAAAAUUUGAAAAAAAAUUAAUUUGAAAAAGAAGUUUAAAUUGAGAAUUUUAAAAAAAAAACUCUUUGAAUUUUAAAAAACAUCUUUUCAAAUAUUUCCAAAAUUUGCAGUUUCCUAAAUUAUUUUCUUAAUAAAAUAUAUUUACUAAAUCAAGUCUAAAUCCACUAAGAUUUAUUUAAUAUAAAUAUGCCUCCUGGAAGAGUCCUCAUAAGAACUUGCAUGUUUAAGUUUUAAGUAAUUAUUCUUUGCAAGAUUUGAAAUUCUUAAAAAGGUGUUCAUUUUCAUCUUUGGGUUCAUGCAAUAUAUUCAUAUUCCCUCAAUGUGUUGAUGAGUUUGUUAAAGAGCACAGUGGUAUUGCCUCAUGAAAGUGGGAUUAAGUAUAGGUUUUGGGAUGUAAGUCUGAUGAAGUAAUAGUUUUUGACCACAUGGUUUUUACAUCCACAAAGUCUCUAGAAGGCUUUAUGGAUAGUUUUUCACAUAUAUCCUAUGUCAUUGUAUGUGAUUGAAAUUCUUGUAUUGAUUAUUCAUUUUCAAUCUAAUUAAAGAAUUCAUCAUAAAAAAUAAAAAUUGGUAAACUUUAGGCUAAUUGAAUAAAAGACUAUCCAUCCCUUCACACCCGAUCAAGUAAUUUCAUAAAACAAAAUCAUAAACCUUCAAUUAGUAUUAAAGUAGGGGGAAAGUUUUAAAAUCAAUUAACGCAAUUAGAUAUACGUUUUUGUUUUUAGGAAUAAAAAACUAUUUUUCAUAAUUUAGUUUUUAAAUACAAAUUUGUUCUUAAUUAAAACACUAAAAAAUCAUUCUUAAAAGUUAUUUUUCAGAACUACUUUCAAAGACACCUCCUUAAUCAUUUUAGUUGUUUUUGGCUACUUUCUAAUGAUUAUUUUAAAAGAUAAUUAUAUAAAUAUAAAAAAUGAUAAAAAUAAAGCAUUAUAAAUAAAAAUUAUUUUAAAAUAUAAAAAAGAAGUUCCCAACAUAUUUUUAUUUUAUAAAAUAUUAAAAUUAUUUUUAAAAAUAGUUUUCAAAAGCUUCCAAACUAUUUUUGAAAAUACUUUCCAAAAAAAAUUGAGGAGUAUUUUCUAUAAUUUUUUUUUCAAGGAAAUUUUGUUAUUCACUAUUUUAGAAAAUUUGAUCAAUAAGUACUUUUCCUAGGGACAUCAGUCAAGCCAUGUUGCCUAUCAUCCACAGCAAUAAAUACUUUUCCAUUUUUGUUGACUUCAAUUGAUGUCAACCUCUACCUCCAACAAUGGUUAUACUUGCCCAAAUCCCACGCAUGCUGACUGUCUUCAUGGUCAUAUUUAAUUUUGUGGUCCAUAAUAUUCAUUAUUUUAAAGUUGUCCACAAAUUCCACACCUUAUUGUCAGUCUUUACUUCUAUCUCUUUUCAAUUUUAAAUUUCAAGUUAAAAUUGAGAUCAAUCAAAAUUUCAUAUUUCUAGAUUGCACAUAAAUUGAGCGAGUUAACAAAUUCAAAAAUUUGAGGAACCAAGAAAUUGGAUUUGGAUAAUAAAAGUUGGACUACCCAAUCAACUUAUUUUAGAUUAAAAGUAAUAUUCAUUUUUAAAAAAAAAUUUAAGACGUAGAUAAAUUUUAAUGAAAUAUGAAUUGGUAAAUGGAAGUGUAAAAUAGACAAAAAAAAAAAAGUACUUUAGAAAUAAGGGAAAUCAUGUUAUUUAAGUGCAACAAAAAUACAUAAGGUUACUUUACCUUUCCUAAAAUACUAAUUUUAUAUUUAUACAAAAAUUAUCAAAUAUAAAAAAAAAACUUUUAUACUAUAAAUAAAUAAAUAAAACAAAUUAUUGCUAUUUUAUAAUCAAAUUCUAUUAAACUAUUGAUUGGAAAUCUAAAAAUCAUUCUGAUUAUCUAUUAUUCAACUGGUUUUUUUAUUUUAUUUUAUUUUUUUAUUUCUUCUUGUAGUGAUUAAAUACAAAACAAAUAUAUAAUUAAGAUCAUAAAUAUUUUUUAACACUACUGUAUUAAAAACGGUUUAUAAUUUUUAUUACUUGUUUUAUAAUUUUUUUAAUGUUUUUGUGAGCUUUAAUUUUUAUUUCAAAAUUUAGAUUCUAUAUUUAAAAAAAUUUCAAUCAUGAAAUCCUUGCACCUACCUUUAUAGGAGUGAACAUGUUUCCCCUCUUUACUAUUUUCCCUAUCUUAUCAUUGAAGUUCUACUUUCUACACGUUUAAAUUACUAGUUCCAUUCAACACAUAAAUAAUACAUGGUAAAUUGGUAAUAACUUUCUUUUGCAUUUAUUUUCCAAGACUUUUGGGGAGUUGGCAAACUCUGCCCAGGCACAGUUAUCAUCUUUAUGUCACUCAUGGCCCAUAUUAUUCAUUCUCUUAUUAUUGUAUUUUUUUUUCCACACCUUUGACUUAAUCAAAUUGAUGUUUAGUUCUAUCUCCAGCAAUGGUUACACAAAUUCCACAUCUUUUGAUCUGUCUUCCACACAAAUUUCAUCCUCUUAAAAAUUUCCACAAACCUUUAUAUCUAAUUCCAUCCUCUUAAAAAUUUCCACAAACUUUUAUGUCCAUUUCAUAGUUUACUCGAUUCCACACGGUAGUCUUCUCUUUCCAUCAUCAGUAGGGUAUUGGAAAUCCAUUGAGAGAAUUUAGAGUGACAAUGAAUUUAUGACUCCUUCAAUCGUUUGUCAUUUUCCUCCUUUUAAUUUAUGCGUUUUAAUUUAUAACAUUAUUUCUAUAAAUAUUAUUAAUUUUUAUUAUUAUUAUAGUUGACAAUUUCCAAUAAUAAUAACAUUUUAUAAUAUUAUUAUUUUUAAUUUUAUUAUUACUAGCAUUAUUAUUCUUAAAAAUGCUAUUAAUUUUAUUAUUAUUUCAAUUUAUUCUUUUCUUUUAAUGCUUAUCAUUAUUAAUGCUACUACUUAGUAUUAUUUUAAAAAAUUAUAUAAUAUGACUAUUAUUACUAUGGUUCUUAAAAAGAAAUAUUAUUAAUUUUGUUUUAUUCAUUGUGAUUACUUAAGAUUCAAAGUGACUACAAAAUUAACUUGAGAUUACAUAGGUAAAUAAGGUUGAGAUAAUUGGGAAUGAUGAUGUAGAAGGUAUAAAAUAAACUUAUAUGGAAAUUUGAAAAAAAAAAAAUUUGAAAAAGAAGUUUAAAUUGAGUAUUUAAAAAGGAAUUUAAAAAAAAAAAAAAACUCUUUGAAUUUUAAAAAACAUCUUUUCAAAAUAUUUCCAAAAUUUGCUAAGUUUCCUAAAUUAUUUUCUUAAUAAAAUAUAUUUACUAAAUCAAGUCUAAAUCCACUAAGAUAAUAUAAAUAUGCCUCUUGGAAGAGUCCUCAUAAGAACUUGCAUGUUUAAGUUUUAGGUAAUUAUUCUUUGCAAGAUUUGAAAUUCUUAAAAAGGUGUUCAUUUUCAUCUUUUGGGUUCAUGAAAUAGAUUCAUAUUCCCUCUAGGUGUUGAUGAGUUUAUUAAAGAGCACAGUGGUAUUGCCUCAUGAAAGUGGGAUUAAGUAUAGGUUUUGGGAAGUAAGUCUCAUGAAGUAAUAGUAUGUGACAACAUGGUUUUUACAUCUACAAAGUCUCUAAAAGGCUUUAUGGAUAGUUUUUCACCUAUAUCCUAUGUCAUUGUAUGUGAUUGAAAUUCUUGUAUUGAUUAUUCAUUUUCAAUCUAAUUAAAGAAUUCAUCAUAAAAAAUAAAAAUUGGUAAACUUUAGGCUAAUUGAAUAAAAGACUAUCCAUCCCUUCACACCCGAUCAAGUAAUUUCAUAAACAAAAUCAUAAACCUUCAACUAGUAUUAAAGUAGGAGAAAGUUUUAAAAUCAAUUAAUGCAAUCAAAUAUACGUUUUUGUUUUUAGGAAUAAAAAACUAUUUUUCACAAUUUAGUUUUUAAAUACAAAUUUGUUCUUAAUUAAAACACUAAAAAAUCAUUCUUAAAAGUUAUUUUUCAGAACUAUUUUCAAAAACACCUCCUUAUUUUUGGCCACUUUCUAAUGGUUAUUUUAAAAGAUAAUUAUAUAAAUAUAGAAAAUGAUAAAAAUAAAACACUAUAAAUAAAAAUUAUUUUAAAAUAUAAAAAAGAAGUUCCCAAUAGAUUUUUAUUUUAUAAAAUAUUAAAAUUAUUUUUAAAAAUAGUUUUCAAAAGCUUCCAAACAAUUUUUGAAAAUACUUUCCAAAAAAAGUUGAGGAGUAUUUUCUAUAAUUUGUUUUUCAAGGAAAUUUUGUUAUUCACUAUUUUAGAAAAUUUGAUCAAUAAGUACUUUUCCUAGAGACAUCAAUCAAGCCAUGUUGCCUAUCAUCUACGGCAAUAAAUACUUUUCCAUUUUUGUUGACUUCAAUUGAUGUCAACUUCUACCUCCGGCAAUGGUUAUACUUGCCCAAAUCCCACGCAUGCUGAUAUGUCUUCAUGGUCAUAUUUAAUUUUGUGGCCCAUAAUAUUCAUUAUUUUAAAAUUGUCCACAAAUUCCACACGUUAUUCUUAGUCUUUGUUGGCUUUACGUUCUCUUUCGACUCCAAUGCACUUCAUCUUCAAAUUCCACACAGUGAAUGAUAACUCUAAAGAGGAAAAGUCGAUGAAAUAGGCAAAAAACUUCAAUUCUCUAUCAUUGAAUUUUUACAAUAUAUACACAGAGAGGACAGAAAAUGGAAACAAAGACUAUUCAUUUUAGAUUAAGAGUAAUGUUGAUUUUAAAAAAUUAAGAAUUAAAGAAAUUUUAAUGAAAAAUGAAAAAAAAAAUAGAAAGUUGGUAAAUGGAUGUGUAAAAUAGAGAAAAAAAAUAGUGCUUUAGAAAUAAGGGAAAUCAUGUUAUUUAAGUGCAACAAAAAUACAUAAAGGUAGUUUAUCUUCCCUAAAAUACUAAUUUUAUAUUUAUACACAAACAUCAAAUAUUAAAAUAAAACUUUUUAUACUAUAAAUAAAUAAAUAAAAACAAAUUUUUGCUAUUUUAUAGGGUAAUUCUAUUAAACUAUUGAUUGGAAAUCUAAAAAUCAUUCUGAUAAUCUUUUAUUUUAUUGGAUUUAUUUUCUUCUUAUAGUGAUUAAAUACAAAACAAACAUAUAAAUAAGAUUAUAAAUAUAUUUAAACACUCCUGUAUUAAAAAAAGUUUAUAAUUUUCAACUUUUUUAAUGUUUUUGUGAGCUUUAAUUUUUAUUUCAAAAUUUAGAUUUAGUAUUUCAAUAAAAUUCAAUCAUGAAAUCCUUUUACCUACUUUUAUACAAGUGAACGUGUUUCUCCUCUUUACCAUUUUCCUCAUCUUAUCAUUUAGGUUCUACUUUCUACAUGUCUAAAUUAAUUGGUACAUUCCACACGUAAAUAAUCCAUGUUAAAUUGGUAAUCAUUUUCUUUUAUAUUUCUUUUCCACCACAGAUAGUUGUGUUGUUUAUCAUUUUUAUGUCGCUCAUGGCACACAUUAUUCAUUUUCUUAUUAUUGAAUUUUUUUCCACACCUUUGACCUAAUCAAAUUGAUGUUAAGUUCCAUCUCCAACAAUGGUUAUACAAAUUUCAUGUCUUCUAUCCGUCUUCUACGCAAAUUCCAUCCUCUUAAAAAUUUCCACAAACCUUUAUGUCCAUUUUAUUGUUUACCCAAUUCCACACGCUAAUCUUCUCUCUCCAUCAUCAAUAGGGUACCGGAUAAAAUGAAAAUGAAUUAUGACUCUUUCGAUCCUUUGUCAUUUUUCUCCUUUUAAUUUAUGCUUUUAUAUUUCUUUUCCACCAUAGAUAGCUAUGUUGUUUAUCAUCUUUAUGUCGAUCAUGGCACACAUUAUUCAUUCUCUUAUUAUUGAUUUUUUUUCUACACCUUUAACCUAAUCAAAUUGAUGUUAAGUUUCAUCUCCAGCAAUGGUUACACAAAUUCCAUGUCUUCUAUCCAUCUUCUAUACCAAUUCCAUCCCUUUAAAAAUUUCCACAAACCUUUAUGUCCAUUUCAAGGUUUACUCAUUUCAAGACAACAUCCCUUCAGGAAUUCGUUAUCGUCUUUAUGUCAUUCGUGGCCCACAUUAUUCAUUUUUCUGAAUACUUUUCCAUUUUUGUUGACUUCAAUUGAUGUCAACUUCUACCUCCGACAAUGGUUAUACUUGCCCAAAUCCCACGCAUGUUGAUCCGUCUUUAUGGUCAUAUUUAAUUUUGUGGCCCAUAAUAUUCAUUAUUUUAAAAAUGUCCACAAAUUCCACACGUUAUUGUCAGUCUUUGCUGGCUUUACGUUCUCUUUCGACUCCAAUACACUUCAUCUUCAUCAUUAAUAGGGAACCACAGUGAAUGAUAACUCUAAAGAGGAAAGGUUAAUGGAAUAGCCAGAAAACUUCAAUUAUGUACCAUUGAAUUUUUACACUAUAUACACAUAGAGAAGACACAAAAGGGAAACAAAGACUAUUCAUUUUAGAUUAAGAGUAAUAUUCAUUUAAAAAAAUUAAGAAUUAAAGAAAUCUUAAUGAAAGAUGAAAAAAAAAAAAUUAGAAAGUUGGUAAAUGGAAGUGUAAAAUAGACAAAAAUAAAUUAAAAAAAUAGUGUUUUAGAAAUAAGGGAAAGAAUGUUAUUUAAGUGUAACAAAAAUACAUAAGGUUAGUUUACCUUCCCUAAAAUACUAAUUAUAUAUUUAUACAAAAAUAUCAAAUAUUAAAAUAAAACUUUUUAUACUAUAAAUAAAUAAAUAAAACAAUUUUUUGCUAUUUUAUAGUUGAAUUCUAUUAAACUAUUGAUUAGAGAUCUAAAGAUCAUUCUAUUAAUAUUUUAUUCAAUUGUUUUUUUUCUUUUAGUGAUUAAAUACAAAACAAAUAUAUGAAUAAGGUUAUAAAUAUUUUUAAAUACUACCGUACUAAAAACGGUUAAUAAUUUUGUGGAACCGUGUUUUUCACAUGCGUUCCCACUCGACGGCGUGACUCGCUUUUCAUUUAUUUAUGAAAAAAAUGAUUUUUAGAAAAAUAUUUGGAGUCACCACUUAUUUUUGUUUUAUUUUUAAAGAAGAAAACAAAAUAAGAAAGAAAAACUCUAAGUGUGACUCUUAAAGGAAAAACAUGUAUGUAAAAAAUCGAAUCUAAGUCUGGGGGUCAGGUUACUUAUUGGGAAAGUAUGUUGAAAGACUAUAACAUCAUUCUAAGCCCCUUAAAAAAUAGGUCUCUACUAAAUAAGGUGAGACAAUCAUAAUAAUUAACUAGAAGAUCAAUAGAUAGCAAAAUGAUCAUAGGUCAAAAGCAAGUUAGGAUAAUGAAUGAAUAAAUAAAGUGAGAGUGAGAGCGUACCUUGGUAGUAGAUAAUAAAGUGCUAUUAUGGAAACGAGGUUAAUUCAAGUAUAAAAUUAUCACAUGCAUAUCAAAGAUCAAGACAAAAAUCAAGCAAUAUUCGUUAAGCAUAGCAGUUGAUAAGCAAAAGAGAAAACUCAUGUGUAGGGCCCUCACCAAAGCCUAAUUUAUCUUGCAUGAAUUACUCUCACAAAUUCUAUUAUUUUGGAAUUAUGAAAAAAUUCAUUAUUGCUUAUUUAAAAUAAAGAGAAAUAGAAAAUUAUUUGAAAAUCGAAGAAAAUUUGUACAAGUGCAUACCAAAAUGAGAAUGACAACAAACUUAUUAAAAUCAGGAUUUUUGGCGACCUAAAACCCUAAUAAAUGAUGAAAAGUUGUAUAAUUAAAAAAAUAUUUGAAAACUGGAGUGGAAUUAAAACUAUUCAAAAGAAAACUAAAGUUUUGAAAUUUAUUUGAAAAUUGGAGUCUCGAAAAUUAAAUUUAAGAAUUAGAAUUUUGGAAAUUAAAUUUGAAAGAAAUUGGAAUUUUGAAAAUUAUUUGAGAUUUGAAAAUUAAAUUUAAGAAAUUGAGUUUUGGAAAUUAAAUUUGAAAGAAAUUGGAGUUUUGAAAAUUAGUUUUAAGAAUUGGAGUUUUGGAAAUUCGAUUUAAGAAUUGGAAUUUUGGAAAUUAAAUUUGAAAGAAAUUGGAAUUUUGAAAAUUAUUUGAUAUUUUAAAAUUAAAUUUAAGAAAUGGAGUUUUGGAAAUUAAAUUUGAAAGAAAUUGGAGUUUUGAAAAUUAGUUUUAAGAAUUGGAGUUUUGGAAAUUAGAUUUAAGAAUUGAAAUUUUGGAAAUUAUUUGAGAAUUGGAGCUUUUAAAAAUUAAAUUUAGAAAAAUGGAAUUUUGAAGAAUUAUUCGAAAAUUAAAGUUUUAAAAUUAAAUUUGAAAAUAAUUAAAGUUUAGAAAGUUAAAGUUUUGAAAAUUAAACUUAAAAAUUAUAGUUUUAAAAAAUUAAAUUAAAAAAUGAAGUUUUGGAAAUUUAUUUGAAAAUGGAAUCUUUAAAAAAUUAAAUUUGAAAAUUGGAAUUUUGGAAAAUUAUUUGAAAAUGGAAGGUUUGAAAAUUAAAUUUUUGAAAAAAUGAAAAAUUGAAGAAUUAUUCGAAAUUGAAGUUUUGAAAAUUAAAUUUGAAAAUAAUUAAAGUUUGAAAAGUUAAAGUUUUGAAAAUUAAACUUAAAAAUUGGAGUUUUGAAAAAUUAAACUAAAAUUUGGAGUUUUGGAAAUUAUUUGAAAAUUAGAGUUUUAAAAAUUAAAUUUGAAAAUUAGAAUUUUGGGAAAUUGAACUUUGAUAUCAAAAUAUGAAGAAAAAAAUAAAAAAAUAAGUUGUGGUGAUCCUGCAAGCUUCAUUUCUCCAUGUGUUCACCCAUUCUCAACUUUAUUGUGUUGUCUCCAGUUUCCAUCAACCCAUUCCAUGUGAAAUACACAACAAACCCAUUUUCCAUCAAUCCACUACAUGAUGAAGUGUCCAUCGUAACCUCCAUAACGAUAUGAUGAAUAGCCAUUAGGGACAUAGCACAUAGAUGGGUCCAUAAAUUCCCAUAGUAAUAGGGUCACAGACCUCUCACAUGACUGGUUCUAACCACUUGCAACAUCACCCCAUCAACAGAUUACCAAAAGGCUUUUUAGUUGGCUCAAGGAUUUCCAAAGUUUUGGUUUGAGAAUCCAAUGACAAAUUUUGAAGCAACUCUACAACUUGAUCCAUAGGGGGAGCAACAACAGCCAUGACAAAGCCGUAAGAGUCCUUCAGCUUAGUCGCGUGCUCGCCGCAGCACGCGUUCUCGCCGUCGGCAGUGGCACACUCAUUGGUUGCUCCAACGACGACGACGACCUUGCCUAUGACAACUUCCACAUCAUCAGUCUCCAAGCAGAUCAUGCAACCGGUUCUAACAGUCUUGGCUAGAGCAUAUGAGUCAUCGGCGAGGUCAGAGACGGGAAGCGAGUAGAAAAUGAUCUUAACUUCAACAGAGAGAAUGAGAGGGAGCUCUUGAUCAUUCUUCCCCUUAGGACGCAUUGCAUGGUUCACUUCCUCAGCACCAAAUGCAUUUUAAAUAGUGAUAAAAACAUGAUUGGGCAUCUCAGAGGGGAACCAAAACAGAGCCGAAGAAAGAGGGCCAAAACCAAACAUUAAAUACAUUUAAAAAAUAAUCGCAGAUUCCACAAACAUGCACAACAUAUAAUGUCUACAAUCAAGCAUCAAAAUGAAUUUAAAAUCAGUAGAAGGUAGGACAGAACAAAGUGAAGUAGAGAAAUAUGAAGCAUGCUGUAAUCAUACCUGGAUAAAACUAGCAAGCUCCUCCUCAGCUUCUUCUUCAGUUCCAACUUUCCUUGCUCUAGCCUUUUCUUCUUGCAGUUCUGUCUCCCUCUCCUAAAAAAAAAAAAUCUUUUUUUGCUCUCUUUCCAUUCCUCUGUUUUUUCUUCAGAUAUCACCUUAAUCUUCUCUUGUCAGCUUCCACCUGCUCCAUUGUUCUUUGCUCAACAAGUCUUCAUCCCAACCACCACCAUGGCGAGGUGGUGGCGUUCUCUGCCACACGUCUCAACAUGCCACUUCAUGGAAGUUAUCCUCCACUUCAAAUGAAAAUCUCCAACUCCCCACUUUUCCUGGUCCAAAUAGGGGUGGUAAAAAAGGAAAAUAAACCUUUGGUCAAUUAAGGGGUCUACAAAUAUGUCUCUCUUCGAUAGAGUCCACGAGAGUAAGGAAUAUGAACACUAAAAUGAAAAGAAAGUGUGAAUAGUGAAUGGAACGAAGUGAACUCUACUAAAGAAAAAAAAAAAAAGACCCCUUAAAGGUACACAAAGUAAAAUACAAACUCACUCAAACCAACAAAUGAGCAAAAAGAGCUCUAAAACCCUACAAAAAGGCAAAAACGUUAAAUCCUAAGGUGUAUCUAAAGUUACACUAUAGAUCCAGACUCCCUAAAAAAAGUCUCUAAAAGUGACUCGAAAAUCGAUAUCGAAGUUGAGUAACAGUCAAACCACCAAAGAGCAUAGGAAUGAGUACAAAGGAAAAAAAAUCAUACGUGUACCAUGCAAGGACACAAGGCAUAAGGAGUACCAAUGAUACAAUCAAUACACAUGUUACAAGCUCAUAGAGCUAUAUUUUACAUAAAAGAUGAGAAUAAACUCUAAUAUCAUAAUGAAGUGAGAAACACAUAUGCAACGAAGAGAGAAGUAAGAUGGAAUGUGAAACUACGAGAACAAAGCAUGUAAUGCUAGUGAUCAUGAAUAUCAAGAACUGUGGAUCUGAAUGACAAUACUGACUCUAAACGCUAAACCGAGAAAAGAAUGGCUCUGGAAGCCAAACCAAAAAGCUAACUCUAAACGCUAAAUCAGAAAGUCUACAAGUGAAGUCCUAUGGUGGUGAUAUAAUUGAAAUGCUCAUAGAUGCCAAUUUAUGGUAGUGAAACUCUCAAAGGUCCACAGAUAAAAAUCUAUGGUGGUGAUAAUCUCAAAGGCCCAAUGAUGAAAAUCCAUGGUGGUGAAUCAACUGAAAUGCCUAUAACUGUCCAAUCUAUGGUGGUGAGAUAACUGAAACAAAUGCUCAUAGAUGAAAAUCCAUGAUGGUGAGAACUGAUCAAGGCUUAUAAAUGAAAAUCUAUGGUGGUGAAACUGAAAUACCCAUAGAUAUACAAUCUAUGGUGGUGAAAAUUGAUCAAGACCCAUAGAUGAAAAUCCAUGGUGGUGAAUCUGAAAUACUCAUAGAUGUCUGAUUUAUGGUGGUGAAAACUGAUUGAGGCCCAUAGAUGAUAAUCUAUCGUGGUGAAUCUGAAAUGCCCAUAGAUGUCUGAUCUAUGGUGGUGAAUUCGAAAUGCCCAUAGAUGAAAAUCUAUGGUGGUGAAAACUAAUCGAGACCCAUAGAUGAAAAUCAAUGGUGAUGAAACUGGAAUGUCUAUAGAUGUCUGAUAUAUGGUGGUGAAUCUGAAAUGCCCAUAAAUGUUUGAUCUAUAGUGGUGAAAAAUGAUCAAAGCCCAUAGAUGAAAAUUUAUGGUGGUGAAUCUGAAAUGCCCAUAGACGUCUGAUCUAUGGUGGUGAAAAUUGAUCAAGACCCAUAGAUGAAAAUCUAUGGUGGUGAAUCAACUGAAAUUCCCAUAGAUGUCCAAUCUAUGGUGGUAAGAUAACUUAAACAAAUGCUCAUAGAUCAAAAUCUAUGAUGGUGAGAACUGAAAUGCCCAUAAAUGUCUGAUCUAUGGUGGUGAAAACUAAUCAAGGCCCAUAGAUGAAAAUCUAUGGUGGUGAAUUUGAAAUGCCCAUAGAUGUCUGAUCUAUGGUGGUGAAAACUGAUCAAGGCCCAUAGAUGAAAAUCGAUGGUGGUGAAACUGGAAUGCCCAUAGAUGUCUGAUCUGUGGUGAUGAAUCUAAAAUGCCCAUGGAUGUCCAAUCCAUGGUGGUGAAUCUGAAAGACCCAUAGAUGUCUGAUCUAUGGUGGUGAGAACUGAAAGAAAGGGGAUGCCCUAAACAAACUGAUAGUAGGGGGAUGCCUCAGACAAAUUGAUGAAAGAAGAAUGCCUUAAAAAACUGAUAGUGAGAGGAUGCCCUAAACAAAUUGACGGUUGGGGGAUGCCCUAAACAAGCUUAAGGAAAAUGGAUGCCCUAAACAAACUAAAGGUAGGGAGAUGCCCUAAACAAGCUGAUAAAAGAGGAAUGUCCUGAACAAGAUGAUAGUAGGGGGAUGCCCUAAACAGACUAAAAAAUGGGGAUGCCCUAAACAAGCUGAAAGAAAUGGAAUGCCCAAAACAAGUUGACAGCAGAGGGAUGCCCUAAGUGAUAACUUGUAAAGAUCGACAAAUGGAUCUAAUAACCAUGAAAUCAACAUGAGAUGUGGUAAACCCAAAAAAAAUAGGUAUCCCCCAAUAGAAGAGCGCUAAAGGGGGUAUGCCCCAGUAUGACGACUUGCAAAAAUCAAGAAAUAGAUCGAGUAGUGAGAAAAUCUAAAAAAGAUUUGAUGAACUCAAUGAUGGGGGUAUGCCCCAAUAGAAGAGCGCUAAAGGGGGUAGACUCCAGUAUGACAACUCGCAAAGAUCAAGAAAUAGAUCGAGUAGUGAGAAAAUCUACAAAAAAAAAAAAAAAAUCUGAUGAACUCAAGGAUGGGGGUAUGCCCUAGUGUAAGAUAGUAACCAACAUAAGACACAGAAUGUCACCAUACAAGACACUCUAGGAUGUGCUCAACGAUGAUGCAAUGAAAACAUAUAGGCUCAAUCAACAAAUGUUCAAACAAGACCAUACGUCACAGAAACUAAAAUAAUAGGCCAAACAAAUGCUAACUAAGACUCUAAGUCUGAAAUGCACGUAAGUCAAGACAUGACAUGUCAACUAUCAAAAUGAAAACAUCAUCACAAAUACAUCAACAAACUAAUAAGCUCUACCAUCAUGGAAGAUGUCGAACCUAAUGUCCAAAGCCAUAUGAAAACUUAACCGAAAAACUCAAGACUAGUCUGCAUCCUCCCAUAAUAAUAAUGCUUCAAUUUGAUAUGGGAUUGCAUUGUUCGUGUUUAAUGGCUAAGUCCACAAUGGUUUGUAGUUCUACAGUUUAUUAAAAUUAUGAUGUUUGAGAAAAGGUUUAGGGCAGCUUCUCAAUUGUGGUGAUAAAAAGUAGAGUUCAGUUCUUGGUCAAGAAAUUCUUCUUCAUUUGAGAUGGGAGAAUACUUCCAAAAAUGGAGAAGAGUGUAGAAAGUAGGCAUUGCUUUCAUGUUUUGGGUGGAAACAGUCAUAUAGGGUUUGUUUGGCAAAUGCUUUUAAGAAUAUUGUUUAUUUUUCAGAACAAAAAAAAAAAAAAAAAACAUUUGACAAUCAAAAAUUUGCUUUUUGUUUUUUAUUCUUAAAAAUAAAAAACAUAAUGUUUUUUAGAAAAUAUUUUUUUAUUGUUUUUUGAUGAUUGUUUAAAACAAUAAUUAUAUGAACAUGUAGAAUGAUAAAAAAAUAAAAUAUUAGAUGUAAAAAUUAUUUUUAAAACAUAUUAAAAAAGAUUAAAAAUAAAUUUAAAAUUAGGUUUACAAUUCUAUAAAACAUUAGUGAAUAGUUUUAAAAAAUUAUUGUUAAAAAACCAAAAUUUAAAAUUAUUUUUUUAAAAUAAUUACCAAAUAGAGUUAUAAUUUCCCAAGAAAUGGAAAAUUUACGGAAACAAAGAAAUGCAUUCCUUAUCAAUAUAUUUGUAUUUUUGCUACAACAGAUAGUAGUGAUCUCAAAUAAACACUGAGGUGGUGUUUGUUUUUAUAGGUAAAUGGAAAAAGCUAAACCGAAAAACAAACACCACUUGAGCAAGUAUAGAUGAUGGCAAAUCCAGCUAUAUUGCAAAAAACAAUGUUAGAGAAUGAGCUGCACCAAAGAAGAUCAAGCUUCUAACGAAGACCGGAAACUUAGUUUAAAAGAACAAGCUUCAUUUGAUUAGAUUGGAUAGUUUUGAGUACUUGGGUAGUGACCAACAUAGAGCUAGCUAGGCAGAAUGUGUGAAAUCUAUAAUUUUAUUGGAGAGAUUUCUACCCUAAGCUACAGUCUUGAGAAGUUGCAUUUUACACAAUCAUCCCUUCCUGUAGGGAGAGACUAAAGUUGCAAUCUUAUGCAACAAAUUAGCAGCAUUGCCAUCAUCAUCACCAUCAUCUUAAGAGAGAGGAGAUGUCCAUUCAUGAAAGUAAUGGAGGCUGAUAGUGAAAUCUGUGAAGAGUCCAUCAACUCCUAUCUUGUUUAUCCAGUAAUCAUAUUCUGCAUAUGGGUCUUGAUGGAAGUUGAAGUGUAAGAAUUGGUUCCGAUAAGUGUAUGGGUGUACCUGCCAUCACAAUUCACAAGUUGGGUUUUUGAUGACUUUUGCUUAAUGCUUAUGAAAUACUUGCACAUGAAAAAGAGAAAUUUGAGAUUUCCUAACAAGAAAAUUUUGAAAGAAAACUAAAAUCAGUAAACCAAAAUUUGCACAUGGUCAUGAUCAGGACAAAUCGAAUCCUAGAAUUCUUCUAGAGUACACAUAUCUAGAUCUUCAAAUUUCUUAAGAAAAUAAUUACCGAAAAGUACACAAGAAAACAGAAAUCCUCGAAUGCAAUCUUAGACAAAUAGAACCAUGGAUUUGUUCUUUUUCCUUUCAAGGAAAUUGAGCACCAUGAAUCAACGUGUUCAUAGAGACCUAAAACCAUAUUUAACAGUUAUGAAAAUUAAAAAAUUAGGGAAAAUUAGUGCAUCAUGGCUAUUUCUUAGCUCAACACCUUCAAACCCGUUCCCCCUCAUAUGGAGUUUAAGUUCAUUCACAAAGAUAACAAGUUCAAUCUUUAAUGGAGCGAAAAUAUUGGGAUUGAGAUCAUGGAUGCCCUAUAUUUCUUGGCUCAUUUCCAUAGUGAAUACUGAUAUGGUAAACUGUUUUUGGUCACUACAUAAUAUCACACACAACUCAGUUGAUGGAAUGACGCCAAAUAUCAUGUCUAUUUAGGCAUCCCAUCCAAAUGUCGUUGAAAGUUUGACCAUGCAUAGCACAGAGUGACACAGAGAAACCUAGAUGUAUAAAUGCAACAUACAGUGACAAAGAGAGACAGAAGAUAUGGCAUACAUGAUAUGUUUCAUAAAUAGCCUUAUUGAUAACGUCCCACAAAUAAGCUUUACACAGAGAAGAUACAAACCUAUAAGUCGUGGGCAUGUGCUUUGACAACAAGAUCAAUAGGUGUUUACGAAUAAUUAUCUACCACUGAAACUACUGUAUCCUUCCAAGGUCCAAUCCCCACCACAUACUGCUUAAUGAAGCUACAGUACCAAGAAACCAUUGGUGGACGACUUACGGAAUGAAGAGAACCACAUAAUUGGAUGGUCUAAGGGUCACCAAGGAAGACCCGAGGCUUUGGAGAGGUUGAGUUCAAGUUUACCUUAAGGUAGUACCUAGGGUCCCUUAAGGUAGUACCUCAAGGCCACUAAAGUAGUACCUAAGGGCCCUUAAGGUAGUACCUAAGCUACAGUCCCAAAAAACCAUUGGUGAAUCACUUGAGGAAUGAAGAGAACCACAUAAUUGGAUGGUCUAAGGGUCACCAAGGAAGACCCUAGGCUUGGGAGAGGUUGAGUUGAAGUUUACCUUAAGGUAGUACCUAGGAUCCCUUAAGGUAGUACCUCAAGGCCACUAAGGUAGUACCUCAAGGCCACUAAGGUAGUACCUAAGCUACAGUCCCAAGAAACCAUAGUGGACCACUUGAGGAAUGAAGAGAACCACAUAAUUGGAUGGUCUAAGGGUCACCAAGGAAGACCCGAGGCUUGGGAGAGGUUGAGUUGAAGUUUACCUUAAGGUAGUACCUAAGGUCCCUUAAGGUAGUACCUCAAGGCCACUAAGGUAGUACCUAAGGGCCCUUAAGGUAGUACCUAAGCUACAGUCCCAAAAAACCAUUGGUGGAUCACUUGAGGAAUGAAGAGAACCACAUAAUUGGAUGGUCUAAGGGUCACCAAGGAAGACCCGAGGCUUGGGAGAGGUUGAGUUGAAGUUUACCUUAAGGUAGUACCUAGGGUCCCUUAAGGUNNNNNNNNNNNNNNNNNNNNNNNNNNNNNNNNNNNNNNNNNNNNNNNNNNNNNNNNNNNNNNNNNNNNNNNNNNNNNNNNNNNNNNNNNNNNNNNNNNNNNNNNNNNNNNNNNNNNNNNNNNNNNNNNNNNNNNNNNNNNNNNNNNNNNNNNNNNNNNNNNNNNNNNNNNNNNNNNNNNNNNNNNNNNNNNNNNNNNNNNNNNNNNNNNNNNNNNNNNNNNNNNNNNNNNNNNNNNNNNNNNNNNNNNNNNNNNNNNNNNNNNNNNNNNNNNNNNNNNNNNNNNNNNNNNNNNNNNNNNNNNNNNNNNNNNNNNNNNNNNNNNNNNNNNNNNNNNNNNNNNNNNNNNNNNNNNNNNNNNNNNNNNNNNNNNNNNNNNNNNNNNNNNNNNNNNNNNNNNNNNNNNNNNNNNNNNNNNNNNNNNNNNNNNNNNNNNNNNNNNNNNNNNNNNNNNNNNNNNNNNNNNNNNNNNNNNNNNNNNNNNNNNNNNNNNNNNNNNNNNNNNNNNNNNNNNNNNNNNNNNNNNNNNNNNNNNNNNNNNNNNNAAACCAUUAGUAGCUCACUUGAGGAAUGAAGAUAACCACAUAAUUGGAUGGUCUAAGGGUCACCAAGGAAGACCCUAGGCUUGGGAGAGGUUGAGUUGAAGUUUACCUUAAGGUAGUACCUAGGGUCCCUUAAGGUAGUACCUCAAGGCCACUAAGGUAGUACCUAAGGGCCCUUAAGGUAGUACCUAAGCUACAGUCCUAAGAAACCAUAGGUGGACUACUUGAGGAAUGAAGAGAACCACAUAAUUGGAUGGUCUAAGGGUCACCAAGGAAGACCCGAGGCUUGGGAGAGGUUGAGUUGAAGUUUACCUUAAGGUAGUACCUAGGGUCCCUUAAGGUAGUACCUCAAGGCCACUAAGGUAGUACCUAAGCUAUAGUCCCAAGAAACCAUAGGUGGACUACUUGAGGAAUGAAGAGAACCACAUAAUUGGAUGGUCUAUGGGUCACCAAGGAAGACCCGAGGCUUUGGAGAGGUUGAGUUGAAGUUUACCUUAAGGUAGUACCUAGGGUCCCUUAAGGUAGUACCUCAAGGCCACUAAGGUAGUACCUAAGGGCCCUUAAGGUAGUACCUAAGCUACAGUCCCAAGAAACCAUAGGUGGACUACUUGAGGAAUGAAGAGAACCACAUAAUUGGAUGGUCUAAGGGUCACCAAGGAAGACCCGAGGCUUGGGAGAGGUUGAGUUGAAGUUUACCUUAAGGUAGUACCUAGGGUCCCUUAAGGUAGUACCUCAAGGCCACUAAGGUAGUACCUAAGGGCCCUUAAGGUAGUACCUAAGCUACAGUCCCAAGAAACCAUAGGUGGACUACUUGAGGAAUGAAGAGAACCACAUAAUUGGAUGGUCUAAGGGUCACCAAGGAAGACCCGAGGCUUGGGAGAGGUUGAGUUGAAGUUUACCUUAAGGUAGUACCUAGGGUCCCUUAAGGUAGUACCUCUAGGCCACUAAAGUAGUACCUAAGGCCCUUAAGUAGUACCUAAGCUAUAGUCCCAAGAAACCAUAGUAGACCACUUGNNNNNNNNNNNNNNNNNNNNNNNNNNNNNNNNNNNNNNNNNNNNNNNNNNNNNNNNNNNNNNNNNNNNNNNNNNNNNNNNNNNNNNNNNNNNNNNNNNNNAGUACCUAAGGGCCCUUAAGGUAGUACCUAAGCUACAGUCCUAAGAAACCAUAGGUGGACUACUUGAGGAAUGAAGAGAACCAUAUGAUUGGAUGGUCUAAGGGUCAUAAAGGAAGACCCGAGGCUUGUGAGAGGUUGAGUUCAAGUUAAACUUAAGGUAGUACCUAGGGUCCCUUAAGGUAGUACCUCAAGGCCACUAAGGUAGUACCUAAGGGCCCUUAAGGUAGCACCUAAGCUACAAUCCCUAAAAACCAUUGGUGUAUCACUUGAGGAAUGAAGAGAACCACAUGAUGGGAUGGUCUAAAGGUCACCAAGGAAGACCCGAGGCUUGGGAGAGGUUGAGUUCAAGUUAAAUUUAAGGUAUUACAUAGGGUCCCUUAAGGUAGUACCUAAAGGCCACUAAGGUAGUACCUAAGGGCCCUUAAGGUAGUACCUACGCUACAGUACCAAGAAACCAUUGGUGGACUACUUGAGGAAUGAAGAGAACCACAUGAUAGGAUUGUCUAAGGGUCACAAAGGAAGACCCGAGGUUUGGGAGAGGUUGAGUUCAAGUUUACCUUAAGGUAGUACCUAGGGUCCCUUAAGGUAAUCAAGUCUAAUCAUUGUUUUGUCUAGACAAUGUUUUGCUCUUUGGUAUUUAUGAUAUCCAUCUCGAAAGUUUAGAUUUUGCUUAUGGAAUACCUAGAGGGAAGGUGAACAGAUAGUGCUUACUUUUUAGCCCAAAUUUUUAUUUUUAAAAUUUCCCUUAAAAAAAAUUAGAGUUGAAGUAGAGAAAUUUAAUGGCACAAGGAGAUAAAAGUUUGCAUGGAAAAUUACCCAUAAAGCCUCUCAGAGACUUUGUAGAUGUAAAAACCAUGGGGUUAAAAACCGUAGAACACAAAUCCACUAUCAAAAGAAAAGUACAUAGAUUUACCUGGCGGAUGUUAUCCAUAAGAUUUACUCCCCAGCACCUACACUUGUCUUCACAUCCAAGACACAACACCACACAUGGUCCUAGUCGACUACCUCAACACCUGAGAGGGCGCAAAUCCUCUCAUGAACCUAAGAAUGAAAAUCACACAAAUUUGAGAAUAUUAGGAUGUUGGAAAGGUUAAUAAUAUUCUUUUGAAUUUUGCAUCAACAUUCAAAAAGAAUUUUAGGCAUAGCAUUGAUAGAGAUGAAGCCCUAGUGGACAAGAUCCUAAAGUUUUCAAAGACCAAUUUUUAGAAGAUGAAAAGAAUUAAAACAUAUCACAAUUCUGAAUUAGGAAAAAUUUACUUUGAAUGCUUGAGCGCUAGGUUUGAGUACUUGAGCACUUGACCGGUUUUUUAAGUAAUUAAUUAAAAAACCAUUUUAGCUUAAUUAAAAAUCUAAAGUCCACUUUAUGCCUAUUUUAGUCAAAUUAGCCUUUCGCGAAUAUUUCUAUACUUGCUACAUUAGGGUUGAUCAUGCAACAACCUUGAGUCUUCAAUGGAGAGUAAGACAUAGUAUCCUAGAAAAGUCUUAAGGCAGGGUAAAUAGAACAAAAUUGUCAACUUAAACUAAGCAACCUGAUUCACUAACACAUUUGACAACUAAAAGGGUAUCUAGACGACCUAUUAAGAAAAAGUAAAGCAUCUAGAUGGAUACUAGCAUUUUAAUGUUGUGUUGCCUCCAAAUUAAUGGCAGAUAAUGACCUCAGAAAAAAAUUGUUUUCAUCUCAUGAAAUUUUAUUACAAAUAAAAAUAAAAAUCUUUCCAAACAAUAAUAUGUGGAAAAUUAGAUAAAUAUGUUGUUAAACUAGUAUUAAAAAUUUUCAAUAUGGUGUGCUUUAAAGCUUCUGAUUAAAAAGCUUUACUUUCUGAGUUAUUUGCCUUUUUUUUUUUACUUACAUAAUCCCCUUUCUCAUUUGAUUUACUUUUUUUUUUCCCUAUAACCAUGGGCUGCAUGUGUACACCCACAUCCACUUGCUAUACACUAAAUAGACACUUUGAUGGCCAUAAAGAAUAGCAUGGAUUAUGUGCUAAAUUUAUUUGUCCUUACGUUAUGCAUGCACAUAAUUGGAUCAUAAGGGUUGCCUAUUUUGCCCUUGACUAAAUUCAGAUGCCCUGCAUAAGCAGGUCACAUGUGCAGAUUAAAGAGAUACUGAAUCUCUAUUUUUUUUCUUCUCAUCUUAUGGACACUACACAAAUAUCUUAUCAACUAAACUUUUCCAGAUACGAGCAUGUUUAUCAUAACAUCCAGCCACAUGUGACAAGGACUCUGCUCCAUGCUUUCUUGGACCCAACAAAAGCAUUGCCUCAACAUUAUGGGGCAAUUCAGGGGUUGGCAGCAUUUGAACCCAGUGUGGUAUCAUUUGUUCUCUUACUUUUAGCAUCAAAGGAGGAAUGUUACAACUGGAUAAAGUGGCUAUUUUUUAUUUUUUAAAAACAUCAGUUUUUAUAUUAAAGAUAUUAAGGAUAACUUCUAAAAGCCCAUUUACUCACAAGAAAGACAUUUCUAGCACUAAAUUUCUGCUAGAUCCAAGGAGAAAUUAAAAAAAUAAAUAAAGGAAAUUGAAGUCCUUAUGUCCCAAGAACCUUUAUCACUGCAGAUGCUCUAGUUUUGAGCUUUCACGACAACCUCUACAUUUUCCUCAAAUUUAACCCCUCUUCGACAUUUUUUCACAGCCACACUAUACUCAUAUCACCCAAGUACCAUUUAGCUUCCAUUCAUUGAGUUUGUAUGCAACUUUUUGUCAUUCUUUUUCAUUUUUUUUUAAUUCAUUCUUAGAAUCUAUCUUUGUUAGUUUUUCCAAAUUUAUAAUUGAAGUACAACUCUAGAAGGGGGGAGAAAAGUUAGAUUUCACCAACAAAACCAACACACCUUCAAAUGAAUUGUGUAGGCAUGUUAAGGGGUGAACCCGCCAUUGAAGAUCGCUGUCCCUAGAUCUGACCCAUUUCAAUCAGGAAUCAACCAGGGUUCUUUCCCUCUCACCAAGACACCCAAAUCCAAGCAUACGAGGCCACCUGCAGCAUGUAGUUUUCUCCACCAAGAAAUCUUCAGGUUGUUCAAGAUGAUAUAGGCUCGUAUGGGUAUGAUAACCAUGGGUGCUUAAAAGCACAACUUCCCGUGGUGACAUGGAGAGGGAGAUGGCUGCUGACAUGGAUGUGGAGGGGUAAUUUUGGAAAUGAAAUUAUAAAACAGUGGAUAGUGCAUGAAAGGGAUAUUUUUUUGGGCAACAAUAGACAUAUUUUGGGUUAUCCCAAAUUAAUACUUGGUCCAUAUAUCAUCCAUAUUUAAGUCCAAAAUCUAGUAUGAAAAUUAAGAUGAAAAAUAUUAUUUUUCAUUAAUUUCUAAAAUACUUUUAACCCUUAUAUACCUACGAGUGAGUGUGAAUUUUAAUUUUUUUUGUGUUUUUUUCCCUUUCCUAUUUCCUAUUAAAUAUUAUUCAUUUCUAACUUUUCUUUUUCCUCUCAAUAUAUAUUUCUAUUUUAUGUCAAAUAAAAAGCAACAAUAGUUUUUUAUUUUUCAUUUUUAAAGAUAUUAAAUCUCUUUGCUCUUAUUUUUCAUCCAAAUAUUUUUUAUCUUUUUAUAUUUAUCUUUUAGUUUAAUUUUUAUUUUUUAUUUUAAAUUUAUAUUACCCUUUCAUUUAUAUUUUUCUCUUAUUUUUAAUUAUUUUUAUAUUUUAUAUAUUAACCAUAUUUUAAAAAAAUUUAAAAACUGACUAUCACUUCACUUUAUAUAUAUAUAUAUAUAUAUAUCCUUUAAGCUUUUUAAUUUUUAAUGUUUUUAUUUUAAAAUUUUAAAAAAGAUAAAUUUAUUGAAAAAAAUAACUAAGAUAUUAAAUUCUAAUAUUAUAUUAAUAAUUUUUCUUAUCUAGAUAGACUAAUGCAAAGUAUUUUGACUCACAACAAGAAAAUUAUCAAUACAAUUUUUUAGUUAAACUUUAAAAAUUAAAUUUCAAAUAAAAUAUAUUAUUGUGGACCCCAUAUUUCGGCUCAUGCGCUUCCCACUCGAUGGCGAGCUCGAUUUUUAUUUUGAAAAAUGAUUUUAUUUAUUAAAAGAAUGACUUGGAGUCGCCACUUAUUUUUGUUUUAUUUUUAAAGGGGUAAACAAAAUAAGAAAAAAAAACCCUAGGUGUGACUCCUUGUUUUGGAAAAGGUUGGUCUACGAAAAACCGGAUCGGGUUCGGGGGUCAGGUUACUUAUCGGGAAGGUAUGGUAAAGAUCGUAACACCUCUUUAAGUCCCUAAAGACGGGUCUCUACUAAUAAAAUGAAGCAAUCAUGACAAUUAAUUAAUCGAGCAUGGAUACUGAAUGAAUAUCACUCAAAACAAAAUAAUUGAAUGAACAGGAGAGACAAAUAAUGUACUUGAGUGAUGAACUGGUUUACUUCAAUGAAAACAAAUGCUAGCAAUUAAACACAAAAUAAUCGUGUGUGUAUCAUAGAAUAGUGUAAAUCAAUCACAUAUAGCAAUCAAAUCAAUCAAUCCACCAAUCGAUCAUAAAAUCACGACCGUGGGGCCCCCACCAAAGCCCAAUCUAUCUUGCAUUAAAGAUGAGUGACAGUUCAGGAGACUUGGUCGUCAGUAUUAUCGGAGUUUGCCUUUUGAUUGUGGGCGGAAAUGGAUCCGGCGAAUUGCGAGUGUCUGACGAGCCAAGCUGUCCGGGGAAUCUGAAUUGUCGGUUGCGGAUGCUCUCCGGGUAAGCGCUAUCAGAGGAUUUGGACAUGUCCGACCGGGGAAGUUGAAUCGCCCUCCUCUCCCAUCCGGUGUCAGGCGCCGAAUGUGAAAUAUCCGGAGAAGGUGGAACAUCGACCAAACAGAAUUCCAGAUGUGAGAUAUCCGGAGAAGGCAGAACGUCGGUCGGACAGAAUUCCGGAUGUGAGAUAUCCAGAGAAGGUGGAACGUCGGCCGGACAGAAUUCCGGAUGUGAGAUAUCCGGAGAAGGUGGAACGUCGGCGGACAGAAUUCCGGAUGUGAGAUAUUCGGAGAAGGUUGAACGUCGGCCGGACAGAAUUCCAGAUGUGAGAUAUCCGGAGAAGGUUGAACGUCGGCCGGACAGAAUUCCGGAUGUGAGAUAUCCGGAGAAGGUUGAACGUCGGCCGGACAGAAUUCUUCCCCGGGUGGAAUGAGCUAUGCCACGCGUCGCAAGAGGGACCGUCUGCGUGUGCAAGGAAGAGAGAGCCACGUGACAUUUUUUUAUUGAGAAUCCCACAGGUAGGUGAAGGUUUAGAGAGAGAAACGGGUUUGGUGGUAUGGUUAAAUGGGUGUACACAUGGGUAUGGUAGAACAUGGUUAUGAGUAGCAUGAAGGAUGGGUAUGGGUUGUAUGGAUAUGGAGGUUGGGUGAGUGGUUUUAAUGGUUAUGUGAAGGAGUGAAGGAUAGCAUGCACCCGUGAGACUCCAUGUAAGUGAGGGAGUGGGAUGGAGAAUGAAUGAGAGGAAAAUGGGUGUGGUGGAGGAUGCUUGAUUCCUGCAAGCUUGUGUAAGGAAAUGGGUAUGGCUGACGCGAACAGUGAAGAAGGCGUAGGCAUGUGGUAACCGUGUUAUUCAUCAUGAGAACAUGAAGCCUUUGCUUGGACAAGUUAAACUUUUCUCCAUGCACAUGGGCCAUUUACAAGGAAAAAAAAAAACGAGAGCAGCAAAGAGAACCAAAACAGAGCAUAUAUGGGCAGAUAAUCACAUUCAACCCAAAACCAUCUUGUGGUUCUUGAUGUCCACAACAAACCAACAAAUAAAACCCAAAAACUAUCAAGAAACAAGAUAGAUCUCUUGAGAAUGUACAAAAUAGUGCGGAAAUCAUACCUGGAUCGAGCUAACAAGCUCUUUCCCUGCUCUCCGCGACUCCGCCUGGGCCUACUCUCCCAUUUAGCUUCCCCCCUCCCCCCUUUUUUCUUUUCUUUUCUUUUUCUUUCCCAACUGCUCUCCUAUUCCAGCCAUCAGCCCCGUCUCCAUUCUCAACCACCACCAUGGCGAGGUGGUGGUGCCUUUCACCACGCAUCCCAUGCAUGUGCCGUUGGUAGUCGUCCCCCACCCCUAAAAAACGAAAAUUUUACUCCUCCCGGGUGGCCUAUUAAAAGGGGUCUACAAUUAUAUAAAAUUUUAUCUAAAAAUUAUUGAAAGUAGUAUUUAAUUUUUUUUAUUGACUUUCAAACUUAUCUAAUUUUUUAUUUGAAAGGUAAUAGAACAUGUUUACAAAAAAAAAAAAAUAGUUUUUCAUUUUUUAAAUAAAUGAGUAUAAAUAUAUUAAAAGAAUUAAAGAUAAUCUUAAUAAAAAUUAAAUAUGCAAUUACAAAAUUUUGAUGAUGAAAUUUAAAAAUAAAAUUCGAAACAAUUCUUGAGUGAGAGAAUUUGAGUGCGGAAAAAAAAUCUUUGAGUGGAAACAAAUGGGAAAGUUUUUCAAAAUCACUUGAAAUCUUUAAUAAAAAGUAAUCUUGUACACCCUUGUACAAUUAGUAAAUUUGUCUUGUACAGUUAGUAUAAUACCCUUGUACAAUAACUCAAAUUUCAUAGAUCAUCUCAUGAAUAUCUAACAAUAGGUCGGUUAACCAUGUUUGCAUUGCUUUGGUUUUAAAAAAGAAGAAAAAUUGUUGAAUAAUUUUGUUUUACAAUCAUCAUAAGUGAGGUACCUAUUCAAAUAACCAUACACAAGAGCAUGAGAUGAAUGUAUGCUUAACAAAUGUGUGUAAAGAAUAUCAUUUAUUAUUGGUUAGGGGAAAUAAAUAAACAAGUUUUUCACAAUCACUUAAAAUCCUUCACAAAUAAUAGUCUUGUACACCCUUGUAUAGUUAGUAUAUUUGUCAUGUAUACUUAGUAUAAAUACCUUGUACAGUGACUUAAAUUCCAUAUACCUAUUACUCAAUGUGUAACCAUAGGUAGGUUAACUAUAUUUUCAUUGGUUUGUUUAAAAAAAUAGUGGAAGAUGGAAAAACAAAAUUUUAUUUCAAACAUCAUUAGUGAGAUAAGUAUUCAAAUUAUCAUGUGCGAGUUAAAUAAAGUGCAUAAGAAAAAAAAAAAGUUGUUCAAAAUAUACAGUUUUGUACAUCCUUGUAUAAUUAGUAUAAUAACCUUGUAUAAUAAUAUAAAUGUUAUAUAUAUGUAUAAAUUAUAUCCACAUGAGUGUGUAAAUCAUGUUCCCAAUAGUUUGGCAUUUAAAAUAAUUAAAACAAACAAAAUGUUAUUUUAUUUUAUUUUCAAUGCAAAAUAUAAUUAAAAAUAAGACAAAGAAAUUACUUAAAAACUAUUAUUUAAGCUAAGUUUAUUUAUUUAUUACCUUUUAUUUUUGGAAAUAAAGAAAAAAGAAUAAAAAAUUUAUUUAACCAUAAGAAAUAUGAAUAUAAGAUCAGUUAAAAAAUACCAAAUUUAUUUAUUUAGUUAUUUCUUUUUAUUUUUGGAAUUAAAGAAAAAAUAAAAAAUUUAUUUAACUAUAAAAAAUAUUGAUAUAAGAUAUGUUAAAAAAUAGAAAUAACUCCAAAUAUAUUUACUUAUUUCAUUUUAUUUAUUUAAAUUAGAAAAUAAUUUAUUUUAAUAGAUUAAAAUGUGCACAAUUGAUUUAUUAUUUUGUUAAUUAUGGAUAUAUUAAAAUUUUCUAUUAGACAAAAAAUAAAUAAAGAAAAUAAAAUUAAAAAGAGUAAUAAAUAUAUAUAAUUUAGUUAUUUAAUUAUUUUUUUAUGUAAAAGAUAAUCCCACAAAAACACAUAAUUGAUCAAUUUCUUUAUUUAAUUGUAAACAUAUUAUAUUUUUAUUUUAUUAUUAAAAUAACUAAUGAAAAAAAUAAAAAUAGAUAAUUAAUAAAUAAAAUUUAAUUAUUUUUAUUAUUUUCAUAUAAAAAAUAGUACUAAACAAGGUUUUUAAUUUUUAUUUUUAAAAAUAGUUUUUAUUUUUUAAUUAAAUGUUUUUUAAAAAAAAUAUAAAAAAUAUAAAUCAUAAUACCAUUUGUGUAGAAAGUUUUUUUUAAAUAAUUUUUUUUUAUUUAUAAUUUAAAAUAGAAAAUAAUAUAAAUUAAAAAUAAUAAAAAAUUCAAAUUAUUAAAAUAGAAUGUUACGGUUGAUGAAUAGUAAUGCAAUAAAGAAAAAAAAAAUUAUUUGAAAAGUCAUUCGAUAUUUUAGUUCACUGUUUUAUAUAGAAAUUUGAAGGAUAUAUCGAUCCUUUUAAUCGACUUUUAAUCGAUUAUGAGGUUAUAUGGACGGCCCCAAACACGAUUCUCCUUACAAACUAUAACCUAGCCGUCCAAGCUACACUGCACGGAGCCACCCACUAGCUGUCCUUGCCGCCAUUUCACUGUCGAAAGCUCUCAUCUAAUCUGCCAUGACUGCAAGCAACCACCCAUCAGCCGUCCACUCUUUCUUCCGUUUCUCAUACCCAUGUCUCAAACUUCAACCUUCCUUUCUUCUGCCCCUAGCUUUCUUUCUCUUCUUUCCAGACCAUAUGAAUCCAUAUUAUCCAUCUUCAUGUUCCUAUAUUUUCUCUCUCAAGCUCUCUCUCCCUAACUUCACAUGACAGCAACAAAAGCUGUCAUUCCCAUCAACUCAUUUAUUUUCCCAUCGUUGCCACUCUCUCAACCGAGCUUUCCACCUCCAUCCACCGUUUUCUAGAAUUCAGCUGCAACUACUGGACGGCCUAGACCGUGCGAGAAGCGAAAUAUAGAAGAAAGAGAAGAGCAGCCUAAGCCGAGCAACAGUUCUCUUCCUCACGUACCUCGCCGGAGUUCUUCAGUUUCGAAGCUGUUGUUUCAAUCCCGAGCGCUUCUCUCUACACUGCAGACGAUAGCCAGCACACCUCCUCUCUUUCUUGCGAAGUGAUCGACGACGCCAUUGAUGAGAACUCCAACUUGAUCAGCAGCUUUCGUCGGAAUGGCUUGAGCUGCGUUUGCGAGAAGUUUGGUUAAAAACUUGCAUUUCAGGCCUUGAAAGCUCCAUUUCUGGUGCUGCAAUUCUCGGCGUAGCUGGAAAGGUGAAGUACUUGGGUGCUGGUUUUCUUCCCCGAGGUGUUGACGUAGUUGGAAAGGUUAAGUUUGGUUCACUGUAUCUAUUUUAUCUUAUUUUAUUUAUUUAUUUGUAUUAUUAUUAUUAUUAUUACUAUUAUUAUUAUUAUUAUUAUUAUUUAGGUUUUAUUCUCUUUUGUGUUUUUGAGCCUGUAUUUUAAAUUUUGAGACUGUAAGAAGGGCGGGAUUGUUAGUUUCUAGACUAAUAAGGCUUGUUUGGCCGAUAAUAUAGAAGGACGGUGGGAGAGUCAUGAUGAUUGCAUUGGGUUAAGGGGGUGUGGUCAUGUGAAAACAGAGUUCUUUGGAGGUUUCCAGAGGUCGUAUAAAAGCAGGGGAACCGCCUCUGUUAGGGAUCUCUUCGGCUGUAAUUUUUUUCGGCUAAGAAGAGGGCAGAGAAAAGGAUAGGGUUGAGAGAUCUCUGGGAAGAGUGUUUGGUAUGAGUCUAGACUUCCGACUGUUUAAUUUUGUAUGCUUCGUCUUCCUUUUAGGUUCCAUUUUCUCUAACUAUUUUGUGUAUUCGUGAAAAUCAAGCCUUAGAUCCUUUUUGAAAGAAGAAAAAUUAUAUUAUCACAUUCAAGUUUACUCUUUACUAAUCAUUUUAGAUACGAUGAUUAUAUUUUUAUUUCAUAAAAAGAAGAAAAAAUUAAGUUGCAAUAGUCAAUUUGUUUGUCCUUUUAUGUUAGUCAAUUCCUUUUUGAAACUUUCCAAUUUCUUUUAUUAUUUUAAUUAUUUUCCCUAAUUAAAUUUUUUUAAAAUCCCACUAGUUCCAAUUUAAAUUUUUUUUAAGCUCAAUCAUUCACCCCACUAACAAUUCUUUUUAAAUCAACUCAUCCACUAAUUCUCUACUCUGUUUUCCAAUCCAUUCUUCUAUUUGGAAUUUAAAAAGCCAUAUGGUCCUUUGCAGCUAAUUUGAAAUGCCCACCAGGGACUAAGCUCCAAGCCUGGUUCAAGCUGUGUCGCUGUAAUAUGGUUGUUGGACGGGUUAGAUAUCCAAUUUCAAGAGGAUUAGGACCUGUCAAAUUGUUCCCUGAAAGAUCCAUCCGGGACAUGGACUACAAAAUAUUUCCUAUAUAGGAUUCAAAUCUAUUCUAUUUAACUUUUUUAUACUAUAAAUAAAUAAAACAACUUUUUGUUAUUUUAUUUCUUUGUAUAGUAAUUAAAUAGAAAACAAAUAUAACAAGGUAGAUUAUAAUUAUAUUAAAGAACAAUUAGUCAAAGAAGAAAAAAUUGUUAGAACAACAAAAUUUAAAAGAAACACUAGAAAAGGUUAACUAAAAUUCAAGUACGAAUUUGAACAUAAAACCUCGUUUUAAUAACUUUCCUUAAGACUAAAUUGGGAUUCUUAGUACUUUUGAAGUAUUACCAUUUUAGUAUGCAUACUAGAUCCUUGUCUAAAUUAUAAAAUUAUUUGCAAUGUGAUGAUAAACAUAGAUACUUUUUUGUGUACUUACAUUAAAAUUUAGUGUUGGUAUUGAUUAAUUUGAAAAUAAUGUUAUUAAAGUGAGUAAAUAAUUAAUAAAAUUUUGGAAAUGAUUAAAAAGUAGACCGAAGACUAUGCUGAAAUUUCAUAGGAAUUUUAAAAUUUUAACUUGUUAGCUAUGACUACUUUUCUUGCUUAUAACUAAGUUUGGGAUUAUGGUUGCUUCUAGGGUGUUACAAUAUUAGCAUAUAAAUAUUAUAUCUUGUUUGAAAUUUAAUAUUAUUUAGUAUAACAAACUUAGAGACUUAGAAGUUUUCUUGCCCUAAAAUUUGAUUUGGUUGUUAACUACUAGAAAAUUUGACAACAAAUUAAUCAUGUGAUGGUUUGAAAAAUGUCUAUGAAAUAUGGGAGAUAGAAAUUUUAGUUUACUAAAUUAUUAUGUUUGAAUAUUUUUUUAUUUCUUGUAUUUUUUUUUCUUUUUAUUUUUGGCAUUUCCCUCAUGGGGCUGUGGAUUUGCUAGAUCCUAAGACUGGUAAAGUCUUUAAGAUUAAUGCCGAGAGGGUUAAGCCAUUUGUGAAGGGAAUCAAUGAAGUUGGGGAUCAAAUCCCCCUUCAAAUUAAUGUUGCUCACUAGACCAAACGUGUUUUUCUUCCUUUUGUACAUAGUUAGAGCUUUUACAGAGUGUUCAUUUCUUUUGAUGUUAUUUCAUUUUUUUUCUUUAUUUCUUUUUCUUUAUUUAGGUGGGUUGCUUCAUAAUUUUUAUCCCAAUAGCUCUCAUGGAUCUUAAAUUUGCAUGAUUUCUUGUAGACUUGUGGAUUCCAUAGUUGUUUGUGGUUGUUGCCCUUUUUUUCUCAAGUGUCAAAUUUGUACUCCCCAUUAAAAAGGAAAAAAAGAAAAAAAAAAAAGAGAAGUGCAUUAAGGGGCUUGAAUUUGAAAGAGAGGACACUCAAGGCCCAAUUUUAAUAAAUCUUACUUUAUAUAAUUUAUAUAGUAAUUAAAUACAAAAGAAAUAUACUUAUAAAUAAAAUUAUAAAUAUUUUUAAAAAUAAUUAUACAUGUCAUCAUUAUUAUUUUCUUUACAUCCUUAAACAUAUCCAGACUAAGAGUUUUCAAAUUCUGUAAAUUAUUAUCAAAUGUCACAUAUUUUAUCCAUUAAUACACAUUAUUUUCUUUAAUAAGAUUGCUUAUGUGCAUUAGUAGUUGUUUUAUCAUUUUUUGUAAGUUACAACAUUUCUAAGUUUGAUCAAUUUUCGUCUUACAAUUUUUUUUUUUUGAAUUUGGGUUCCUUGUUUCCAAUAUUUCCCCGUGUUUCCCUAAAUCCAAGUAUUCAUAUUGUCACAAAUUCUCAUAUUUAAAAUGGGAUAUUGUGGACCCCGCAUUUCGGCUCAUGCAUUUUUCACUCAAUGGCGAGCUCGAUUUUUGUUUGAAAAAUGAUUUCUAUUGAUUAAGAAAAAUGACUUGGAGUCGCCACUUAUUUUUGUUUUAUUUUUAAAACAAAAUAAGAAAGAAAAACCCUAAGUGUGACUCCUUAUUUUGGAAAAGGCGGUCUGUGAAAAACCAGAUCGAGUUCAGGGGUCAGGUUACUUAUCGAGAAGGUACGAUAAAGACCGUAGCACCCCUCUAAGUCCCUAAAAUCGGGUCUCUACUAAUAAAAUGAAGCUGACACGACAAUUGAUGAAUGAACCAACGAAUACUCUAAAUGAUCAUGCACGUAUGAGAAUCCGAACAAGCAUAAGGAGUGACCAUGAGGCGAGUAAAUACGUACCUGGGUGGCGAACCGAUAUGCGCUAUCAAGAGAGGGGGUCAGUGCACAAUUUAAAGAAUAACUUCAAGCAUGUCAUAGAGCAGAAUAAAAAUCAAUCAUGCAUGACAAUUAAAUCAAGCAAUUAGUCAUGAAUUCACAUAUGUGGGGCCCCCACCAAAGCCCAUUUAUUUUUGCAUGAAUUAAUUCUAUAAAUUCAAUUAUUCGGAAUUACGGAAUUUAAAUUUAUGUUUAUUUUAAAACAUUUUAAAUCAUGAAAAAUUCGAAAGGGGCUCACCAAAGAAAAUGACGACCAAAUUUUAUUGAAAAUAGGAUUUUUGAUGAACCUAAGCAAAAGAAAAUCUAAGGAUGAAGAUUUGAAAAAGUUAAAAUUAUUUAGAAAUCUAGAAAUUGGAAAAACCAUUUGAAAACCGGGAAUUGGGAAAUUAUUUUAAAAUCGAAGACGAUGAGAUACAAAGAAAGGACACGUGGUUCGAAGGUGGCCAUGCUAAGCAUGCAGCGAUUUGGUGCAUCUACAUAUCCAUCCUUGCCAAUGAGGCUUGAUUGGGUGCUUCCCCAAGCCAAGUCUGCUAGCUGUUGGGACCAUUAUUGGCAAGCCCAAGUUAAGUCAUAUAGGAUUUCACACAAUCAUUAGAGCAGCCGAUUGUCCAAAUAAUCACAGAUUCAUCGCUUUUGUGAUCAACCCUUUCAAGUACAGCUCAAACCUGCUUGAGGAGGUCAAGAAUUCUUCACUUAGCUGCACAGUCAUCGCAAGAGGGCACAGUGGUAGAGCUGGACGUGCCAUUGUCAAUCUGUAUCAUGCUUACCAUUUCAGGAAUAAGGCCAAGUAGGAAUAAGGGGCACCAAGACCGACAGUAGCAAAGACUGCCUUCGGAAGAAAUAUUUAUGCAGCCAAGAACGAUGGUAAGGCUGCAAGAGAAGGCAUUUGUUUACCAGACGCGAGGCAUUCGGGUUGAGAACACCACCCAGAACUAUACCAUCUGAACCUGCUAAGGACACACUCAAACCACCAGUUCUAUGGCAGCUACCAUUAUCUUCUGAAAGCAAGAAGAAACCUGACAGAGAGAUAAUAUCAAAUCGACCCUCAUAUGAAACAGUAUCACCAGACAUAGCUGGCUAGCGAAGGGUAACAUUGCAGAUGACACCAUUUACAGAGAGGAUGUAAACUGUUCGGGGCCUUCUUUUCAAUUCCUCAACCAGUUUGUAAAAUGUCCUCUCCUUGCAUCAAAAGUCCCACAGCUCUUAAAAGGCAUUGAGAGCAUAAAGCAGGCUGACCGAAACCCAGCUCGCGGCUACAAAGACGAGACCCCAUGCACGAGGAUUAGACAUGCUCUAGCAAGGUAUUUUACAUCGAGAUUUGCAUAUUACAGAUGUUACAACCAGCAACUUUGGAGUGAGAAACUUCUCCUCUGCCCAGGUUGCGGAUCCCUUAAGCAAAUGUUUCAAGUGGCACUGACGUGAUUUAUCUUUUGGGUCAAAUCUAUGCAGGUUUACUGACCUAUGAUUGCCAUCUGGAGGGGUUUCAUGAUGGAAAUAACCACGUAACUGCUGUGUGGAAUAAGAUAAGAGUCCUAGGACCUAAGGAUGCAUUUGGAUGGAAAGAAGAAACUCAGCCACAAAGCAGCCUGCAGACCACAUAUCAUUGGCAGUUGUAUAUUCUGUAGCCCUAAAGAUCAGUUCUGGAGCUCUAUGAUACCUUGAGCAAAUAUAUGACUUGUUUGGUUCACCUGGCACCACCUUCUUUGAGCUUCCAAAAUCACAUAUAUGCAGCUGAUGAGUGUGGGGAUUGACCCAUAAAUUUUGAAGCUUGAUAUCACAAUGACAGACCCCAAUAGCACUGUGCAUGCAGUUAAGUGCAUGACAGAUCUGGUAUGCAUACAAUUGCACAUAUAUAAUGGGCACAUGCUGGUCCUUCCUGCUGUGAUGUCUUGAAACUUGGUAUGCAGUUUCAAAUACAGCUUCAAGAGCAAGAUUAAGGUACACUGCAUCUCUUUCAUUUCGAUUCUCAGUCACAUCCUCAACAAUUGCUCGUCUCAACAUCAACAUCACACGGAAGAACAAUAGCAAACUCAGGCUGUGGCAUAUUGCUUCCAUAAUGUUUGUUUCCAUUGGCAAUGUUUACUAGAAUUCUAGUGGAUUCUUGGACUUCAACUAGCUGUUGGAGUUCUUGGGCCUUUGGAAUUACAUGAUCCUUCAUGUGUGCCUAGUCAGGCAUCUUCCACAGACUAUCAAACAGAGCUUCAUAGUUCUCUAUACUCUUACCAAAGUCUACCAAUGCAUCCCACUGACUAAGCUGAGUAGCACAAUAAAUCCAUUGCUCCUCACAAAGACAUCCCAAUACAGGCAACCAACUCCAAACAUGAUACCCACACUAGAUAUAUCAGAGACAAAAGACACAGUGAAGGAAAACAGAGCAUGUGAAAGAAGUAACACGAUUAAAUCUGUCUUUCCUCCAUGAAAAUCAAAGAGAGUUAAGAACUGGUGGGAAGUUUUUGAGUCACUUUAACACAAAUAAAUAGUAUAAUCACAAUGCAACCCAUAUAGAGAGAAGAAAGAAAAACAAACAGAGACUAAGCAAAUGGAAGCUGGGAAACAGGUUUAACAUAUUAGACAGCCAAAAUACACAUCCAAAUAUCAGGAAGAAAAAUGGAAAGACUGAAAUAAUGGAGAACUCAAGGUGUAAAAACAGCUAAACCUGAGCGAUCCUUUCGAUCAAAAGUCGUUUGAUUCUCAGCAAGCCGCAACCUUUUUCCUCUGUUCCUUGCUUCUUCUGUGAAAGCUCUCUCUUCUCUCUCAAGUCACUCUCUGUUUCCUUCCCUGGACGUCUUGCCCUCCGAAUCACCUAAAGAUAUCUCUCUAAAACCCAGCAAAAACCAUCCCUCCUCUCUCACAGUUUUCUCUCUAAAAAGAAACCCCCCUUCAAAAAUCUCCAGCUAAAAAAACUCUACUCCCUCAAACUCACCCUCUCUGUCGUCGCCUUCUCCAGAAACAUGCUCUGUUUUCUCUCGCUUCACUCCCUCACCCCCUUCAGCCUUCUCUCCAAAAAGAAAAUCUCGAACGGCCUCCUCACCAAAAGACCUCACUGCCCUCACCUGCAGCCUCCACUACGCCACUAAUAACAGAAGACGCUCCUCAAGACAACGGCCUGCAGAUCCCCAUGCCACCUGUCAACCUUCCAUUGGCAUUUCAAAAGCACCAUAUGAUUCUGCACUGUCCUCUCAAAAGAAGACACGUGGUUGAGCAAGGCUCUUCCACGUGGCAAAAUGAGCAGCUGCAUGAAAGGCCCCAAAUGAGGGUCUACAGAUAUGUUAUAAUAUGCCACUUGUUAUCUGAUGGUUAGGGAGAGAAGAGCUUUGAUUUUUCAAAGAGUGCAUUUCUUGUGUGUAAUCCUGAGAAGAGAAAAUGUGUCUGGAAAAUCAUAUUGAAAAUACAGUGCGAAAUGUAAUAAAUUUUUUGGCUUGAUAAAGAGAAGCUUUCUUGAACAAGAUCUACAAAAGAAAAACUGAUCUGGAAGACCAGAAAUUGCAAUAAGCGGUAAUAGAGAGUUCAAAAAGUUCAAUAUUGAAAAGUUCUCUGGAAAAAGCUGACUUGGGUCCUUGGAGAGUCAAGAUGAAAGUACUCCUGGUUCAGCAAGUUCGGUUCAACAAGGUCUUUAAGAUGCCUUGAAAGGUGAAAAAAGAUCUACCAAAAACCUUAUCAGAAAAGAAGAAAAAUGACAUUCUUGAAAAGGCACAACGUGCCAUUAUCCUGAGUCUUGGAGAUAAGGCCCUUAAAGAAGUGUCAAGAGAAACAUCUGCAGCUGCUAUAUGGUUGAAGUUGGAGAAGCUAUACAUGACGAAAUCACUGGCUAAUAGACUCUAUUUGAAACAGAGGCUUUACUCUUUUAAGAUGGCAGAGGGAAAAUCCAUUGAAGACUAAAUGGAGAGUUUAACAAGAUUAUUAAUGAUCUUGAAAAUGUAAAUGUCAAUAUGGAAGACAAAGAUCAGGCAAUAAUACUUUUGAUUGCUUUACCAAAGUCAUACAAACGUUUUGUUGAUGCAAUGUUGCAUGAUUUUAAAAAUCGGACCGGACGAUCUGGUCAGACCGCAGACUGGUCACCAUUCCAGUCUGGUUCGACGAAUUGGACCAGGGAAGUGAUCGAAUUGACGAUCCCACUGGCGACUUGACGGUCCAAUCGGUGAACCGGACGAACCGUUCGGUUCAAUCUAUUUUUUUUCUUUCCUCCCAGCAUCCGUGUAGCUAUUCCCAUUGUCGUCGGCCACUGGAGCGUCGUCCCAGUGGCAGCACGCGCUGGAAACCACCUCCCGUCCCCUCCAACAUCCCCCACCCCCCACCAUCACGCGCGCUGAAAAGCCCUCCCCCCCCAAAACGCUGCAAAGCCCCGUCGCCGGCCACUCCGUCGUCCCGCCAGUAGCAGCACCCACCCACCCCCCGCCCCGCCCCUUCUCUCCUCUCUCAAAAGUCAAAAAUUUAAAACAGAGAGAAAUCAAACCCCUUUGGUGGAGGUGUGGCGGUGCUUUCCGGGUUUCUUGAUUCCAUUCUUGUGGGCUUUGUAGGACUGGUAUGCAAAGGUUGUACCGAAGUGGAAGAAGAACGAAGUUGUCACAGCUAUUAGGGUUAAGGUUAGGGUUUUGACUCAAAACACAGUGCCCUCUCACCUUCCUUCCAUUUUUGUUUUUUAAAUUUAAUUUUUAUGUUUUAUAUUUAAUAUCUUAAUAUUUAAUUUCUUCCAUUUUUGUUUUUUUGAAUUUAUUUUUUAUGUUUUAUAUUUAAUAUCUUAAUUUUUUUUGUUGAUUAUAAUUAUAAUGAUAGGUUUAAUAUUUAAAAUUUUUAUUUUUUUUAUAUUUAUUGUAUAUUGAAAUUUUAAUUUAUUGAAAUUAUUGAAAAUAUUGGGUUAAUUGACAUUUAUUGAUAAAAAGACCUUUAUGAAAAAACUCAAUAGAUAUUAUUAAAAUUUAGAUAGAAUUUAUUAUUUUUAUUUAAUAAUUUUUAAAAUUUUAAUAAUAUAAAAAAUAUAUAUUUAUGAUAUCACUAAUAGUCUUUCUUACCAGUGAACCGUGAAUCGAUAAUUUUUUCAGUUCAAUGAUCGGUCCGAUUCUAAAAACAUUACAAUGUUAUAUGGGAGAGAGCAAUCUCUAACAUUGGAGGAGGUUCAGGCGGCACUAAAAUUGAAAGAGUCCAAGAAGUUCCAAGUAAUAGAAUAAUCAAAUGAAGAAGGCUUUGUUGCUCGAGGAAGACCAGAAAAAUGAGACAAUAAGGGAAAAGGUAGAAAUAAAUCAAAAUCCAAGUUUAAACUGCGUUGCUACCAUUGUCAAAAGGAAAGCCAUUUAAGAAGAGAUUGCCCUGAAAGAAAACAAAAGCAAACAGACAAAUCAGAAGAACCGGAGGAUGCAACAGCUGCUACAGAUGGCAAUGAAUCAGCAUAGGGGCUUUCCAUGACUGAAAAAGAAUCCAAUAAAGAAUGAAUCUUGGACUCAGGAUGUUCCUUCGACAUGUGUCCAAAUAAGUCCUGGUUUGAAGUAUAUAAAUAGUGAUGAACGUAUGGUUUUGUUGGGUAACAACAAGGCAUGCAGGGUUGCUGAUAUAGGGUCAAUCAGAAUUAAGAUGCAUGAUGGUUUGGAAAGGGUGUUGCAACAAGUGAGGUAUGUGCUUGAACUCAAAAGGAACCUCAUUUUGGGUAUGUUAGAUCAGAUUGGUUGCUCAUUCAAAGCUUAAAAUGGUUGCUUGAAAGUUUUAAAAGGGAUCUAUGGCUAUUAUGAAAGGGGUAAGAAUAAGCAGCAUAUAUGUUCUCAUUGGAAAAGCAGUCAUUGGUGAAGUUGCUAUGCUGAAAAUCAGACAGUUGAUAAGACUAAGUUAUGGCACAUGAGAUUAGGCCAUGUCAGUGAGAAGGGUUUAUAAGAAUUGGGAAAACAGAAUUUACUAGUUGGAGAUAAGAUUUAUUCACUAGGAUUCAGUGAGCAAUGUGUUGGGAAAGGCCAAGAGAGUUAAAUUUGGCACUGGAACACACCAAACAAAGGAAAUUCUGGAAUAUAUCCAUUCAGAUUUGUGGGGGCCAUCUAAAAUCCCUACUCAUGCAAAUGGCAGAUAUUUUAUAUCGAUUAUUGAUGACUUCUCACGAAGAGUGUGGGUUUACAUACUGAAGAGUAAGGAUGAAGCCUUCUUAAAGUUUAAAGAAUGGAAGACAUUGGUAGAGAAUCAAACUGGAAAAAGGAUAAAGAGACUCAACAGACAAUGGGCUAGAGUAUUUUUCUGAAGAGUUUAACAAGAUGUGCUCACAAAAUGGUAUUGCAAGGCACAAAACAGUAAAAAAUAGCCCACAGCUGAAUGGGUUGGCAGAACGCAUGAAUUGAACCCUUCUAGAAAGAGUCAGAUGUAUGUUGUUGAAUGGUGGACUACCAAAAACAUUAUGGGAGAAGCUGUUUCUACAGCAUGUUUUCUGAUUAAUAAAUGUCCUUCAACAGCCAUUAACAUGAAAACACCUAUGGAGAAGUGGUCAGAUAAGCCUGCAGAUUAUAAUGGCCUAAAGGUGUUUGGGUGUUUGGCAUAUGCACACAUUAAACAGGAUAAAUUGCAACCUAGAGCACUCAAGGUGUAUUUUUAUAGGGUAUCCAGAAAGGGUAAAAGGAUAUAAAAUGUGAUGUUUGGAGACUGGCCAUAAGAAAUGUUUCAUAAGCAGAGUGUGAUCCCGCAUUUUCACAUGCGUUCUCACUCGAUAGCGAGACUCAUUUUUUAUUUGUGAAAAAUCAAUUUUAUAAAUAACGGAGUUGCCAAUUAUUUUUAUUUUAUUUUUUUAAAAGGGCAAACAAAAUAAGAAAUAAAAACCCUAAAAAAAUGACUCUUCUUUCUUUAGAAAGACCUGUCUUUGAAAACCAGAGUUUAAGUCCGAGGAUCAAGUUACUUAUUGGAAAGGUACAGUAAAAAACUCUAACACCCCUCUGAGCCUUAAAAGCUAGGUCUCUACUAAGUAAGUUAAGAUAUCUAUGAUAAUUAAUUGGUUAAUUAAUGGAUACUGAGAAAUAAGAAUCUUAAUAAUAAUAAUAAAAAUAAUAAAGGAGUUAGCGAGAUAGAUUCAAGGUGUACCUUAGAUGCAAGAUGAAUGCUAUCAUGAGAGACAAGGUCAAUGCACAAUGACAAGUGCAAAAUAUCCCACAUAAAAUUGGCCAAAAUCAAGCACUAUGAAUCAUGCACUUUACUUGAUUAUUUUUUAAAAAAAUAUUACAAAUGUUCCACCCCUCACCAAGGCCUAAUUUAAUUUUGCAUGAAUUAAUUCUAUGAAUUCCAUUAUUUGAAACCAUAAGUUUAUUCAUGUUUAUUGAAAUCGAGAAAAUCAAGAAAAUAAUUAAAAAAAGAAAAAAGAAAAUUAGGAAGAUGCAUGCCCGCAAGUGUUUAUUAAAAAUCAGGAUUUUGAUGCCUAAAAGCUCCUAAGAAUGGAAUUUUAAAGAAAAACUAGAGUUAUUUAAUGAAAAAGAUUUCCAAAUCCAAAUUUAAAAAGUGUAAGAUCACAAGGAAACGAAAAACAUCAGGAGGAGGAUGAUGCGCAUCAAGGUAACCAUGCGGGAAUGGAACUUGGAAAUUCUGGAUAAAAGAACCCAAUUCACUGGAAAAGUGUUCAGCUAUCAAAUAUGCUUCAAUUUAUAAGGAAACUUGAUUUGUAAGCUCAAUUGGAUUCUCCCCGUCGGUGGUCAAACACUAAACAAAAGGUACAAAAUCCCCAAUUUUCUACACUGACAGAUUUCUUGCAUUAUGUGUUAAUUUCUCACCACCAAGGUUUGAUUCAAUGGCUCCACUAGAAUAUGUACCCUUGUCAUUGCCAUCACUAAGCAGACUUCUCAUUUUUACUUUUAAUCCAUAAUGGAACUGAAUCUAUAAACGAAUGAUUUCCAUUAGUCAAGAUGGGCUAACAACGGUGCAGAGAAGGAACUGCUCGUUUCAUCUUGAGGGCAUGUAGUGCUCAAUUGAUCAACUGAAACAGUACUACAUAAGCUUUGCGACAUUUCUUCUUUGGAAGUCAAUGCAAUAUUUCCUAACAGAGAAGCUCUCCGAAAUAGAAGCAAUUGGUUUAACAUAACAUUUGUAGCUCUGUCCAACCCUAUUUCGCCACCAAGCCCAAAUGACCUUAAAUUUCUGCACAAUAUCUUCAGUAUUCUGCCCAUCUGCUUUUUCUUGGAAAGCCCGUCAGAGAUGCUUUUCUUCCAAUCUCUUAAUAUCUUCACUGAUUUCUUCUUCCUUCAUCUAUGCUUUGUCUAGCACCAAUUCUGGAAAGAUUCCAAUGCUCUGAAUUUCCAGCAGAAGUUUCUCGCUUAAAGACGUGCCUUUGUACCGAAUUCUGAAUAGGCGAUGCUAGGCAUUAAAUCCUGGUCUAGACGAAUAUCAUUAAAACUGUCAUGAUCAGAGAAGAGAUCUUUAAAUUUCUCAGCAAAAAUCAGCUUGGAAUUCCACUUGUUAGUCCACCAUAAGAACUAACAGAUUUCAAAAGAUUGCCACCUAGCUCUCCAGCUAAAGUUCUACCUUGACUCGCAGCCACUAAUCACCCUCCCAAGAAUUAGGUUCUGAGCAUAUUCACUUCUCUCCUAAAACAUGUAUGGAUUGUCAUGCUGGUAAAGAUAAAGUUCGCAAUAGUCCUUGCGGAGGUCUUGCUAUUGUGGAGGUUGGUUUGGACUCUUCUGUGGUUUCUGUUAUUUUAGAUUAAGGCCAUUAUAUCCUCUUUGCACAGGAAAAAUCAUCAUUGAAUGUUUCGCUUUAUCUUUAAUCACGAUCUGCCUCCUCAAAUUCUAGGAUCAAAGCACCUGCAUAAUUAUUCUGAGUUAUGCCUCUGCUGGAAGAUGGACAAGACUGCCUCUUAACUUCACCUCAAAUAACUGGAAUUUCUUAACCUUUACAAUUUGGAUGACAAGUUGGCUCUAAAGAGAGCUAAUUUCUAAUCAGACUGCACAGUAUUCGAAUCACGGUUUUUACUUUAAGAAGUGAAACAGAUUCACCAUGAGAUGCAAGUCUUUGAUCCAGCUUUAGUGCAGAAUUUGUAGAACCAGCCAUUGUCGAACUACUGAGUAUACAUUCUGAUACAAAUAAAAUCCUUUCUAUCAAAUGAGUUUCGUUCCAUCGCCUACUGUAAUCCUUUUUAAUUUUGAACAUGAGAGAAGAAGGAGAGCAUUUUAACUUUUGUUUCGAUUAUCCCAUUUCCAAUAGCAUUUGCCUCAACUUUUGGAGAAAAGCUUCGUCAUUUGGUCUGGCCAUUUGCAAUGCCUUCGGACAAUUCUUACAGCCUGCAUCAUCUUGAUCACUUGGUUUGCAGCAAAAACAGUUUGUUUCUAUGAGAGGAGCAAUUAUUGUUUCUGCGUUCAGUGUAUAGGUGGAUGCCUGAAACUCCAUUUUUUCAUCAAAAACUAAGUCUUCAUCAUAGGAUGAGUGCUAUUGAAGCAUUAGAAUUCAUCCAAUUAAAAUAUUUGAGCAUUCCAGAACCACUUGGCAGAGUACCUUCCAACUACAUGGGAAACAAAGGUGAAAUGCUUGGCUGGAUUCACGGCAAUGUAGUCCUCCUGUAAUGCAGCGAUUUCAAUGUACCUCUGACCGAUUUCAAAAGCAUUCUACUCUUCUUUGGGAUCUGCAGUCUGACUAACCCCAACAAAAAUUUCAGCACGUGUAUCAAGUGUCCAGACACCCUCAGCCAACAGAUCAUUUUGAUUAAAGUUGUAAGUUUCAUCAACCUCAAAUUUCCUUUUGCACCGAAUUCAGAGUUCAUCAUCUUCGUGAGUUUCCUCUAGGUGGGAAAACAACCACUCCAUUCCCAACUCCAUGCUGUUUACUCCAACUUACUACAGAGCCUCUUCUACUCUAAAUUUUGGAAAACCCAUCUCUAGAAUUAUUGAAAUAGCUGUCUCAUUUGGAGGGGGACCAGUUAAUCAAGCGCCUGCCUUGCUUUUGUCAUUUUUCACUUCAACUCCAGAAUAGAUGAGCCAAAUAACAGAAAUGAUUUUUGUAAUGAGAUCAUAACUACAAUCAGUAAAUUGUGGAUUCGUCCAAACUGGAAACACACCUUCAGCAUCACGAACUGGAGGGCCUUUACAAAUGUCCCAGCAUCCCUAGGAAAAGGAAUAUCACCAAUGAUCAGGGGUUGGGCAGGCAGUGCUUUGUAAAUGGAGAUAAAACAGAUGAUGAUGUCACUAGAUGGCCCAUUAGUUUUCCAUAGCUAGGUAAGAGACUGUAAACCUAUGAAUGAUCAAUUUCAUCCUUUCCAUCCGGCUUUGAAUUCCCAUCAUCAGUCUCCAUAGGUGGAGCAGGAGCCUUGUCAACCGUAAAAAGUAGUUGACUGGCAGCUACAAGUGUAGUCAAAACUAAUUGAACCAUCCCAUGUCCAUACAAGCAAUUCACCAGAACUCGAUUAUAGGAGUCUGGCCGGUCCAAUAGAAUGCCAUCAAUGAAAUCAGUAACUUUGCCAAAGUAGAGACAUUCUGUCGAUAUGGAUCCUAUGGUCCAGAUGGAUUUGCAGAACCCCCAAAAUUUAUGUGGUCCAGAGCAAAAAUGGAGACCUCAUAUUUUGAAGAAGGUGACACAUUCAGAGUAUCAUCACAUCAUCGAGGGAGCAGCAUGGCCUUUCCUGACUCUCGAAACAAAUGGGCAAUACGAAAAGAGAGCGAUCUGACCACAUCACAGCAUGAAAAAUAACACGAUCUCUGCUUUUUAUCUUCCUUUUUACUAAUGACUCCAGUAGAAACAGAAGAACCCGAAUGACGCAAUUGAUGACCAUCUGGAUCACCAUGAUAACAGGUGAAUAAUGAAAAAACAUGACCACCUCAAUGUCCAUGUGAAUUUAUUUGUUGAUAAGUUGUGCUUAUUCUUGUUUGCCAUUGUUUCUUUGAUUAGUAGCUUCUGAUUUUUAUGCUGAGCAGUUUCAAAUGCUUUCAAAUGAGCUUCACUAGCAGGAACAUGGUAGUUGACUAUUGACAUCACAUCCCUGCCACUAACUUUUUGAGUUAGUAAAUAUGAAUUCUAUUGCAACUGACUUUCCAACCAAUCUUGGAAAGUCUUUGGAUUCCAUUAGCUUCAGGAAUUAUAGCGAGUCAUGUUUUUGGUAAGCCCAAUACCACAUCUUCUCCAUAAAUCUGAAGAUCACAUAACAGAGCCAUUUCUAUCCUAUCACCCAAUGCUACUCCUUCAACUGUCACUGAAGGAAUCCCUACACUUUCAAUGGUCAAAAAGCCAUAUAAAACUACAACUGCACACCCAAGCUUCAUGGCCUUCAUGUUCUGAUAUAGUGCACUGAAAUAUAAUAAUUUCUUAUCUGAACUUAAAUGAUCUCCGAAGAAUGCUUCUCAAUUCUGAAAGAUUCACCAGUCAUAUACUAUCUGUUAUUACCGAACUCAAUUUGAGCUCCAUUUACACAUCUCUUGUUCUUCUUUCCCCUCAAGCUGCCUUACUUUUGAAGAUUCAAGUAAUCAUCAGAUGCAUUGGAACUCUUACCAAAACCAAAGCUCCUCUGGGAACCUUUACUAUUUACAGGUGUUCCAAUAUUUGGACUCCUUGUCAACAUCGAUUCUUUCUUUCUCAUACACUUCAUCGAUGUAUUUCCAAUUCAUCAACAACUUCAAACAGAUUAGAAAGAGAAAGAUUCUAGUGCACUACGACGGCAGGGCCUCCCAUAUGGCCAAUAAUAAUGUCGAAUGAUACCCUAGUGAGCCAACUGAUUUUUUUCAGCUUAGUUGUGGCUUAAAACUCAGUCUGGAGCAAUGUUUUGCUGACCUCACAAUCUGAGUCAUAAUGGUAACCUGCAGGUCUCUAAUCACACGGGAAUGCAGUGGUUUACCUGGCUCUAGAAAUGAAGGAUCCCAGCAAAACCACAAAAGGAUCGUAUAUACAGUAGAAACAAAAAGAAAAAUGUCCCAAAACAGAGCAUGACCAAAAUAACAAAUAAAUAAACGAACCAUUAAACAGAAACCCACUUCAUGCUGAAUUCAAUGGGUUCAAAGAUGAGUGGUACAACUGAAAGAUUCAAAGCAAAUACUAAGAUAAAAUCAUCAAAGAACUCUCAAUAUGAAAGUGGAACAUGUUCAAAUCAAUUCUCAAAUGAAAUCCCAAGAGCAUGAUAUAAAAGAAAACGAUUUCAAAUUCAACAUCAGUCCAUAAUCAACAGAACUCAUAAAUGGAAAUGAACAUAGGAGUUAUAGUAAUCAUACCUGAGAACAUCUCUCUUCUUCUCCAAAGACCGGUAAGUUCUCUUUCUCCAAAGCCAAAGAACUAGCUGAAAUCCUCCUCCUCUCCUCUAUUAUCUUCUCUCUUCCCUUGCCUUUUAUAGCCUGCUACGAAUCUCAAAAUGUCACGCCCCAAGACCCACUCCAAGGGCGUGAUGGUCAUUUUACACCUCAAACCCGAAGGCUUAAAGUGUAACCUGACCCAAAUAAAUAUAUUGUAACUGGAAGUAACCAAUUACCAAAUACCUAUUUAGAGUAGCGGAACAAAAUUAUAAAAUCUUCAAACUUAACUUUAAAACUAAGCAUCCAUCAACCAAAAUCCAUUAUCUAAAUAGAUUGCGAACUCAACAAAUCAAGUGCUAACAAAUCUUCAUAAUCUCUAAAUCUCAACUUCAAACUAUCAUAAAUAAAAAAAAUAUUUAAAAGUUCAAUAUCUAAAUAGCUUCCAAAAACCAAAUAAUCCAAAUGAACAUAAACUUAUAAGCUACCAAUGUUCAAAAAUAACAUCCUAAGAAAAAUCCUAAUGAUGACCAUUUCCCGACCUAGCCAUCACUUCUUGCCCAAACUAAGGGUACCUGAAAAAUUAUCAACAAGGAGAAUGAGCUCAAAGCCCAAUAAGGAAUAUUAAUGUCGUCCAUGGAUCAAAUAUUUUAAGUUCACUUACAAAAUAGGAGAUAUUAUAACUAAUUAUUUUCAUAAACCUUUGAGUCAAUUUUGUCAAUACAUUCAAAACUUUUAACUGUACACUUUCAUUUCUGAUUCAAACAUUUUCAUAUCAAAUCCAAUCAAAACGUUCAAAUUAUUUAUUUACUCUGGUCAUCAAACAUCAAAUGGUGCCCAGUUAGGUGGGACAUUUCAAAUAGGUGGCUAGCCUCAAAUUGUUCCUUUAAGGUGGACGGAACCAAACACUACUAGUACUAGUAACCUCUAAUCAAACCCCUAGAGGCUGAAGUCAAAAUCAAUUACAUUCCUCACUAAGAAAUGUAAAGGUCAACUAUUAUAUCCCGUUGACAAAGGCCAAAAAGUCAAAAGUCAACUAUUUUAUCCCGUUGACAAGGGCCAAAUAAACAAGAGUCAAACAUUUAUUUCAAUUAUUCAAAUUUGCAAAACAUAAUAUCUCCACAUGUCUCUAUUAUAAACAAAAUGUAAGGUUCUAACAUACUUUUCAUGCAAAACAUAUUUGAUCCAUGUAUAAAACGAAUAAUAACUCAAAAUAUUUCCAAAUGAUGUAUAUAAAAAUUUGUUUCUAAAAAAAAAAAAAAAAAAAAAACAACUGCAUUAAUUUCCCUUACCUCAAAAGAAAUUCUUGAAGGCUUGGGAGAAAAAUAAUUCUAGAAAAAAAAAAUUACUCUCCACCUAAUAUAACAUAAGAGAAACAAUUAUUACUAUUUAUCUAUAAUUUAACUAAUCUAUUCCUUGUUUAAAUAAAACUAAUAAAUUCCCAAUUUGUUUCUAAUAACACAUUACUAAUUUAAUUAAAUUACAAUUUUAUUUCAUUAUAAAAUUCUAUAUAUAUUUUGCUAAAUCUCCCAUUCUAUUUAUUACAAUAAACCAUUAUUACUAUUAUCUUAUUUAUUAAUCUAAAACUAAAUAUUAUUAUUUGAUUAAUUGACCAACUCAAAAGCCACCCAAACCAUUACCCACUUGUCUCAGGUAUACCAAACCAAUAAAACAAAGCAAUAUUUUUUUUUUCAUUGCCAUCAUCAUUAUUAUGAUGAUUCAUUAUAUAUAUAUAUAUAUAUAUAUAUAUAUAUAUAUAUAUAUAUAUAUAUAUAUAUAUAUAUAUAUAUAUAAAAGCCUUCAUUCCAUCUGGGCACACGCUCUUUUUUUUUUUUUCAUUCCGGUGUGCAUACACGUGUUUUUUUUGCUUUUUUUUUAUAACAUUUUCUAGUCCCUUCAACCACAAAUAACAAUAUAUUUAUUUACUUUUUUUUUUAUUUAUAAAAAUUAGCCCUAACCUAAAAUCGAAACCUUCCAAGGAACCUUUUUUUUUUCAUAAAAAAAACUUAAAAUCUCCCAAAUUCCACCAAUAAAUCAAAAUCUUAAAUUUUAUUAUUAUUAUUUUGAUAUUAAAAUGAAUUAAAAAAAAUAAGUAAACUAACCCUAAUCUAGAUUUGGGUUUUCCAAAAGAUAUAUAAUGUGUUUGAAAUUAACCAAUAAAUCUAAAAUAUUAAACUAGGGGUUAGAAUCUUACCUAGAGAGAUUUGUUCUUCAACCUUGAAAUGUGACUCCAACCUUACGUUCUUUGGAAUUCUGCGAACAGGAACUCUAUUCAGAAAAGAAUAGGAAGAAUAUAAUUUCUAAUUUAUACCUAGGGUAUUUAUUCGUAAAAUUACAUUUUUACCCCUCUUUCAUUUUAUUAAAUUAAUUAAUUAGCUAAUUUAAUUAUCAUUAAUAAUUUCCUAAAUUACCCUUAAAAAAAAACUUGGGCGUUACACAAAAACUCCCCAUUUUCUUCUUCAAAACCUUCUCUGUAGCUUCUCAAAAAUCUGCUCUCUCCGUCUAAUCCCCUCUCUAAACCCAGCUCUUUCCUCCUGCAACUCUCUCUCUUUCUCUCUUAUUUUUCUCCAGAAAUCCAGAAGAAAAAAAAUGUUCUUCUCUAGAUUUCCCCAAAAAACCCCUCUGUCUUUCUCCGUCUUUCUCUCUUUCUCUAUUUCUUUUUCCAUUUCUUUCUUUUCCUUCCAAAAAAGUUCCUUAAAAGAUGAAAACUGAAAAACCCUUUCUUGAAAAAUCUUGUCGUGAUUCCAAACUGAAGCCCCUCUUCUCUCCAAUGCUAUCCACGUGAUCUCUUCACCCUUAGCUGACUAAUCUCCAGAAUCCUCCAAAUAUAACUAUCACGUCACCUCUUUCAAAAUGCACACUUCUCUGACUCUCAUCUCUUCUCUGCCCAUCUCCACAUGAUUUCCAUGUCAUACUCCGGAUUGUAUUCUAUGAUUAUACAAGAAUUGAAUGCUGAAUCACAUGAGAAAAUAUGUCACAAAUCUCUAUAGAAAUGGUAAUAACCUGAAUCCAUUUGCGCGUUUGAUGAAGAUGGUAUGGAUCUUCUACGAGCAAUGGAGGACACCAUCUCUUACACUGUAUUCUCUCAAGCAAUGGGAGUAGGAGAGAGAGCGGUUGUUUUCUACUAUUCAAAGAUGUGAUGAUUGUGAAAAGACACAAGCCUCAGCCCUUUUAUACCCUCCUGCCUUAGGGACCAUACCCAUUGAUUAUUGGGCCUCACGGGCCUUAGGCCCAUCAUCUAAAGCCCGUGAUGACAUUAGGCUCUACACAUUAGGUGGCCCAUACUCAAGAUUAAAAUCAGAAAUUAUAUGUUAACAGAUAGCUUAAUCCUGAACAAUGUUUAAUAUAAUGUCGGUCCACAUUUAUUCUAUCAAUCUCUCACUUGGACCACAUAUAUAUUACAAACAAUGUUUAUGAUAAUACUUUAUUGAGCUCAUCUUUGCUAUCUUAUCAAAAUAUCCUUAAACAAUUCGGUCUACUAAUUAUGCUAACAUAGGAUUAAAGCGGUCUUCGUUAAUCAUAAUUAUAACUUGACCUAUAAUCAAUCACAACAUUAACAAAAUUAGCAACAUGUAUCAAGUAUGGAUGUGUAGCAUGGAAAUUAUAUAAAAUAUGAUCUUUAAUAUGUCUAUUUCCAAUUGGUCCUACUUUAUGACUAAAAGAUAGUCAAAUACCACUUUCAACACUUGAUGUUAAACUGCUUCUAAAAGUCAUCAUUUCAAUUCAGAGAAUUCAAAUACAAUAGUCUUUAAAAUCGAGAUUUGUACAGAUAACACAACAUAAUAUCACAUCAAGAAAAUAAACACAAAAUCUGAAUACAAACUCCCACUAUACUGGCACAUCAUCAAUGUGUACAACACCCAUAUGUGUGACGUGCUCAUGAUAUACUUUGGGUGGCAAACCCUUAGUGAGCGGAUCCGAAAUCAUGGAGUUUAUGCUUAUGUGUUCAAUCGAUACUUGAAGACUCUGAACUCUUUCUUUCACAACCAAGAACUUGAUGUCAAUGCGUUUGGACUUUGACGAACUUUGGUUGUUCUUAGAAUAUAAUUCUGCGGCCUUAUUAUCACAGUUGAUUCUCAAUGGUUUCUCAAUCCCAUCAACGAUUCGUAACUGAGUGACAAAAUUCCACAACCAUAUCCCAUGGUUUGAUGCUUCGUAGCAGGUUAUGAAUUCUGCCUCCAUGGUGGAAGAAGCAAUAAGUGUUUGUUUAACACUUUUCCAUGAAACUGCUCCUCCAGCUAACAUGAAGAUGUAGCUUGAAGUGGAUCUCCUACUGUCAAGACAUCCUGCGAAAUCGGAGUCCGAAUAUCCCACGAUCUCUAAGUGACUUGAUCUAUGGUAUGUGAGCAUGUAAUCUUUAGUUCUUUGUAAAUGCCGCAUAACCCGUUUUGUUUUUUUCCAAUGAUCCAUACCUAGGUUACUUAAAUAUCUGCCUAACAUUCCAACAAUGUACGCAAUAUCCGGACGCGUACAAACUUGUGCAUACAUGAGACUUCCUACUGCCGAGGCAUAGGGAAAUCUCUCCAUAUAUUUUUUUCUCAAGUUCAUUUUUUGGACAUUGGUGCAAACUAAACUUAUCGCCUUUUGCUACAAGCUUGUCUCCUAGUGCACAAUUGCUCAUGCCAAAUCUACUCAACACCUUAUCGAUGUACCUUUUGUGAUAACCUAAGUAUACCUCUUGAACGAUCCCUAUGGAUCUGUAUACCCAACACAAAAGAUGCAUUACCAAGAUCCUUCAUGUCAAAUUUACUAGACAAAAAUCGCUUGGUUUCAUGCAAAAGUCCCACAUCACUACUUGCAAGUAGAAUAUCAUCAACAUAUAACACCAAGAUAAUGAAUUUGCUCCCACUGAACUUAAGGUAUAUGCAUUGAUCAACAGUGUUCUCUUUAAAACCAAAUGAAGUAAUCACCUAAUCAAACUUUCGGUACCAUUAUCGAGAUGCUUGCUUUAAACCAUAUAUGAACCUUUUUAAUCUGCAUACAAGUUGCUUUGAAUCAUUAGACUCAAAGUUCUCCGGUUGCACCAUGUAUAUUGUCUCAUCAAUGUUGCCAUUAAGAAACGUAGUUUUAACAUCCAUUUGAUGUAGCUCUAAAUCAUAAUGAGCUACAAGUGUCAUGAUGAUUCUAAAGGAGUCUUUUAAUGAAAUUGGUGAAAAAGUCUCCUUAUAAUCAAUGCCUUCAUUUUGAGUGAAACCUUUUGCAACUAGGCGUGCCUUAUACCUAACAAUGUUGCCUUUUGAAUACCACUUGGUUUUGAAAAUCCAUUUACAACUAAUUGGUUUUACACUUUUAAGCAACUCUACUAGGUCCCAAACACUAUUGUCUUUCAUUGAUUUCAUCUCAUCCUUCAUGGCUUCUAUCCACUUUUCAGAAUCAGAACUUUGUUUGACUUGACUUACUAAAAUUGGAUCGUCUUCCAGACCCAUGUCAAACUCAUGUUCUUGGAGAUAUACAACAUAAUCAUCUGAAAUUGUACUUCUCCUUUCUCUAGUGGAUCUCUUUAGUGGCACUUGUACUUGAGGUUCUUGAGGUUGUUGAGUUACCUCUUGAUGAACUUGAAUCGGUUCCAUAACUUGAGCAGGAGGAAUCUCAGGUGUGUCUUGAAUCCCUGUUAUCGACUGUACAUUCUGAAUAGUGUCAUCAAACAUAAUAUGACCAUGUCUAGUCGUAAUAAUAGGAAUAUUAACAGAUUCCUCUUCAAAGACCACUUUUCUUAAUGGCUCUCUCCCACUUAACUCAACAUCCUCAAUGAACUUAGUAUUGCCCGUUUAAAAAAAAAAUCUAGUUGAGGGAUCAUAAAAUUUGAAACCUCUCGACCUUUCAGAAUACCCUACAAAGUAGCAACUCACUGUUCUGGAGUCCAAUUUCUUUUCAUUUGGCUUGUAAGGCCUAGCUUCAGCUAGACAACCCCAGACAUGCAAGUACCUAAUACUAGGUUUCUUGCUAGUCCAUAACUCAUAUGGGGUUUGGGCUACUGCUUUGCUUGAUACUCUAUUCAAAAUAUAAACUACAGUUUUUAUGGCUUCGCCCCAAAGUGAUUCUGGUAAGGUGGAAUGAUUGAUCAUACAUCUUACCAUAUCCUUAAGAGUACGGUUUCACCUCUCUGCUACACCAUUUUGGCUCGGAGUCCCUAGGAUGGUGUACUGAAGAACGAUACCACACUCCAUCAAAUAUUUGGUGAAUGACCCUGGACGUUGUUCUCCGGAUCUGUCAUAUCUACCAUAAUAUUCAUCUCCACGGUUAGAUCUGACGACUUUUAUUUUCUUGCUUAGUUGGUUCUCAAAUUCAGCUUUGAAAUUCUUGGAUACAUCCAAUGAUUGAGACUUUUCAUGAAUCAAAUAAAGAUAGCCAUAACACGAGUAAUCGUCAAUGAAAGUGAUAAAAUAUUGUUGUCCAUUCUAAGAAGGGGUAGGAAAUGGACCACAAAUGUCUGUAUGUAUCAAUUCCAAGACGUCACUGCACUUAUUAGCAUUCUUUUUCUUCAUAUUUGUUUGUUUUCCUUUAACGCACUCUAUAUAGACUUGAAAGUCUGAGAAAUCAAGUGGAUCGAGAAUUCCUUUUGACACAAGUCUUUGUCUUCGUUGAUUUGAAAUAUGACCCAAACGCUUGUGCCAUAACAUUGAUGAAUUCUCAUUCAUUAAUUUUCGCUUAAUGCCAUAAUUACUUGAAUGCAAGGUUUCAUUUCCAUUAGUGGCCUUUAUGUUCAAUUUAUAUAGUUUGUCUGUUAGACUACCUGUACCAAUAAUAUUUGAAUUUAGAUAGAGACUAACCAUUUCAUUUCCAAAUGAACAACAAUAUCCAAAUUUGUCCAAACAUGAAACAUAAAUUAAAUUCCAUCUAAACGACGAUACUACAAAAGUCUCUUCCAAAUCCAAUGUACAUCUAGAGUCUAACUGUAAUCUGAAAAGACCAAUAGCCUUGAUUGCAGCCUUGUUGCCAUUUCUCACAUAGAUGUAUCUUUCACCAUCAGUUGGCAUUCGGUUCCUUAGGCAACCCUACAUAGUGACACUUAUGUGAGUAGUUGUACCCGUAUCUAUCCACCAAGUGUCUGUAGGCACUACAGCUAAAUUAAUUUCUAAACAAACAAAGUUGAGAAGUGUACCUUUUUUUUCACGCUAAGCAACGUAUUUGGUACAUGUCUUCUUCAUAUGACUAGCCUUCUUGCAAAAGAAACAAGUGAUCUCCUUAUCUUGUUUCUUCUACUCCUUUUGCAUUGAUGUCCCAGAAAUCGCAGUUUGUUUUCCUUUAUUGUCCUUCUUUCUUUUCUUGCUGGUACCAAAUCCUUGAGAUGUGGAAGCCAAGUGAGCACUUUCUAUCUUUUCUUGCUUCAAUCUCUCCUCAUCUUUCACACAUUGAGCAAUAAGCUCAUUCAAAGUCCAUUUUUCCUUUUGUGUAUUGUAACUGAUUUUGAAUGGGCUGAAUUGUGUAGGCAGAGAGAUCAAGACCAAGUGUACGAAUAUGUCUUCCAACAACUCUAACUUUUGUGCCUUGAGUCUUGUCACAAGAUUAGACAUUUCCAUAAUGCACUCCCUAAUAUUCUCUUUCCCUUUAUACCGUAUAGAGACAAGCUUAUUAAGAAUAGUGCUUGUCUCAACCUUUUCGUUUGCAGCGAAUCGGUUUAUUAUCUGGUCCAAGAAUGCCUUGGCUUGGGUUUCCUCAGGUAUUGCACCCCUUAUUGCUUCUGGAAUUGAGUGUUUCAUAAUCAGUAGACUCAUGCGAUUGGAUCGCUCCCAUUUUUCCAUAGUAGACCUUUGCCCAGCAGUGCUGGCACUAGUAAGAUCUGAAGGAUGAUCCUCCCUUAAUGCAAAGUCUAAAUCCAUGCACCCGAGCACAAUUAUAACUGUAGACCCUCAAUUUUGUCCCUUGAGCACAUAUCUUUAAAUUCACUUCCAGUGCUCUACGGUAGUUCCUUGGUGACCCAUUACUACUCGUACGACUUACCUUUUUCUGAGUCACCUCGGAGACUUUGGUUGAGGGAUUAUUUGAUCCCUUAUUGUGACCCCUGGCAGCCCUAACUUAGACUUAGGCUUUUCUUGUCUUUUUUUAGGAUAGCUUUUAGAUACACUUGGCCUUUAGGCACCGCUCUAGGCCCACUUAGGCACACUUGGCCCAUUUGGACAUUCUUAGCGUGACUUAUAUGACUUGCGUGUUUACAUGGCUCGUAGGGCCCAUUUUUUUGUUAAUUUGUUUAUUUUUAUUUUAUUUUCCUCUUUAUAUUAUUUUCCUUAACUUAUUUAUUUAUUUAUUAUUUUUACCAUUUUCUAAUUUAUUUACUUAUUCAUCUAUUAAUGCAAUUAUUUAACUUCUAAAAUUUCAUGUUUUUGCAAGGAAACUUACCAUUGGAGUUUAAGGAAGGUGGGACUCUCUUUGGAAGGUUUUGGAGGGGAAUUUGAAAUUGGGAAGAUUGCUUUUGAUUGGAAGAUUUAAAAAAAGAAGAGAAGAAGAAAGGAAAUAGGAGAUUUUUCCUUUUUGGGAAACAAAUUUAGGUCUUGAGGGGUGAGAUAUAUAGGUGAGGAAAAGGAAAAGGAGGGGCUUUUUGAUCGUGGGAAGAGAUUUUUCUUGGAGAAAAAGCACGCAUUGGAGGACGGGGGGGAGAGAGAUUCUUUGAUUAAGGGAGGAAAAGCACAGAAAAGCGAGAAAGGAGCAAUUGCAACCGAGUUUGUCCAGGUAUGCUUCUUGUUACUCUUGGAAUUCUUACUCAUAUUCGAUUUCUCUGUGUGUUCGUUCCUAAAUAUUUAAUAUACUGUUGAUUGGUGUGGACGGAAAGGGCCACAAAUUGUUUUGUUGAUAUUGGUUGCUUACUUAUUUUGUCCCGAAUCUGUUUAUGAUCUUCCCACUAGCCUGAACCCAUUGAAAGACCAUGAGAUGUGGUUUUAUCUAAUUUCCUCCCGCAUGUUCCUUCUCUCUUUGUUUUCUUUGUUUUCCACCACACUUGUUUUUUUUUUUUGGUUUUCCUUCUACUCGUCAUGUAGCCGUCAACUCUUCAUAUGGGGGUGACUCCAAGUGUUUGGGCAUACAGUCGUGAGAUUCAGCGAAGAGAUCGAACGCUUCAAAAUUCUGUUUGGACAUGCCAUUCUGUCGGUUCAUAUAAAAGAAAGCCAAUGACAGCUGCCACAUUUUCUGCCAAUGGUUAUGUUCUAUUGCUGUGGAAACUGUUAUCGCAAUAUGGGAUCCAGAGAAGAUUGUCCUAGUGGCUUGUCGGCUGCUUAUGCACUUGUUAAGCUUGGUUACGAUAAUGUAAAUUUGCGGGUUGAUAUGGGGGUUAGAGACGAGGCUUCUCGGAAUUCGAUCGUUUCAAAGUAUGUACACUGAGGGGAGGUUGAGGAGCGUGGAAAUUGUUUGAAGAAAUGCCAAUGAGAAGGAAUGUUGGUCUUCCAGUCUGCAAUGAUAAACAUGUAUGGGAAAGAAAGGAUUUUUGUGGAGAUGUUAAGUUUGUUUUCCGGAUGCUUGUUUCGGCUUAUGAGGUCCAGCUCAAUGCGGCAACAAUGAUAUGUAUUAAGUGCGGGAAUGAAGAGAAUAGCAGAUCUGUUGUUUGUGGAUAACCUGGUUGGAACAAAAUACAGCUUCGUGGAAGAUACAAAGCUAUUGGUGAAGACUGAUUUGACUAUAUUGUUGAAGGAGAUUUUCAACAAGGAAUGAGAGCCUCCAGCAGAGUCCUCUGUACACAGAAGCAGAGUCUUACAGAGGAAAAUUUGUUGUCACUCUUGGAUUGGCAGCUCUGGAAGCCACAGAAGCAGGAAACUUGAAGCUUAAACUUGGAGGAGUUGCAUCGGGAGAUAGUUGGAUCUCCCCAAAAGAUUGUGUUCUCGCGAGAUCCCCUUCUCAAAAAUGUCCCUUGAAGUUGUCUAUUGUGUGAUCCUUAUUGAUGAUGGGGAGUACAUCUUGUCGUUUGCUAUUGGUGAGAGAUACAUUGCAGUUUGGAGAAUUGAUGGUAGUAGUCAGCCAGUUGUGUUCUUGGCUAUUUUUUGAAUGGAGCACCCUGCUGACUUCCUAGAUAAGAGGUGUUGAUGGGGGCAACAGCUCUGAAGGGAGGGGCAGAGGUGUCUAGUAUGGGAUCACCAUUUAAGGAGAAAUUCGACCCUCAAAAAGCUAUGGCUCUCGGAUUGAAAGCUGGCCAAAAUACCGUGAAUUACAGUUUAUGAAAUCACUGUUCGGUUGAUCAAUUACACAAAGAGAGGAAAGGAAUUAUGGAACUUAUUCCACUCGCAGCCCAUGCGUGACCAAAAGGGUGAACUUCAAAUACUUCAUUGGUGUCCAAUUAGAUGGAAAUGACCGUGAGGAACCCCUCCGAAACCGCCUAUCAGAGCAAACCGAGCAAUAAAGUGCUAAGCUGGUCAAAGCUACUGCAGAAAACGUCGAUGAAGCUGUUCGGGAACAUCUUGAUGCUAACUCGGUAAGAGACCAGAAAAUUUGUGGACAAUCCACUCUCAACCCGCCUUCCCAAAGUCUCACAAAGAAGGAAUCAGAUUCUUCUAAAUCAUAUUCGAAUGGUGGAUGAGGCCCAGAAAAAUUAUCCUAUUCCGAGCCUUUGAAGGAGACUUUGGAUCCCCUUCAUGCGGUAUAUGAAAGCUUGAAAUUAGAUUAUCUUCGCAAAAAGGACUUGGUACUUCUGGUGGUUCUAUUAUGUAAUGUUGCUAAUUUUCUAGGAGAGAGAAGUUAUUUGGACCAUUAUGUUCAUGAUUUUCCUGGUAUUUCUAAGAAACUUGAGAUGUGUAAAGACUGUCUUUCCCAGACAACUCCUCCUCGUCUAUUCAGAUGGCUUGAACGCUGCUUGCAGUGAGGAUGUAAUUCUGCUAAUAUAAAUGACCUUUCACCUCUGAUUCAUAAAGAUGGCCAUUCAGUUAUUUGGGCCCGAGAGAUAGUUUCCCUCCAAAGUCUGUUAUCUGGUGCGAAACCAUUGGGGAGAAAACCUUCAUCUGGUGUUUAUGGUAACCUUGCUACAGGAGCAUCUUCCAGUCCUGAGGAGUUAACAGCCGUGGCAAUGGUUGGGGAAGAAUCUGGACUUCAACAGCUGGAUUUACUGCCUGCUGAUGUAUCCCUUCCUCUUCGGCAUGCAUUGGAUAAGUGUCGGGAAUCUCCUCCCACUGAUUGACCAGCAGCCGCAUAUGUUCUCGGACAGAGGAUUUGGCUUUGUCAUGUUUGGUUCAUUCACAUAAAUACAAGGAACUCGAGAUCCAAACCAACGCGAAUUUAAUUUCUAUGUCUAUCCUUUAUAAGCUACAUUUGCAUCCAAUCAUUAUUCCUUCUACAUCUUCUGAUACAAUUAGAUUGGACAAUACCAAGUUUAAGGAUACAGAUUCUGUUGAUGGAUCCAUGGCACAUGAGAUGGAAGCAGGGAUCUUCGCCAAGGUUCAUGCUGAGAGAAUAAUUUCAUCACUAAGACUCGGAAUCCCAUCUAGACCUCUCGUCAAAAGUUCUCCUCCUGUUUGAUUUCGCUUACCAUUAUAGUCAUCUGCAGUAUCGGAUUUCAUUCGAAUUCUUCGGACAAGUCCUUGCAUUCAGCCCAUGGAGAUGACAACCAGAAUUCCAAAGCGGCAGCAAUUAUGACCAGGAGGAUGCUUUAGUCACACCGUCUGCACAAUUAAAGAAAGAUCCAAUCCAGUUUUCAUACAAUUCAAAGUCUGAUGCUCACAGGAAUACAUCUUCUUUAUCUUCUACAAAAUUUGGACUCAGCAGCUUUGAUGAAGCCACACUUUCUAUUGAUGAUUCUGUAGACCAGAUUGCUGAGGUUCUCAACUCUUCUAGGACUUGGUGCGAUGACAUACAUAGGAGUAUUGGAUACGAUAAAUUUUGGAGUCAAAAUCUUCGAGGCCAAAGCCACUACGUUAGACGACGCUCAUCCAACCGCUAUGAAGACUUGAAAGCUUAUUGAAGGAGUUGCUUGAUCAGAAAAGUAUUAUGAAGCAGGUAUUACAUUUCAGAAUGGAGGGUUUAGGAAUCAUCUUGCAUAAGAUUCAGAAUACUGUCACAAUUAUUAAUGAGAAGGAAGUUGCUGUCAUCCAGUCGUAAGAUGAAAUUCCUUGUCUCUCCUAUCACUCAUGCUACAGUGCAAUCUAAGGUUGCAUUUGACCUUUCUGAAUCUGUUAAAAUUUUGAAGCAUUUAGCCAAGUCAGAUUCUGUAGUAAUAUAUAUUAUUGAAGAACCUAGGGAGAAUGACAUUGCCAAACGGAUCAGUGAAUGAAUGCCUUAAGGAGAAUAUUGAUACAAAAGUCGUUGAGGGUGACAUGUUUAUUGGGAAAUUAUUCCUGGAAUGAGAUGGCUCUCUCAAUCCAGAUUAAAGAGUAGAUGGACGUAGUAGUCUCAGUACCUCCAAUGGUGAUUCGGGCUCUUCAUUAAGUGAUUCAGAUCCAGGCACUUCUUCAGAUGGUGAAUCAGGAGGUGUUUUCCUCAAUUUUGGCAAUGGCCCUGCUGAAGAUAGUUAAUAUGGUCUUAUAACGAGGACUCCCUGCUCCAUAUAAGAGGAAGGUCUCGAUUUGAAGUAGAAGGAUGCAUGGUUCAAUCAGUGACUAAGAGAUACUUAGUUUUCGAAACGGCUAGGUCCAGACUUUGCAGCUGUCGAUAGAGAUAUUCUGGCCAGAAUUGCAUAUUCUAAAUUAUUUGAUUGGGUUGUGGGCAAGACAAUUUGUUCUCCUUAUGACAGAUAGAUUGCAUUCGAAAAUGGAUGAUCUUUUAUAGACUGUGAAUUCUGCCAUUGACCUCCAUAACAAGAUGAUUAAAAAUGUGUACCUGAUAUUAUAAUAGAAAUGAACUGGUCAGUCCCAGAGAUUGAAGGUAACUUAGCUGAGCAAAUUGAAGAUGCUGGAAACUGCAUUCUAGGGGAAGCGAGUAACUGUAAGAAGCUCAGGAUUCUAAAUUUAUCCUUUAACUCACUUACUGAUCUAUAAUCAGAUGGUCUCAUCGAGCUGCAUCAAGGCCAUUAGGAAAUGCAUUUCAAAUGUUGCUUUAAUGGCUAAGGUUUCUUCCUGCACAACUUCAAUUGGCUUUAUUGAAGCCGAGUUGAACGGACAGUAUCGUCCAGUUGAUGAGCCAGUUGCAAAGUCUCGGGCUGCCAUCCAAACUUCUGGCGAGGCUGUUUAUGCGGAUGGCAUCCCCUCUCCGACAAAUUGCCUACAUGGGGCUUUCAUUUAUGAGACAAAGCCUUUGGCUUGAGUAGACGAUACCAAACUUAACCCCCAAAUCAGUGGCAGCUGGAGUCAGUACACUUAUCUCUUUUAGAGAUAUCCCAAAAUCCCCUGCAGCUUUAAACCAAUAAAUGCAGAAUUGUCAAACCAGAAUAUUAAUAACCAAGCCAAUUCUGGAAAGCAUUGGCGUCCUCUUCAACACUAAGGCAGGCUAUAAAAUUUUGAAAAGCUUCUCGAAGUUGAUAUAGUAGAGCAAUGAAAGACGGAGGAGUUAAUGGCUCUACUUGACCCAAAGCUCCAGAUGACACAGAGGAGCCUAAACCAACCCAAUUGGAAGUUUUCUUCUCAAGCUGGCAAUCAUCCUUCAUACAGCUCGUCUAAAGAGGAAGCUGCUUCCAGGUUUCAGACCGAAUCUAUAUCCAGUUUAGGGAGGAUGUCGACAUCAAUUAUUAAACGAGAUAUGCAAUGAAAGAGGUAACAGAGGGGAUGGUGAUCUUUGUCAUGAUAAGGGUUUUGAAGGUCACGAUUCAUGCUCCAAAUGCUCAAAAAGUUAAAUUCGCAGAAUCAGGGAGAACAAAAAAUGUCUGAGCAAAUCUAAAUAGCAAAUAAGAAACCACAAGAGAAGCAAGAGGAUGGUGGAGCUUGGUAUCUUCUUGACAGCCACUCUUGAAAGUCUAAAAAUGCAGGAUACAUCAGAAAGUCUCUAACUUACUGCUCAUUUACCUUCAUCCAUGCGAAUAAGUUAUUGAAACCUAUUGGCUGAAGGUUAAUUUCUGAUCAUAGGCAAAUUGAUAUGCUUGAAGAAUGAAAAGUUAUUCGGGAAAUCGAACAUCAGAAUAUCAAUCAGGAUGCGAGUAUUCAGUUGAAGAAAUUUAACUACGAGCAAGUUGACAAUAGAAACAGAAUCUAGAUGUUAAUAUAAGAGAUUCUUUCUUCUAUACAUUUCCACACCAGAUGCGAACCCGGAAUUCAUCAAAGUUAUUACAUGUCGGAGUUAGGCUACCUGUCAGAAAUAUCCGUACCCAAUGAAACUUUGCAUGGGAUCCCAGAAUUUAAAUUCAGAAAUAUGGGGAAAGAAGAUAUUAAAAAAUGAAACAGUGGCUGGUACAAGAAUGUCUCAUUAGGAAUUGUUUAAAGUUGUAUUCCUGAAAUGCAGGCAUCCUUCUUCUGACCACAGAAGACCAAAAAGCUUCAGCUUCUACUCUCUCCUAUAUUAAAAUCAGUUGGCAAAAUGGUGGUUAUUUUGGUAGCGUCAACCAUGCUAAAAAUGCUUCAAUACUCCUCCCCCUUUAUUCCAACCCUGAACUAAGGAAAAUGAUGCAAAACCCAGAAUUUCAUUGCUUGCUAACUUCACCAGUGAAGACAAGAGCAUUAACAACAAUGAGCAACGAGGAGCUUAUAUGUUCAAGAAAAUGGCCCUGAGAAGUCAGAUAUGGAGAUUCCAGAAAUAAGGAGAAUUCAUAAGGAUGCAGCAAGCUGAAAAUAUUGAAAAGGCAGAAAAAGGCAACAGCAAGGGUAUGUAUUCUGGAGGAGCUGAUGAAUCAAGCCUUGAUGAUGAGAAAAUAGCACAGAAUGCAGGAAAUAUAGCAAUACAGAAAAGUAAGAAUUUUGAGCUUUAUGUUCAGUGUUUGACCAGCGUUGGGGAGAAUCCAUCUGAGCUUAUGAACCAAGUUAUCUUAUAAAUGGAAAUGCUUCUGAUCACUGAAUACUUUGGCAACGAAUUGGGUCUUUCUAUCCCGAACUCCACUCCAUCAGGCAACCUAAGUAACUCAGUCUCAAAAGCAGCCUAGACACUAAUCCAGCUUGGCCGCCUUGCCUCACAUCGUACUCCUCCUAUUGUUUCUUUUUUUUUUUUUUUUUAUGAUCUUAUACGUCUUAAAACCGGAUUUCAAAACCUUUUUCUAUCAAAAAUGAAUUUGGUUUUCUCUAAGGUUCCUUAGAAGCAUUUAGGUACAAAAUCCAGAUUUUAACAUGCAAUUUGCUGCCACUUUAUUUCGGAUAUGCACUUUCACUGUUUUCUUUGAUUUUUAACUAUUUUCUUGAUUUUUCUCGAUUUUUCUCGAUUUUCUCAAGCAUGAAUACACUUCAUGAUUCCAAACAAUGGAAUUCAUUGAAUCAACUCAUGCAAAAUUAAUUAGGGCUUUGGUGGGGGCCCGACAUUCAUGAUACCUUUUUCAAUAUUGUUUGCUUGAUAUGUUGAUUUUUUAUUCUUCUUGAUGAUAUACAUGAAUUCGUUUCGUAUUUAUCGUUGAGAUGCUUUUGAUUCCCAUAGAGGAGUACUAGCUUGCUAUCCAGAUACGCUCUCUUCUCAUCUAUUUUUUUUAGAACUCUAUGGACUUGUAUGCCAUUGAUGACUAUAUCCAUACAUGAUGUGAUUUUUGGAUGUCUUGAUAUAUGUCUGAUUUGCUUGAAUAAAACAAAUGUUGUGUGCUACAUUUCUACACUAACUUUUAUGUUUUAUGAUAGCGCUUGAAGAGUGGUUCAGGUACGCACCUUAACUUUCUUUUAUGGCAAUUUGAUCUUGUUUAGCAUGCAAAUCUUUUGAAAUCACCUAGCCUACUUAGGUAUCCAUAAUUAACCGAUUAAUUGUCAUAUUCCCCUUAACUUAGUGAGUAGAGACCUUUAUAGGGCUUAGAGGGGUGCUACCUUUCAAAGGUACCUUCCCAAUAGGUAACCUGAUCCCCGGACUUAGACUCGGGUUUUUCAAAGACACGCUUUUCCAAAAAUUAUGGAGUCAUUUUUUAGGGUUUUAUUUCUUGUUUUAUUUUCCCUUCAAAAAUAAAAUAAAAUAAGUGGCGGCUCCAACUUUUUUUCAAAAAUUAAUUUUUCACAAAUAAAAAGCGAGUCUCGCCAAUCGAGUGGGGACGCACGUGAAAAAUGCGGGUCCACAAUAACGUGCUCUUUCCAUUUCUUGAAAUUUGUGCCGUUAAGCAUAGGAAUGUUAUUAACAUUUGCAGAUAUAGAAGAUGCUGAAUUCAUAAUAAUAAAGCUCACAAUCAGUCACAUAAGCAUCAUACAUACAUGAAUAAAUAAACAUCACAUAAGAUACCUAGCACAAACAUUAAUAUUCAGUCUUUGGACAAAAAUAUUAACUUGUAAUUGACAUCCUUAUACAAAAUUAAUUCAUAAAUAUUGACAAUAAAAAACCGAAAACAAUAUGUCUGUCUUUGGACUAACAUAUCGAAUGCAAAAUAAACAUUAUAUGUCACAUAUUUAUGACUACUUUAUUUAUCAUUAUAUUAAAAUAAUCUUCCUUUGGGCCGAUUAUUUUAAAUAAUAAUAAUAACAUGUUUAGAUAUUGUAAAAUAAAUAAAUUAUAUAAUAUAAGUUACUUUGGCAACUGACAUACAUAAUUCAUUUAUUUUAAAAUACAAAACACAAAUAUAGCAAGAAAUAAUUUAAUUAAAAUUAUUCAUCUAUUUAUUUAUGCAUAAACUUAUGUAUACAUCCAUACCAAUUGAAGCAUAAAAGCAUGUAUAUAUAUAUAUCAAUUAAAGCAUAAAUACAAGUAUAUAUAUAUAUAUACCAAUUAAUGCAUAAAAUAGAGACUUGGUGUAGUGGUUCAGCCGUGGGCUUGAAUUUAAAGGGAAACAACCCAGGUCAUGGGUUUAAGCUCCCUUGGUGGCCUUUCCUCCAUUUUUAUAUAUAUACAUGUAUAUAUACCAAUUAAUGCAUAAAAUAGAGACUUGGUGUAGUGGUUCAGCCGUGGGCUUGAAUUUAAAGGGGAACAACCCAGGUCAUGGGUUCAAGCUCCCUUGGUGGCCUUUCCUUCAUUUUCCACCUUUUUUUUUUUUUAAAAAAAAAAAACAGCACGACACCUAAAGUGCGCCCUAAACGACGCUGGAGACGGCACCAGAGACGACACUGAGAGUGGCGCCUCGGAGCGUGCCCUAAUGGUGUUGCAAAUGGGCGCUUGGAAGCCUGCCUCAACGGUGUUGUAGAUGGCGCCUCAACAGCGCCUGGACUGAAUCACAUGAGAAAAUAUGUCACAAAUCUCUAUAGAAAUGGUACUAACCUGAAUCCAUUUGUGUGUUUGAUGAAGACGGUAUGGAUCUUCUAAAAGCAAUUGAGGACACCACAUCUUACACUAUAUUCUCUCAGGCAAUGGGAGCGGGAGAGAGAACGGUUGUUUUCUACUGUUCAAAGAUGUGAUGAUUGUGAAAAGACACAAGCCUUGGUCCUUUUAUACCCUCCUGCCUUAGGGACCAUACCCAUUGAUUAUUGGGCCUCACGGGCCUUAGGUCCAUCAUCUAAAACCCGUGAUGGUAUUAGGCUCUACACAUUAGGUGACCCAUACUCAAGAUUAAAAUCAGAUAUUAUAUGUUAACAGAUAGCUUAAUCCUGGACAAUGUUUAAUAUAAUGUCGGUCCACAUUUAUUCUAUCAUUUCAUACUUCUUAUCUUCUAGAAUUUUCCAUUCCCUUAGCCACUCCUUUUUUCCUAGACAAAUUCAUGAGGAAAUCCUCCUCUCUAAUGUGAUGACCCACUUUGUUUAAAACAUUUUUAAUUCAUCCCCCAUGCUCAUCUAGGGUCUUCCUGUGAUAAUUUUCACAUACUCUUUUCAUGACCAUUAAAAAAGUGAUCAAAUGUAAAAAAAAAAAAAAAAAAAAAAAACUAAGACAAAGCAGUUAGUGCACCUAUAAUACGAAAUUAAAUAUAUAUAUCAACCAAAAAUUAAAGUUCAAAUUCAUGAAACUAAAAUCAAAUUAUUAAUCAUGUGCAAUCAAACAUAAAAAAAAUGUCAAUCUCAUGCAAUCGAGAAAUUAAAAAAGAAAAAACAUUCUAAUACUCAUCUAACCCUAAAACCAUGCAAUGUGAAAACAAAUCUAAACUCAAAUGUACAAAAAAAAAAAAAAACCAAUCAAAAUCAAGCCAAAUAAAGCCCUAAGUUGAAAAGACUAGAGGUCAGUAAUCAUCACACUAAGGAUCUUCAAAAAGUCCCUGUAUCUCUAAAGAAAAUCCAAAGGUAGUGAUCGAAAGAAUUGCAAUGGACCACCGAUGAUGACUCAAAAAAAUAGCUUAUAUAAGGACCCUAAGGCUACGUUUGGUUCCCGGAAAAUGCGAGAGAAAGAAAAUUAGAAGGAAAAAUGGAAGGAAAAAAAAAGCUGAGGAAAUGAAUAUAAAUUUAUUCACUUGUUUGGUUAUCCAUAAAAAAUUCAAGGGAAAAAGAAAAGGAAUUCAUUUUCUUUUGUUUGGUUAACCACAAAAAAAAGUAAAGGAAAAAUGGAAGGAAAAUAAAAUCAACAAUUUGUUUUAGAUGGUUAUCAAUUUGUUGAAUAAUAAAAAAAUUUAGGAAAACAAAAAUUGAACUCUUGGAGUAGAUUGGUAGAAAGAUAUCAAUCUCAUUCAACCCUCCCUCGAAUUGUAUUCAGUGAUACACACUACUAUUUGUAGUUAGACUAUUUGAAUUAAUAAAAUUGAGAAAAAAAAUAUUAACAAAUUUUCAUGCCUAGCGUGUUAAAAACCAAUAUUUUCAUCUUUAUCUAUGAAUGUUUUAAUGAUUUUUUUUGUGUAUACAUGCAAAUUGUAUAUUGGUAUGUAGAUAAUUUUUUUUUAAUUUUUAAAAAUAGAAAAUAUUUAUUACUUCGAUAUAAAAUAUUUAAUUAUUUUUACUAAUAAAAAUAAAAAUUAAUUCAAAUAAUGUAAUUAUUUUUGUUAUUUGAAUAAUUUAUUGUGAUUCAUUUCAAUUGUCUUACUAUCACCCGGUGUAUCACUUAAAAAAUGAAGAGAAAAAUUAUAAUAAAUAAUAUUUUGUUUCGGGGUGGUAGCUUUUGUCAACUUUUCACACGAUCCUGGGAUGCCCCAUAAAACUAGUGACAAUAUGAUCGAGAUUGCAUAUAGCUUCAAGCAAGCAACUAAGAUUAGGAAGCCAACUUCAUUUAAACCUUGAAGGUUUAGAACAACUCCUAUCAGAGUUGUACUACAUAUAUCAGUAUCAAGAACUCUUCUCUCUAGCUGGUAAUCCUGCACUAGAAAGGAUGUUAUAAUAAUCUGCUCAAUGUUUUGAAUGAACUAAGAUGAUAUGGAGGUUGCCAUUACAGUGCACGACCCUCUGAAUAAUCACUCAUUUAUCUGUAAUGAAACAUGCAGAAUUCAUACAUAUGUACUAUGAUCAAUGUAGAGAUACAUGAGCAAAAAAGACUAGAUAAAAAUGUAAAAACGGGUAUCAAAACUAAGGUAAAAGUAGUUGCAGAUUUGAUUAUCCUUAAGUUGGUUUACACAACUUCUAACAACAGCCAGCCACUAAAAUUAGCCAACUAUACAGAGUGCCACUCCACAACCCUAUGAUGCUAUCUAUACAAAACAUAUCACCUUAAGCACCUGAGGCAAUCAAACUAAACUCUAUGCUCUGUUUAGUAGCCACAAAAAUGUAGAUAAUAAGAGAAAUCAAUUAAAGAAGUUCAGAAUUUGAAAUUCAAUUUGUGAAUUAUCGAAAACUCAAGAAACAACAAGCUGGUCUAAACCAAAAAAAGCAUAAUUUCCUCAAUUUUUCAGCUAACCAAACAAAGGAAUAAUUGAAUAACAUGCUGAAAAGAUAGAUGAACUUGCUUUGCCUGCACAAAUAAUAGAAAAGUAAAUUAGGUAAAAAGAAAUGGAAAACCCAUACACUAUUUUAGUUCAAAUGAAUCUCUAUUUUAGUUCAAAUGCAACAAAUGGGAUCACCAUUGAGGUUCCUUUGAUACACUAUUUUAGUUCAAAUGCAUAUUGAAUUUGUGUAUCAAGUGGCACAAUCAUAACUUGUCAUCCUUCCUCCAACUAAUGAACAUAAAUCUAAAUGAAAAAGCAGUACUUGAAUACUGCUUGGUGUGGAAGACAUCACGUGGUGAACCAUUUCUUAAAGCUUGCAUGUCAAAGUUCAAAUGCAUUAAGAUGCUAGAUUUAUCGUAUUUGAACUUUGACACAUUGCCAAAUUCUAUCAGUAUCUAAAGCAUCUCAGACUUCUAGCUGGAAUGAGAGGAUAAAGAAACUUUCAAAUUCAAUAUGCAAGUUGUUUCAUCUGCAAAGGUUGUCGCUUUUCAAAUGUGAGGGAUUUGAGAAUCUGCCCAAGGAGUUUGGGAACCUCAUCAGUUUUGAGGAAUUUAUGCUUCACCACGAAACAGAGGGCUUUGAUAGGGAUAGGACACCUAGAAUCUCUUCAUAUUUUAAGGAUUUACGAAUGUGAAAAUCUAGAAUUUCUACUUCAAGGGACGCAAAGCCUCACUGCCCUUCGGUCAUUGGCUAUUGGCGGUUGUAGGAGUUUGGAGACUUUGGCACCUAGCAUGAAACAACUGCCCUCGUUAGAGCAUCUCAUGAAUUUCGAUUGCGAAAAGCUCAAUUCACUGGAUGGAAAUAGGGAAGACCAUGUUCUAGGGCUCGGGAAUCUACGAGUUUUGAUGCUUAGAAAAUUACCAAAGUUGGAGGCAUUGCCAAUGUGCAACCUCACAUCCCUUGACAGACUUGUGAUUAGAGAAUGCCCUCAAUUGACUGAAAGAUGCAAGAAAACAACAGGGGAGGAUUGGCAUAAAAUCUCUCAUGUCUCAGAGAUAUGUAUCGAUGGCGUCAAAACACCAGAAAAUUAAGCAAGGUAUAAAAAUCUCUCAUAAAAACCUUUCUAGAUCCUGGUAAGCUGAACCUGUUUUCUUUCUUAAUUAGUGUGUCACAUUGUGAGGAGAUGUUUCAAGCUACCCUUGCUAAUGUUGAUCACCAUCUGUUUAGGAGGGAGUGAUGGUAGUAUGCCAGUAGCCACAACACAAAUAAACCCGAAAACAACAACCAUCCCCUUUUCUCCUACUCAAACAAAUCACAAUCCCCACUUCCCAUUUGAAAACACAACCCCAAUUAUAGCAUAUCCCACCUUUAAGCCCCUCACAAACCAAAAGACAGGACAGGUUUAUCCCUAGAUACCAGAAAGGCUUGACAAUAGAAGACAAUUGAAAUUGACAGAAUAUAGCAUAUCUAAGCAUUUAUCAAAAGCUUUAGACAAUAAAAUAGCAGUGCAAAAACAGUUUUCACAAUCAAGAGAAUUACUUGUAUUUAUUUUAGUAAGAUAACAAUAAUACAGAUGAAUGACAACUUCUAGUCAAGUUUCUCAUUUAGUGUCAUGUGAUUAAUUUCACAUUUGAAGAUAUAUGGAAGGGUCCCAUCGCAGCCCACUACCAAAUUUAUUGACUAUUUUCAGUUCGUUUUAUUAUUUAAUCUAUUGGGUCUGUAACGCAACAUGCAUCAUAAUUUUGUUUUUAUGGUAACAUUUCUAAUCAAGAGAGUAGAAACUGAUAUUUCUAACAAUCCAAUGUUAAACCGUCCAAAAAUUGAUGCCACAAACAAUGAUACAAAACAAUAACCAAGCACUCAGAGGCAGCAACAACAUACAUAUAUGCAAUACACAACUGCAGACCCAUUUCCCCAACCAAAUUAUGAAAAAACCAUCGGCUACUAAACAAUAGUAGAACAUCAAGGGUAAAAAUUAGACCAAAUCCAGAAAAGCAACAAGCCAAGAAAGUUUAGAAAAAUUAUGGCGAAAUUUAAGAAACGGGAAAUGCAAAAGCAACCUAGAAACCCAAAUAGAGAACCCAAGAGAGAGAGAUUACCUUGGGUUCUGGGUUUUCACAAGAUGAGGUGGAUUGGAGUUCAAUUCAUACCUGAUCUGAAGACAUGGAUCUGAAUACAUUCACUGGAUUUGAAGAAUUCAUUUCAUCUAUGGGAACUUGAUUUGAAGAACGCACUUCAUCCAUGGGAACUCGGGUGCCUGAAAAUGGUAGGAUUUCGACACUGGAAGGUGGUCAGAGUGAUAGUGGUGGCCGUUGAAAGGGUCGACGACGGUGAGAAGCCAUAGCCACCGAUGAAGAGGAAAUUAGAGGUGAAACCUCGGUGAACAAGAGCCCGAUAAAAUUUUCUCCCUCUUUUCCCUUCUAUUUUUCUCUUAUUUUCCUCAUUAUUUUUUUAAGGAAAAUAUCACAAUAUUUUCUUUAAUAUUUUCCUUUAUAUCUUUUUUUCCAUCAUAUUUUCCAUGUCAUCCAAACUAAAAAAAAAACCAUUUUUCUCUGCAUUUUUUUUCCUUUCCUUAGCAUUUUUCGAGAACCAAACAUAGUCUAAGAUCACAAACAAGUAACAGAGGAUGAAUGAUGACUAACUUGAAUAUCAUGUGCCAAGAGGACAAAAUAGAGGAUUUACACAAAGAUAUAGUGUUUGAUGGAACUAAAAUGACCCAAUUGAUAAAUACAAGUGAUGGAGAAAGUUUGAAAUUGACAAUACUAGAUAGAUUGCAAUUUGAGGUGGAGCUUGUAGAUUUUAAAAAUGUUCAAAAUCAAGGUUUGGAUUGAGAACCCGAUGGAAUGGAUAGAGAUGAAGUUGUUGAUCAUAGUCAUGAGGAAAAUACAAAAUUUGAUAGCCCAUACAGUCUGGAUAAAGACAGGCCUAGAAGAACAAUUCGCCCACCUCAAAAUUAUGCACAAGAAAAUUUAAUUGCUUUUGCAUUGACUGUAGCUGAAGAAUUAGAUGAAGUUGAACCUGCAACAUAUCAAGAAGCACUGAAAGGAAAUGAGAGGCAACUAUGGCAUCACACCAUGGUAGAAGAUAUGGAAGUACUGAUUAAGAAUAAGACCUGAACUCUAGUUGAAAAACCAAGGAAUCAAAAAAUAGUAAGCUGUAAAUGGAUUUUCAAGAAGAAAUAAGGGAUUAUGGGGGUUGAAAAGGCAAGAUAUAAAGCUGGAUUGGUUGCUAGAGGCUUUACACAAAGAAAAUGGGUGGAUUAUAAUGAGAUCUUCUCGCCAGUGGUGAAACAUUCUUCAAUCAGGAUGAUCUUACCUUUGGUUGCUGAUAGAAUCAUGGAAUUGGAGCAGCUAUAUGUCAAAACGACAUUCCUUCAUGGUGAACUGGAAGAAACAGUUUACAUGCAACAACCUGAGGGGUUUGUGAAGGACAAAAACAAGGUAUGCUUAUUAAGAAAGUCUCUAUAUAGACUAUGCUGUGAGUUUGGUAAGUAGGUUCAUGGGAAAUCUGGGGAAGACCCAUUAGGAGGCUUUGAAAUGGAUACUAAGGUAUCUAAAGGGAACACAAAGAACUUGUCUGAUAUAUAAAACUGGAAGUAAAGGUGAUGAUCCUCUGAUUGGGUAUGUGGACUCAGACUUUGCAGGGAGCAUAGGCACAAGAAAAUCCUUGACUGGUUAUAUUUUUACGUUGCUUGGUACUGCUAUAAGUUGGAAAGCAAAUUUACAAGUUGUGGUUGCUCUUUCGACAAUUGAAGCUGGAUAUUUUUUGUUGUAACAGAGGCAAUAAAUGAAACAAUUUGGUUAAAAUGUAUAAUUGAGGAGUUGGGACUAAAACUUAAAGUGUUUUGUGAUAAUCAAAGCACAAUACACCUGACUAAAAAUCAAAUGUUUCACAAGAGGACAAAACAUGUUAAUGUUAAAAUGCAUUUUGUAAGGGAAAUAGUGGCUGGAAGAAUUGCGGUAGUGGUGAAGAUAUCAACAGAAGAUAAUCCAAUUGAUAUGAUUACAAAAACAAUAACAACUGGUAAGUUUAGACAUUGUUUGAACUUGAUUAAUGUUCAAGAAUGCUCAAGCCCUCUGAAGGUCGGUCACCUCUUUGAUAAGAAGAAAUUAGGGGCCAAGGUGGAGAUUUGUUAUAAGUGUGAUGCAUAAAUUUCUGCCACUUGUUAUCUGAAAUGGUUAGUUAGUUAGUUUCAUUUUUUUGUUAUUUUCUCUUGUAACCUGAACCAUUUAUAUGGAAAGAGAAAGAAAGCAUAGCAGAGAAAAGAGCUUUUGAUUAAAGAGCUUUUGAUUUUCCAGAGAGUGCAUUUUUUGUGUGUAAUUCCAAGACACAACAUUUUUUCAUUUUUUUGUAAAAAGAGAAAGUAUUUGGAAAAUCAAAUUGAAAAUGCAGAGUGAAAUGCAAUAAACUUUUUGGCUUGAUAAAGAGAAGCUUUCUUAAACAAGAUUUACAAAAGAAAAACUGAUCUGGAAGACUAGAAAUUGCAAUAGGAUAAAUUAAUCGGAUGAAUUAGAUAAUUACAACAUCGGUCAAGUCAUAUCUGGAAGUGUUAUUAGAAGAGAACUUCGAAACAUGAAAUCGUUAAGUAAGAACCACACCUUGAUACUAUAAUGAAACAUAAAUUAUUCAGUAGCACCUACAUUUUAAUUGCGAAAUCAAUUUACAGAUCCUCUAUUUUGUCCUCUUGGCAUAUUCCAUUCAAGAAUGUCUUCCUAUAUCAUUUGUUGUCUUAUUGUGUACUUAUGGUUAACUACGUCAAUAGUUAGUUUUUUGGAUUUUUUGGAAGAGACAUUUUGGAGAGAUUAGGUGGAUCUGAAUCUUGAUUUUAAUGACCUUUGAUUCUUAGUUUAGAAUUUUUUUUUUUGAUUGAUUUAUAGUAUAUUUGCAUUUGUUUAGAAUUUUAAAACCUAAUUAAUAAUUAGUUUCAUUUAUUUUUAAGAAAUAAAGUGUAAUAAGUGUUUGAUAAUGAAUUAAGACAAAAUCUUCUAUAAUUAAGGAUUAAUAUGAUUCAAUUACUUUGUUAAAAUCAUUUUAUAAAUUAUAGAAUUUGAUAUAUUAACUAUGUUUAUUAAUUAGAUAAAUUGAGAAUUAAUAUAUUAUGAUCAUUAAAUAUAUGUUUUAAAAUUUUAAAUCAUGCUAGAACAAUAUUUAUUUCAGUAUUUUAUGAACAUUAAAUUAAAAUAUAUAUUUAAAUGACUUGCAAAUAUUAAAUUAAAUUUUAAAAAAUAAAAAAUAAUAAGAUGAGUUAUUUUUUAUCUAAUAACAUUGCACUAAAUAUCCAUUUUCAUAACAUCUUAGAUUUCUAUCUUCUUUAUCAUUCUCAUAAUCUAAAAAAAUAAUUAUAAAAAAUAAUAAGCGCUCCUUCAGGCAUCAUCCUCUGGUGCAUCAGCUCGCCCAUUAGUCCAUUAAUUUUAAAGAUUCCCUAACCGUUCGUAGCUGCUGCACCUAGACCCUACUAGCUUACACCUAAUCCCAUCGCCCAUAAUCCUAACCCAUUAGCCUUUCAUAGCUGCAACUGCAAAGUACCUACCCAGACCCUACUAGCUUACACCUAAUCCCGUCACCCACAAUCCUAACCCAUUAGCCUUUCAUGACAACAGCUGCAAGGUAGCUGGACCAGUGAUCCCUUACCACUUUUGUAGCUGUUGGAGAGUUUUGGGUCAAAACGUCCCAUUUAUGAAAAAUAUAUAUAUAUAAUAAAAUAAAUAAAUAAAUAAAAUUAGAUAUAACUACUUUAACAAACUUAUAUUUUGGCAUAAUGUAAAAUUCAUAUCAUUAAAAUAUAUAUAUAUAUUUAAAAAUUUUAGUUAAAGUCUCAAUUGAUAACUAAGAUUUUAUUUUUUAAUUAAAAUCAUAGUUGCCAAUUAAAGUUUCAAUUUUUAAACUAAAGCCGUAAUUUUUUUAAAUAAAACCUUAUUUGACAACUGAGAUUUCAUUUUUGAAUUAAAACCUUAAUUACCAAUUGAGAUUUCAAUUAAUUUUUUUACAUUAAAAUUUAAUUAAAAAAUAUUAAAUUAUAAUUUAUCAUUGAAAUUAAAAAAUAUACUUUAAUAAUAAAUUAUUUAUAUUUAAGGUUAAGAAUAUAGUAUUACUUCAAUAAACAUAAAUUGAUAAAUAGAAUAUAUUAUAAAUGAAUAUUUUAUUUAUUAAUAAAUUAAUAAUCUUAAAAUAAUAAAUUUAUAUAACAUAUAAAUAAGAUAUAACAUUGUAUGAUUUAUUAAUUUAAGUAUUUAUUUGUUGUUUUUUAAGAUAUUAAUUUAUUUGUAUUAUGAUAUAUAUAUAUAUAUAUAUAUAUAUUACUUUCAAAUUUAAUUAAAAAAUAUUAAAUUACAACUUAUUAUUGAAAUUAAAAACAUAUAUUUUAAUAAUAAAUUAUUUAUAUUUAAACUUAAAAAUCUAGUAUUACUUCAAUAAACAUAAAUUGAUAAAUAUAAUACAAUAAAUGGAUAUUUUAUUUAUCAAUAAAUCAAUAAUCUUAAAAUAAUAAAAUUAUAUGACAUACAUAUAAGAUAUAAAAUUUCAUAAUUUAUUAAUUUAAGAUAUUUAAUUUGUUAUUUUUUAAGAUAUUAAUUUAUUUGUAUUAUGACAAAUUUAUCUUUAUAGAAAUAAUAAUAUACUCUUAAGUUUCCAUAUAUAGAUUUUUUCACAAAAAUAGUUAAUGAAAUUAAUUAGAAAAAGUCUACUAUAAAAUAUAAUUUUUAAUAGUUUUAUCAAAGUUACAAAAAAUACUCACUAAACAUUUAUAUACUGGGAAAAAAAAACAUAUAUAAUCUUAUAUGCUUCCAUAAGGAGUGAACAUAUGGAUAAAUUUAACAUAAUACAAAUAAAUUAAUAUCUAAAAAACAACAACAAACUAAAUACUUAAAUUAAUAAAUUAUACAAUUUUAUAUCUUAUUUAUAUGUUAUAUAAAAUUAUUAUUUUAAGAUUAUUAAUUUAAAAAUAAAUAAAAUAUUUAUUUAUAAUAUCUUUUAUUUAUUAAUUUAUGUUUGUUGAAGGAAUACUAGAUUCUUAAACUUAAAUAUAAAUAAUUUAUUAUUAAAAUAUAUAUUUUUAAUUUCAAUAAUAAAUUAUAACUUAAUAGUUUUUAAUUAAAUUUUGAAGUAAAAAAAAAAAAAAAUUAACUGAAGCCUUAGUUGGUAAUUGAGGCUUUAGUUCAAAUAUGAAGUUUCAAUUAUCAAUUAAGGUUUCAGUUAAAAAAUAAAGUUUCAAUUGAUAAUUGCGACUUCAAUUCAAAAAUUGAAAUGAAGACUCAGUUACUAAUUGAGGUUUCAAUUAAAAUUUUAAAUAUAUAUAUAUAUAUAUAUAUAUAUAUAUAUAUAUAUAUAAAUUUGAACAUAAAUUUCAGUCAUUACAUAUAAAUUUUUUAUUUUUAUAUAUUUAAAUAUGGGUCAUUUUGACCCAAAACGCUCUGUUAGAGCACCACAAUGAAGCCAAUAUCAACUGCUAAAGUCACACCUCAUAGCCACACAACAAAGAGUCUCAUCAACUGUCUCAUCUCUCUGCCACAAUCCAGCUUUAUGUCACAGGAUACUUCAAAUGAACCUCCUCAUGGGCUUAUAUAGAGCCUAGGAAGCUUAUGGAGACUCCUACACUUAGCCAUUAGUGAGAAGAGUGUGGAAGGUUCUAGAGAUGCCUAGAGAAGUCCACACAUCUCUACACUAAGGUGGAAGGCAUGAGAGGAGUCCAAAGCUUUCUAUAGAAUUAUAGAGGUCUCUUGUAAAUAGACUUGUACAUAGAAUGGUGUAGGGUGUUCUAGAAUAUUCUUGAAUUGUAAGGAACCUCCAAGGUGCCAGAGAGUUCAAUUGGUACCUAUAAAUAGGUGAGUGUCUCAUUUGGCCAAGGCACCAAGCAAGUGAGUUCCCAAAAGCACUUGUAAAGCUUCUUUUGAGUAAUAAAAGCUUUCAUUCUUUAAGCGUCACCUACUACGCCUUCUAAAACUUUAUAGUCGUGAGCAUCUUAGCCUAGCAAAUUAAGCAUUGAGAGUAAGGUUGACUUAGCAAGAUCGAGUGUCUUGACUUGUCUAAGUGCCACACGAGCUUAGGAAAAUCCUAAGUUUAUGACAAGUGGUAUCAGAGCGCGGCUAUGAAGCAAGCAUAGUAAAAGAAGCAUGUCGGGCUAACAUAUAGGAGACUAGAGAGCAAACCCGUGGGAGGGAGAUCAAGCCUAUUGCACAAGGUAGGAACAAUAAGGAUAAAUCUCAUGAUGUCAUAGCCAACAUGGAGGCAAGGCUAGCCAAGGUGGAACUAGCCAUGGCAAACACUUGGGAGGGGUGGACUUGAUUAAGCAGGGCAUGGAGAAGGGCUUAGAAGAUCUAAGGGAACAAAUACAAGACCUUCGUGAGGGGGUUCUAGGCUCACAAGUUCAACCGGUGUCAUACGAGGAGUUCAUGUCAUUCCAAGACAAGGUCAUGAGCAUGUUCGCUAGUAUAGAGUCAAGGGUGGAGGCCUUGGUUGCACGCAUGAAGACCUGAGACUAGGAGAUUCGACAAGAAAUGACCAUCUAUAAGAUUGCGAUAUCAAUAUGAGUCAUGGCUACUCAUGAGGCACCAAGAGUGGAGAUGCCCAAGCCACAUACGUUCAAUGGCAAGAGAGAUGCUAAGGAGCUGGAUAACUUCCUAUGGCACAUGGAGCAUUACUUUGAGGCUAUUGCACUGACGGAUGAAGCCACUAAGGUACGCACCGCAACCCUCUAUCUCACUGAUAAUGCUACUCUAUGGUAGCGUCGGAGGUUUGCCGAUAUAGAAAAAGAGAUGUGCACCAUAGACACAUGGGAUGUCUUUAAGUGAGAAAUCAAAAGACAAUUAUACCCUGAAGAUGUGGCUUACCUAGCGAGGAAGAAUAUGAAGCAUCUCAAGCACAUGUGCUUGAUCCAUGAGUAUGUCAAAGAGUUCUCUACGCUCAUACUUGAGAUACCUAACAUGUCCGAGGAGAAGCUACUGUUCAAUUUCAUGGACAACCUGCAAAGCUUGGCUAAGCAAGAGUUGAGGAGACGUGGUGUCCAAGACCUAGCCAUGACCAUGGCAGUAGUAGAGUCCUUGGUGGAAUAUAAAAGGGAAGACUCCUCCAAACCCAAGCCACAAUCCAAAAGUAAUCAUGCUAAAGGUGGGGAAGACAAGGGAUCACGAGGCUACCCUUCUAAAGAAGGAUCAAGCAGAGGCCCUAGUGGCAAUGAUGGAAAAGGCAAGGAUAAAUGGAAGGAGUUCAUGCCUAGGACCAAUUGCUUCUUAUGUGAUGGUCCACACUGGGUACGGGAUUGUCCCAAGAGGAAAGCCUUAAAUGCUAUGAUCGAGGAAAAAGAGAAGGAAGACAAUGCUCAUGUAGGAUCAUUACAACUCCUAAACACCCUCAAGGCCAAGUUGGUGCCUACGAUGCCUCAAAGCAGAGGAUUAAUGUAUGUAGAAGCCCUUGUAAAUGGGAAUGCCACCAAGGCCCUGGUGGACGCCGGUGCCAUUCAUAACUUUGUCUCGGAGGAUGAGACAAAGUGACUAGAGCUCCAAGCAUCCAAAGAAAGAGGUUGGCUUAAGACAAUUAAUUCCGCUGCCAAACCAUCACACGGAGUAGCUCACGGGGUGACUAUGCACAUCGACUCAUGGGAAGGAAAUAUCAACUUCACAGUGGCACCCAUGGAUGCCUUCAAGAUGGUACUAGGGAUGGACUUCCUAUAAAAGGUCAAGGUCGUGCCACUACUCUUCCUACGCUCAAUGGCUAUCUUAGAGGAGGAGAAUCCAUGCAUGGUCCCUAUGGUCACCGAAGGUUCAUCCAAGACCCCUAUGUUAUCAGCUAUGCAAGUAAAGAAGAGAUUAAAGAGAAAAGAGGUGACAUACCUUGCCACCCUUAAAGAAAAAAAGGAUGAUGGGUCGGGAGAACCCAUGCUUAAUGAAAUCAAGGAAAUCCUUGAUGAGUUCAAGGACAUGAUGCCGCUCGAGUUGCCCAAGAGACUUCUUCCUAGGAAUGAGGAAGACCAUAAGAUCGAGAUAGAGCCGAGAGCUAAGUCUCUAUGCUAUGAGACUAUACAGGAUGGCACUGCCCGAACUGGAAGAGCUAAAGAGACAACUUAAGGAGUUGUUGGACGCAGGGUUCAUCCAACCAUCCAAGGCUCCCUACGGCGCACCGGUCUUGUUUUAGAAGAAGCAUGAUGGGUCCCUACGGAUAUGUAUCAACUACCGGGCACUCAACAAGGUAAUGGUAAAGAACAAAUACCCUAUUCCGCUCAUCGUUGGCUUGUUCGAUCAACUUGGUAGGAUGAGAUACUUCACGAAGUUAGACUUGAGGUAAGACUACUACCAAGUAAGGAUUAUGGAAGGGGAUAAACCGAAGACCACAUGUGUGACCAAGUAUGGCUCAUAUGAGUUCUUAGUGAUGCCCUUCGGUUUCACCAAUGCCCCAACAAUGUUCUACACACUCAUGAAUAAGAUCUUCCAUCCAUAUCUAGACAAGUUCAUGGUGGUAUACUUGGAUGACAUAGUCAUCUAUAGUAACACCUUAAAGGAGCAUGUCGAGCAUUUAAGGAAGGUCUUUAAAAUCCUAAGGCAGAACGAGCUAUAUGUAAAGAAGGAGAAAUGCUCAUUUUCUAAGAAAAAAGUUAGCUUCCUAAGGCAUCGCAUCAAGGAUGGCAGACUAAUGAUGGCUAAUAGUAAGGUGAAAGCCAUCCAGGAAUGAGAUUUACCAACCUAGGUACCUUAGCUCAGAUAUUUCCUUAGUUUAGUUAAUUACUACUGGCGGUUCAUCAAGGGUUAUUCGGUAAGGGCAACUCCACUCAAUGAUCUUUUUAAGAAUAACAAGGCAUGAGAAUGGGAUGAAAGGUGCCAACAAGCCUUUAAAUAUCUAAAAAAAGUUGUGACUGAGGAGCCAGUGUUGGCACUACCCGACCACACCAAGGUUUUUUAGGUACACACAGAUGCCUCAGACUUCGCUAUUGGAGGAGUCCUUAUGUAAGAUAGGCAUCUAAUCGCCUUCGAGAGUCGCAACCUAAAUGACAUGGAGAGGCACUACACGGUGCAAGAGAAAGAAAUGACCACCAUCGUCCAUUGCUUGCGCACCUAGAGACACUAUCUUCUAGGGUUUCACUUCAUAGUGAAGACCAACAAUGUUGCCACUAGCUACUUCCAAACACAGAAGAAGUUAAGCCCUAAGCAAGCUAGGUGGCUAGACUUCCUGGCCGAGUUCGACAAUACGCUGGAGUAUAAGUCAGGAAACAUUAAUCAUGUGGACAACGCCCUAUGCUGUAAGACAGAACUAGCAUCUAUGAUGAGUCAGCCCCAAUGAGACAUAAUGAAUCUUCUAAGGGAGGGGCUACAACAUGAUCCAGUGGCUAAGAGCCUCAUAGCCCUGGCUGGUGAAGGGAAAACUAAGUAGUUUUGGGUAGAAGACAACUUACUCUACACUAAGGAGAGACGACUCUACGUGCCUAAGUGAAGGAACAUAAGAAGGAAUCUGAUUAAGGAGUGUCAUGACACCAAGUGGGCUGGGCACCCCGAGCAAUGACGCAUGAGGGUAGUACUUGAGUUGGCUUACUACUGGCCUCAAAUACGAGAUGAAGUUGAGGCCUAUGUGAGGACUUGUCUUGUGUGCUAGCAAAACAAGGUGGAGCAACGACAGUGUAGAGGCCUGUUAGAACCACUACCAAUAGCAGAGUGCCCAUGUGACAAUGUCACCAUGGACUUCAUCAUCGAGCUACCCAAUUCGGAGGACAACGACUAUAUCAUAGUAAUAGUGGACAUGUUCUCUAAGUAUGCGACCUUCAUCGCAUCCCCGAUUGACUGCACUGCGGAGGAGAUGUCGAGACUAUUCUUAAAGCACGUAGUCAAGUAUUGGGGGUUACCUAAGUAUAUUAUCAAUGAUUGCGAUCCGCAUUUCAUUGGGAAGUUUUAGAUGGAGCUUUUCAAGCUUAUGGGUUCGGAGCUUCACUUCUCCACAAGCUUUUGCCCAUAGACAGAUGGGUAGACUGAGAGAGUGAAUGCCUUAUUGGAGCUAUACUUGAGGCACUUCGUGAGUGCCAACUAGAAUGAUUGGGCUAAGUUGCUAGAUAUAGCCUAGUUCUCAUACAACUUGCAAAUGAAUGAGGCAACCAACAAGAGCCCGUUCGAGUUAGCCACAUGGCAGCAACCCUUAACUCUUCACACACUAACGAUAGGCUAUACAAGGAGAAGUCCAGCGGCUUUCAAGUUCGCAAAGGGAUAACACGAGCAAGUUGACAUAACACGCUCAUACUUGGACAAGGCCACUAAGAAAAUAAAGAAGUGGGCUGACAGGAAGCAACGUCACACGGAGUACAAGGUUGGAGACAUGGUGUUUGUCAAGCUCUUUCCUCAACAAUUCAAAUCCCUAAUGUUGGUGCAUAAGGGCCUUGUGAGGAGGUAUGAAAGACCCUUCCCCAUACUUGGGAAGGUCGGCAAGGUGUCUUAUAAAGUUGAGUUACCACCAAGGUUGAAGAUUCAUUCCGUCUUUCAUGUAAGUUACUUGAAACCAUAUCACGAAGACAAGGAUGAUCCAAGCCAAGGGUUUUCUAAAAGGGCACCUACAGCGGUCGUGACCUCUUAUGACAAGAAGGAAGAACACAUCAUCACAUAUCGAGUCAUUAUAAGACGAGGUGUGCCUCCUACUACAGAGUACUUAGUGAAAUGGAAGAGACUACCAGAGAGUAAGGCUACCUGGGAGCCAGCAGAUGCACUAUGGCAAUUCCAAGAGUAGAUUGAGCAGUUCCGGGAAAAAUGCACGACAAGGAUGUUUGCGACUUAAAUGGGAGAAAGUGUCACAAGAUGCUUCAAAUGAGCCUUCAUAUGGGCUUAUAUAGAGCCUAUGAAGCUUUUGGACACUCCUACACUUAGCCAUCAGUGGGAAGAGUGUGGAAGGUUCUAAAAAUGCCUAGAGAAGUCCACACAUCUCUACAUUAAGGUGGAAGACAUGAGAGGAGUCCAAGGCUUUUUAGAGACUUCUAGAGGUCUAUUGUAAAUAGACUUGUACAUAGAAUGGUGUAGGGUGUUCUAGAAUAUUCUUAAAUUGUAAGGAGCCCUCCAAGGUUCUAGAGAGUUCCAUUGGUGCCUAUAAAUAGGUGAGGGCCUUAUUUGGCCAAGGCACCAAGCAAGUGAAUUCCCAAAAGCACUUGUAAAGCUUCAUUUGAGCAAUAAAAACUUUCAUUCUUUAAGUGUUGCCUACUACGCCUUCUAAAACUUCGGAGUCGUGAGCAUCUUAGCCUAGCAAGCUAAGUAUUAGGAGUAAGGUUGACUUAGCAAGAUCAAGUGUCUUGACUUGUCUAAGUGCUGCACGAGCUUAGGAAAAGACUAAUUCUAUGACAUUUAGCUGUCUAGGACCACAUCAAUACAGCCCCCGUCAGCUACUCAUCCCUACAAUAAUUCAACAUGCAUCAUCGACUUUUGGGGCAAAAUAGCCAUUUCAUGUAAAAAAAGAUAUCAGUUUUAGCCCCCUUACAAAACUUAUGUUCAAAUUGGCCCCUUUAUUGCCACAUAGGAGUCAUGUCAUAAUUUUUUUAUUUUAUAAAAUUUAAGUUGAAGCCUUAGUUGCCAACUAAGGCUUCAUUUUUGAACUGAAGCCUCAAUUGCCAACUAAGGCUUCAUUUUUUAACUAAAGUCUCAGUUACCAUUUGAGGUUUCAGUUAUUUUAUUUUUUUAGUUUAAAAUUUAAUUAAAAAUAUUAAAUUUUAAAUUAUUAUUGAAAAUUUAAAAAAUAUACUUUAAUAAUAAAAAUUUAUAUAUUUAAACUUAAAUAUCUAAUAUUACUUCAAUGAAGAUAAUUUGAAAAAUAUAAUAAAUAAAUAUUUUAUUUAUCAAUUAAUUAAUAAUAUUAAAAUAAUACAAUUAUAUGACAUAUAAAUAAAAUAUAGAAUUAUAUCAUUUAUUAAUUUAAGUUAUAUCACAUGUAAUAUUAGGGAGGGAUUUUUUUUUUCCAUUAUAUAAAUGUUUAAUGGGUAUUUUUUUUUUUACUUUGAUGAAAUAACUAAAAAUUACAUUUUGUCGUAGAUUUUUUCUAAUUAAUUUCAAAAUGUAUUUUCAAGACAUAUAUAUUAUGUGUACAAAUAAUAGUAUUUUUUAUGUUAAAUUAUAAAUAUAUGCUUUAAAAUUAAAAAAAAAUCUAUAUAUGGAAACUUAAGAAUAUACAAUUAUUUCAAUAAAGAUAAAUUUUUCAAAUUAAAAAUAAAAUAAUAUAUUAAAAAUACAACAAAUUAAAUAUCUUAAAUUAAUAAAUAAUAUAAUUUUAUAUCUUAUUUAGAUUUCAUAUAAUUUUAUUAUUUUAAGAUUAUUAAUUUAUUGAUAAAUAAAAUAUUCAUUUAUUAUUAUAUUUAUUAAUUUAUCUUUAUUGAAGUAUUAUUAGAUCUUUAAGUUUAAAUAUAUAAAUUAUUAUUAUUAUAUAUUUUUAAUUUCAAUAAUAAUUUGUAAUUUAAUAUUUUUAAUUAAAUUUUAAAGUAAAAAAAAAAAAAUAAACGAAGCCUCAAUUGCCAAUUGAGGCUUUAGUUAAAAAAUGAAGCCUCGAUUGGCAAUUGAGACUUUAGUUCAAAAAUGAACUCUCAAUUGGCAGCUGAGGUUUCAAGUUAAAUUUUGAAAAAAAAUAAAAAUUUGUGACAUGGUUCUUAUAUGGCAAUAAAAGAACUAAUUUGAACAUAAGUUUUAUAAAGCGGCUAUGUGACAAUAAAAUGGCUAAUUUGAACAAAAGUUUUGUAAAAUAGAAGCUAAUAUUUCUUUACAUGAAAGGGUUAUUUUGGCCCAAAACUUUGCCUCGACCCUCCCUAGCAGCCCCUCAUACAAACCAUAACCCUAGUCGUCCAAGCUACAUUGCACGAAGCCAUCCACUAGCUGUCCUUCCCGCCAUUUCACUAUCAAAAGCUCUCAUCUAAUAUGUCAUGACUGCAACAACCAUCCACCGGUUAUCCACUCUUUCUUCCAUUUCUCAUACCCAUGUCUCAAACUUCAACUUCCUUUCUUCUGCCCUUAGCUUUCUUUCUCUUCUUUCCAGACCAUAUGAAUCCACAUUAUCCAUCUUCAUUUUCCUAUAUUUUCUCUUUCAAGCUCUCUUUCCCAACUUCACAUGGUAGUAACAAAAACUCUCAUUCCCAUCAACUCAUUUCUUUUCCCAUCGUUGUGGCAUCUCUCACCCGCACCUCCAUCUACCAUUUUCUAGAAUUCAUCUGCAACUACUGGACAACCUAGGCUAUGCCAGAAGCGAAAUAUGGAAGAAAGAGAAGAGUAGCCUAAGCCGAGCAAUAGUUUUCUUCCUUACAUACCUCGUCGGGGUUGUUUUCAGUUUCAUAGUUGUUGUUUCAAUCCCAAGCGCUUCUCUCUACACUACUGACGAUAACUAGCUCACCAUCCUCUUUGACCUUUCUUGCGAAGUGAUCGAUGACGCCAUUGAUGAGAACUCCAACUUGAUCAGCAGUUUUCUUCAAAAUGGCUUGAGCUAUGUUUGCGAGAAGUUUGGUUCAAAACUUGCAUUUCAGACCUUGAAAGCUCCAUUUCUGGUUCUGCAAUUCUCAGCAUAGCUGGAAAGAUGAAGUACUUUGGUGCUGGUUUUCUUCCCCGACGUGUUGACAUUGCUGGAAAGGUGAAGUUUGGUUCAUUGUAUCUGUUUUAUUAUGACCUCUAUUAGGGAUCUUUGGAUAGAGAAAAACUAGAAAGAGAGCAAAAAAAAAAGGUCGAUUAUUGUUAUUAUUAUUAUUAUGUUCUUUGGAGGUUUCCAGAGGGAAACUGCCUCUGUUAAGGAUCUCUGGAUCUCUUCGGUUGUCAAUUUUUUUUUGGUCUUUGUUGAGAGAAAAGCUAGAAAGAGAAUAGAGAAAAUGAUAGGGUUGAAAGAUCUCUGGGAAGAGUGUUGAUGGCAUAAACACAAACAAUGCACAACCAUAUUUUAUCCCCUCUUGUGAGAACCUAAUAGGAAUCAAUCAAAUAGAGUAACAAGAAUUCACCCAAUCAACAAGUAUAUGAACACCAAAAAAUUUUAGCGUGGAAAACCUUCUCCAAUGUGAGAAAUAAAAACCACGAGACCCUUAGGCCACUUAAAAACUCCAUUAAUAUAAUCAAUGGGUUACACAAUUCUCUCUAGAUAAAAUUAGAGGCAUACAUCAACCAUAUCUCAAGACAAGUUAAUCUUGGCAAUUUCAACAACUUUACAUAAAGACAAUGGAAAAAUCUUACCAAACACAACCACUGUUCUCGGAUUGAAAUAUAACUGUUCCAAACUCCAAAUCCAAUCUCCACCGUUCAGAAUGAAGAUCAAUGAGUUAUGAACGUGCUCACCAAAAAUUAGCUCAAUUGAACCACAGAUUAACCUUGAUUGGAGCUCAUGAUCAAAACUGUCAGGAUAGAAAACUCACCAAAAUAGAGGCUCUAUUCUCGGACUGAAAGAAUCGCCCAAAACUCUAAAUCUAAUCUCCACCGUUCAGAUUGAAGAUCAAUGAGUCACAAACCUCUCAUCCAAAUUUUAGGUUGAUUGGCCCACAGGCGAAGCGACAUCGGACCUUUGAUGAAAUCUGGACAGUGAAGAAAAACUGAGUUUUUCUCUCUAACUUCAAAAAUGGUGGUUCUCCAUUUCUCUUUCUUUUCUCCUUCUACUCUCUUUUCUUCUACCUUCGGUGGCUGUAAAAAAAAUUGGAAGAAGAAGAAGAAGAGGGAUUCUUCUUUUAACCCUUUUAUAUAAAGACCUAAGAGGCCUUAAAUUUUUUGCUCUUAAUUUAGGCCUUUUACAUGAGGAAAAACCCAACAAAUAUCACUCUUUCCAAUUAUGUGGAGGGACUCAUCAUCCUAGCGAUUGAACAACAAACUUCAAGUUUCUCCCUUGAUAAGGACUUCGUUAACAUAUCUGAGUCAUUGUGAUUGGUAUGUAUCUUCUCAAGUUCAAACAAGUUGUCAUUGAGAGCAUCUCUCAUCCAAUGAUACUUUACACCAUUGUGCUUCGAUCUUGCAUGAAAGUUAGAAUUCUUACUAAGGUGAAUGGUGCUCUAGUUAUCACAGUAUACCACAUAGUGAUGCUGCUUAAACUCGAGCUCAUGUAUGAAACGCUUCAUCCACAAUAACUCUUUACAUACUUCUACUGCUACAAUGUACUAUACUUCUAUUGUAGAAAGUGCAACACAUUUUUGUAGUCUUGAUUGCCAAGACACAACACCUCCUAAGAAUGUUAUCAAAUAGUCUGAAGUUGACCUUCUAUUAUCUACAUCCCCUACCCUGUUUGAAUUAGUGUAGCCAAUAAGUACCGGUUUCCCACUUCCAAAAGUGAGUUUCAACUUGAAAGUGUCUCGCAAAUAUCUCAUAAUCUACUUGACUGCCUCCCAAUGUAGUCUUCCUGGAUUAGAUACAAAGUGACUAACAACACCAAUUGCAUAAGCUAUGUCUGGUCUAGUACAUACCAUGACAUACAUCAAACUUCCUACUAUUGAGGCAUACGUAACUCUUCUCAUGUCUUUCUUCUCCUUAUAUAUAGAAGGGUUAUGUCUACUGCUUAGCUUAAAGUGACUAGCUAGAGGAGAACUAACCACUUUAGCUUUGCUCAUGUUAAAUCUUUCAAGCACAUUUUCAAUAUAUUGCUCCUAUGACACAUACAGCUUCUUGGAUGCUCUAUCUUUCUCAAUUCUAAUACCAAGAAUUUUCUUUGUUGGCCCUAAAUCCUUCAUGGAAAAUGAUUUGCUUAACUGCUUCUUCAGCUUAUCAAUUCUUGAAACAUUUCUGCCAACAAUCAAGAUAUCAUCAACAUAGAGCAACAAUAUAACAAAAUCAUCAUCAGAAAAUUUAUGCACGAAUACACAAUGGUCAGAAGUAGUUUUUCGAUAGCUUUACUUCCCCAUAACUGAUUCAAACUUCUUAUACCAUUGUCUCGGUGCCUGCUUCAAGCCAUAAAGACUUUUCUUCAACUUACACACAUAAUCCUCUUUUUCUUUUAUUGUGAAAUCCUUUGGUUGUUCCAUAUAAAUUUCUUUGUCUAAAUCACCAUGGAGAAAUGCAGUCUUAACAUCCAUCUGCUUAAUCUCCAAAUCAAGACUAGCUACCAAGCCCAAAACUACACGAAUAGACGACAUCUUAACAACAUGAGAAAAAAUCUCAUCAAAAUCAAUACCUUUUUUUUUACUGAACCCUUUGACAACCAAUCUAGCUUUGUAAUGUGGCUAUGAAGUGUGUUCUUCUUGCUUCACUCUAUAAACCCACCUAUUCUUCAAAGUUUUUUUUUCCAUUUGGCAACUUGACAAGCUCAAAAGAAUGAUUCUCAUGCAAUGACUUCAUCUCAUCUUGCAUAGGAUCAACCCACUUCAUCUUAUUUUCAUCUCACAUGGCUUCCUCAUAACUUUCAGGUUCUCCCCCGUUAGUUAGUGAUACAUAAUCAUCAAUAGAAUACCGUGUGGAAGGAUGUUGGUCUCUAGUAGACCUCCUGAGUGGAAUAUCUGGUGGAACCUCUACUACUGGUGACUGUUCAUGAACAUCAUCAUCCAUCUCAACCUAUGUGGGAGUUUCAACAUCACCAAUGCCAUGUUGGUCAUCAUGUGCUUCAUCUUCAACCUGUGUAGGAAGAUGUGUCAAAGGAACUGGAUCUAAGUCAAUCAUAUUAUCACUAUACUGAAACUCUGUUGCAUCAAUCUUCUCAAUGUCCUAUAUGGUAUGAUCUUCCAUAAACAUAACAUCUCGGCUUCUUACAAGCUUUUUCUGUACCAGAUUAUAAAACCUAUAACCAAGCUCAUCUUAACCAUAGCCAAUGAAUACAUAAGGUCUUGUCUUAGCAUCAAGCUUAGACCUCUCAUCUUUCAGAAUGUGCACAAAAGCCUUGCAUCCAAAGACAUGCAAAUGAUCAUAAGAAAUUUCAUUAUCUGACCAAAUUCUAUCCGGAACAUCAAAUUCUAAAGAAACACAUGGUGUAAGAUUGAGAACAUGUACAACAGUAUUCAAAGCCUCACCCCAAAAAGAUCUUGGCAACUGUGACUGCGAAAGUAAACAUCUCACCCUUUCAACCAGUGUCCUAUUCAUUCUCUCAACCAACCCAUUCAACCAAGGAGUCUUAGGAGAUGUCUUUUGAUGUUGAAUACCAUGUUGUCUACAAUACUUAUCAAAAGGACCAAAAUACUCACCCCCACUAUCAGUCCGGAUGAAUUUCAAUUUUUCAUCAAAUUGUCUCUCAACAAGAGCAUGAAACUGCUUAAACACCUCUAACACUUGGUCUUUUGUUCUCAAGGUAUACACCCAAAUCUUUCUUGAAUGAUCAUUUAUAAAAGUUACAAAAUAUAGAGAUCCACCAAGUGUUUUUGUUUUCAUAGGACCACACACAUCAGAAUACACUAAAUCAAGCAUACUUGGCUUCCUUGUAUGACGGUGUGUUUUGAAUGCAACUUUAGUCUGCUUUCCUACUAAGCAAUCAGCACACAUUUUCAGAGAUCCCUUCUUCAUACCAGAAAUAAGAUUCUUCUUAGCCAAAAUCAUCAAGCCCUUCUCACUCAUGUGACCAAGUCUAUUAUGCCAAAGCUCAAUUGUGCUAUCAUCAUCCACUGCAUUGAUACUAGAAUCAAUUAUGCUUGCCUGCAUCAAAUACAAUGAGGAACACUUCUUUCCUUUUGCUACCACCAUAGAACCUCUGGUGAGCUUCCACUGACUAUCACGAAAGGUGUUGCAGAACCCUUCAUCAUCAAGCUUCCUUGUGGAGAUUAAAUUCAUGCGGAUAUCCGGAAUGUGUUUGACAUUCUUCAAAAUCAACGCAGUACCAUUACUAGUCUCCAAAAUCACAUCUCACAUACCAAUGGCAUUAGCUGAGCCAUCAGUACCCAUCAUAACACUUCCAAAAUCACCAGAUGUGUAGGAUGUAAAGAAAUCUUUCUAAGGUAUAUCAUAAAUUGAGGCACCACUAUCAAUCACCUAACUGGUCUCCUGGUAAGCAAAAUUAACAACAUCACUAUCAUAAAACAAUAAGGAAAUCUAAAGUGGUUGUGGCAACUCAAUCAUCUUCACCACCAUUGUCAUUCUUUUUGUCCUUCACUUUCCCUUGUUUCAUAUCUCUCUUCAAUUGGCGACAAUACUUCCUUAUAUGCCCUUUCAAAUAGCAAUAGUGACACCCAACAUUGGCAAACUUGUUAGUCUUACUUUUGCUUCUAUCUCUGUUUUUCGAACCUCUACUCUUACUCCUCGUUUUUUUUUUUUCAGUAACUAGGACAUCUGACUGUGAAGAAGAACCCUAUGACAUUCUUUUCAUCUUUUCAUUCAAAACACAACUCUUAACCAAAUCCAUAUUCAUAGUACCAUCUGGGGCUGAGUUAGACAAAGAAGUUCUAAACGUCUCCCACGAAUCUGGCAAUGUACCAAGAAGCCACAACCCUUGCAUCUCUUCCUCAAACUUGAUAUUCAUUCUAGCCAACUGGUUAAUAAUACCUUGGAAUGUAUUCAAGUGAUCUGUCAUAGGAGUUCUAUCUUGAUACUUCAAGCUAAUCAUCUUCUUGAUCAGAAACAAUUUAUUGUUACUAGACUUUCGAGUAUAUAACUGUUCGAGCUUGUUCCAUAGACUCCGUGCAUGUUUCUCUUCGCUAACAUGAUUGAGAACAUUAUCAUCUACCCACUGUCUGAUAUAAUCACAAAUUUGCCGAUGAAGUAAAUUUCAUUAUGCAUCAGUUUUAUUUUCUGGCUUUUCAGAAGCAAACACAGGCAAAUAAUAAUCCUUCACAUACAAUAAGUCUUCUAUCUUUAUUUUCCAAACAUGAUAAUUUGAUCCAUUCAGAUUAAUAAUUCUACUUGUAUUGUUUUCCGUUGUUCUACACAAGACACAAAUUAUCUUGAACCAAUGCUCUGAUACCACUUUGAUGGGAUAAACAUAAACAAUGUACAACCAGAUUUUAUCACCUCUUGUGAGAACCUAAUAGGAAUCAAUCAAAUAGAGUAACAAGAAUUCACCCAAUCAACAAGUAUAUGAACACUAACAAUUUUUAGUGUGGAAAACCUUCUCUAAUGUGAGAAGUAAAAACCACGGGACCCUUAGGCCACUUAAAAACUCCACUAAUAUAAUCAAUGGGUUACACAAUUCUCUCUAGAUAAAACUAGAGGCAUACAUCAACCAUAUCUCAAGACAAGUUAAUCUUGACAAUUUCAACAACUUUGCAUAAACACAAUAGAGAAAUCUUACCAAACACAGCCACUGUUCUCAGACUGAAAUAUAACUGUUCCGAACUCCAAAUCCAAUCUCCACCGUUCAUAAGGAAAAUCAAUGAGUUAUGAACAUGCUCACCAAAAAUCAGCUCAAUUAAACCACAGAUUAACCUUGAUCGGAGCUCAUGAUCAAAACUGUCUAGAUAGAAAACUCACCAAAACAGAGGUUUUGUUCUCUAACUAAAAGAACCGUCUAGAACUCCAAAUUUGAUCUCUACCGUUCAGAUUGAAGAUCAAUGAGUCAUGAAUCUCUUUUCCAAAUUUCAAGUCGAUUAGCCCACAGACGAAGUGGGAUUAGACCUUUGAUGAAAUCUGGUUUUGCUUUUUUUUUUUUUUUUUUGGUUUGGAUCAAAUCAUUUUAGAUAUGACGAUUAUAUUUUGUUCUCCUAUUGUUGAUCUGUGUUUGGUUAUCUUGAAAUUCUGAAAUGAAUUUUUUAUAGUCAUUGCAUUUUCUACCUUGAUUUGGAUUUUUUUAAAAAAAAAAAAAACCUAAGAUCAUGACUUCUAGUAAUUCCUUGUUGAUUUAUAUCAGAUUUGUUUGAAGGCUUUUUUAUAAUAGUUUGUUCAUCUGUUUUUUUUUAGUCCUAUGGAUUCAGUUGUCUUGAAAAAUUAAGCUGUUUUUUUUUUGCCUUAAAUUGAUGUUCUUUUGUAGAUUUUUGUUUAGGAAAGUCUAAAUAGGUUAUCACAUGAUUAGAGAUUCAUUGUUUUAAGUGCCAAUUAUUAAAAUUUGAUAUAAUCGUCUUCAAAACUUUGGAUCUAGACUUUUUCCCCUUUUUCUUUGUGGGUAUUUGGUUUGUUUUGUUGCAAUCAUAAAUUGAUGUUUCUUGUAGAUCUCUAUUUAGUAACUUUUGACUAGGUUAUCACAUGAUCACAUUCAUUAUUUAAGGCAUCAAUUAUUAAAAGUUGAUGUGAUUGUUUUCAAAAUUUUUAGAUCUAGGCUUUUUCAUUUAAGAACUGUUCAUUUUAGUUUUUCUCGUUCUGCGUGGUUGAUUGGUGAUUACUUGGAAUUUCCAUGAAUCUAAUUUAAUUUAAUAUACUUAGAAUUUUAACUUUAUGAAUUUAAAUCAACUCGAUUGAUCGAAGUCCUUAUUUUGCAAUUUUUCUCAAAUCCUUGUUAAUUAUAAUGGUUAUAAAGGAAAAUUUUCAGAAUUUUGCUCAAAUGGCACCUUGAGUUUUUGCAUAAGUAGAAGUUCAUCUUAUCUUUUAGUCUUAAUUGUUAUAGGUUGAUCCAAAAAUUGUAAAGAAUUUAGAAUCUAGAUUUCUCAGUUUUAUUGUGUUAUGUUAAUCUGAUUAUUAUAUGUGGUUAAUUAGUAUCUCACUUGAAAUUUCUAUGUUGAUUCAAAAUAUUUAGAUUAUAGUUCAUGUUGACUAAAUAUAAUCAAGUUGUAUUUUUUGUAAUUUUAAAUGAGUUUUAAUUACUUUUAAACUUGGAUUCUUAAUCAUUCUUUAUUUUCCACCAAUUUAUAAUAGCUUGAUGCCAUUUAGAAGCAUGAUGGGAUCUAUUGACUAGUUGGUUUAGCUUUGUUAAUUUGUAAUUUUUUUUUUUAAUUUUGAUAAUUUAAUUAACAGUCAAGUAAUAGACAAUGUUAAUAUAUAUUGCUUUGUUGGAAUUUGCUUAUUUUAAGAGUUUGUACAAGGGGAAAUCAAAUCUACACCUAGUAAUUGGAUUUAAUUGAAGACUUGGAAUAACCUCUUCUUGAUUUACAUUGAUUUUAAGUUAACAUAAUGAGAUUUAAUUUGAUAGUGAUCAAAUAUUAUACUUGGAAUUCUUGUCCAUUGGUAAGUCUUUCCUUUUCUUUUUUUUAAUUGUAUCUUGGGAUGUCAAUAAAGAUGGAAUUCCAUUUGUUUUUAAUGUUUGUAUGGUUAUUAUGUGAUAAUGAGAGACUUUUGGACUAAUACAGAAAUGGUUGAAUAGAUGAGAAACAAAUGAACAACCAAUAAUUCUAGGAAGUGAGGAUGGAUGUUGAAAGGGUUGUGGAAUGUUAGGGUAUUAAAAUUUUAUAAAUUAAAUAUUGUCUUGCUAAGAAACGCUAUGCCUUGCUAAGCAAGGUACUCAAACUUUCCCCUCACCUUUCUAUUUAAAAUAAGGUCUAUGGGAGAACUUUGUUUGCAAUUGUUAGAUGUGAUGAAAAGCUAUAAUAUGUAACGGUUAUAGUGCAAUUUGUUAUUUAUUACCUGCUACUUAACUUUUACAAAAGCGCAUUUAAAUGCUACCAAUGUAUGGUUUCUUUGCCUUAUUUUUUUUUGUAUAUAUUAGUAUCUAUGCUUAAUUCCUAUGAUUGGUUGACUUUGCUUUGUUUGAUCUUUGUGUUGAUAUGUCCUUAUUGAUAUUGAGUGGAAUGCAUAAUGUAUACACAAUGAUAUUAUUGUCGGUGAACUAAUUCUUUUGUUUUAUGAAAGCACUUAAUGGACUAUGAAGGUCACUUAAUGGACUAUGAAGGUUUCUUAUCCACCUUUUGUGAUUAUUGCUCAUUGAGUGUGCAUGUUUUGAUAUAUUCUUUGAUCCAUGAUAUCCAUUGUUUUACCCAUUCAUUAUCAUAAUUACUCCAACUUACUUAGUAGAGACCAAUUUUAGGGCUUAGAGGGGUGUUACUAUUAUGGUACCUUCUCGACUAGUAAUGGGACCCUCGGGUUUUCAAAGAGAAGCUUUUCCAAAACAAGGAGUUGUGUUUUUUAGGGUUUUGUUUCUUAUUUUAUUUUUUCUUCAAAAAAUAAAAAUAAAUAAAUAUUGACUCCAAUAUUGAUAAAUUAGUUUUUCACAAAUAAAAAAAAAAAAAAAGCCAAUCAAGCCAUCAAAUAGGAAUGCAUGCGAAAAAUGCAAAUCCAUACAAAUAUACAAAAGUUCAUUUAUUUAGACACUAGACCUGGCUUAUCAACCACUCAACUAAAGAAAAGGGACAUGUUUUCCAAUGAAAUAAAAGAGCAGCUCUCGGUAAUAGGAGUUCAAGUAGAGGAAAGCAAUGAUGCCUAAGAAUGUCACUCCAUAUGAUCCUCCAAAACUCCAUAAGAAUAUGGCUUCCCAAGAGCUAUUUUCUCUGUUGUUUGAAACUGGUGGUUUGAGUGCAGGUGGGGCACUGGUCGGAGUGCUACAUCGCUCUAAUGGCAGCCCACAUAGAAGAGGGUUGCCCUCAUAACUGCUUUGUUCAAAUGUUGCAAAUUGAAACUUCCUCUCUGGAGUCUUACCUGAUAAAUUGUUGUGAGCGACUGUGAAGACCGUCAAGAAGUUUAACUCUACCAUCUGUGGUGGAAUUUGACUUGUCAAUCUAUUGUGGGAUAGGUCCAAGCUUUCUAUUUCCUGUAGGUUGGAAAAUGUCUCUGGAAUUGUUCCUAUCAACUGGUUGUAUGAUAAGUUUAGACUAUGAAUCCCACUUAGAUUUCCAAUUUCCGGAGGAAUUGGACCUGUCAAUUUGUUCCCUGAAAGAUCCAAUCCAGACAUGAGGUACAAGAUGUUUCCCAUAUAAGAUUCAGACCAACUCUUCGUUAUGAACUCUAUUUCUUCACUUUCAGCCGAAAUGCCAAAACUGAUGUGAAUAAACUGGACCUUAGCAAAUUGAUUUUUAUAUGAAGAUGGAUCUGGGAAAACAUGAGUCCCACCAAAUGCACUGGUAAAAAAUGUGCCAUCCAUUAAUGGAGCUUUCCUUCCAAAAGUGAUAUUAUCUAGGCAAGAAGGUAUAGUUCCGGAAAGAUGAUUAUGAGAAAGAUCCAGUAUGCUGACUGAUUUGAGCUGACACAAUUGAAGAGGAAUUGAGUCUUCAAGUUCAUUUCCUUUCAAGAGAAGAACCCUCAAUUUUGAAAGCAAACUAAUCCAAUGGGGAAUUGGGCCUGAUAGUUUGUUAUCCCUCAAAUUCAAUGUCACAAGAGAGGUAGCUUCAGACAGAACAUGGGGUAUAGGUCCUGAUAGUUCAUUGUUUUCCAAAUGUAAAAACUUCAUUUUUUUUAGAUUGGCACAAGGCGGAAGGGUCGGGCCAAUUUUGUUGUGAGAAAGGUCUAAAAAGCGUAGUUCAUUGAGUUUGCAAAGGCUUGUUGGCACAACACCAUCCAAAUGAUUUCUAGACAAGCUAAGUGUGCUCAAGACUGAGAAGUCUCCAAUCCAAUUUGGAAUUUGACCCCACAACGAGUUAGAGCUGAUAUCCAAUGCUUGUAGUGAAGAACUAUUCAAAAAUCCACGAGAAAUCUCUCCUGAGAAGUUAUUGUUAUCCAAAGACAAAAAGAAUAAAUCUGUCAAGUUCGAUUUUGUAGGAAGAGUGCCAUGUAAACUGUUGUUGGAUAGCUUUAAAACCAAUAAUGAGAUGCAACCCAUCAUCAUGUGCUCAGGUAGUUGUCCCGAGAGAUUGUUAUUUGACAAGUCUAAAGAUACCAACUGUUCCAUGUCUCCCAUUGAGGAAGGAAUAUUACCUUGUAAUGCAUUUCUAGACAAGUUUAAGACCUCCAACCCUGGAAAAAUUGAGCCGAUGAAAGGUGGAAGCUCUCCGUGAAUGCAAUUCGAGGAGAAAUCAAGCAAAAGCAUGUGGGAAUGUUUUGAAUUUGAGGGCAAAUCUAGAACACCCGUCAAGCUGUUACUUCCAAAGCUUAGGUAUUCUAG